AUUCUGUAUGUAAACACUUAUUCAGAAUUCAGCUUCAUUCUGCGAGGCAGGUCCCGUCGUCACACAGUGUCUCGGUACAUGCCAUAGUUAGUCUGACUCAGUAUCAAAAUAACAACCAAAAAGUAUACUCAAUGAAAGAGUCCGAAUCUUACUUAGAUACAUACAGGAGUCUGAAUCCUACUUAGAUACAUACACCAAGUUCACGUCCAAUGCCACAUCGUACCGGGCCGUGUAUACGUACAUGCCAUUGUCAGUCUGACUCAGUAUUAAAAUAACACCCAGAAAAUAUACUCAAUGAAAGAGUCUGAAUCCUACUUAGAUACAUACAGGAGGCCGAAACCUACUUGGAGGCAGGUAUCGCUGGUGCUACAAAUACACCUGUAUCUCCACGUGAUUCUUACACAAUCUCAAGUCUUCAGUUCAAUCAAAUAGAAUCAGUUUCACACGUCGCCUUCUAGAUACAUUUGGUUCAAUUAAGCUGCUAAGCUCCCAAGUCUGCUUAACAUCAGGUAUUUUCGUUGCGUAUUUUCAUAUACGACAUCCUUCAACAUCUUUUUCUUUUUGCGAAUUCUUCAACAUCUUUAUGAACACCGGUAACUGCCAUGAAAUGAAUAAGUUUAUCAUUAGCAAUUUGAAAUUUCCGAACAAAUAGUACACCAGACCGUACUUUGAGCAACAAAUUUACAAGAUUUUAUAUAUGACACAUUGAAUCAUAUUUAAACAUCAUUGUUGACAAGGAAAAAAUAGAUGCAAUUAUUGGACUAGAUUGCACACUGAACUAACAUAUACAAGUUUAAUCAAUUUUCCAUUUCUAAUAUUUCUUACACUUCCAAAACUCUCAUGCAGGCAAGCAUUUUGAUCACAUUCUCCAGAGAUGGAUGCUAAGGAAAGAAGAAGGAAACAAGACAGAGAGCGCUAUGAACAGAUGGCCAAUGAAAAAAGAGAGGAAAAACUCAAAAAAGGCCGUGAAGCCUAUCAACAAAAGAAAGAAAAAAUAUGCGCACAACAAAGGCAGAUAUAUGCAAAAAUGCAGCCGGAACAAAAGAAAGCUAGAAAAGAACAUAUCAAUGAAUUGAAACGCAACACAGCAAGCAAAGACUCCAUUGCACGGGAGAACCCUGCCUAUAUUGCAACUGAAAAAGAAGUUGGUACUUCUACCUUUCCUGAUUACAGAAAGCAUGUCACACCAGGAGAAAGGCAAACAUUGCUACACCGUCGUAACAAAGAAUUCACGACAAGACAGAGGCAUGUAUCAUCGAAACAAGAUGUAUCUAUGACGGAAACCGGCGACGAUGACACAGAACCUCUACAGCAACCAGAAGAAAUGAUUUACGGUAAUACUCUAAAUUUUACACAAUACUCGCAUUCAAAAUAAAUAUACGAAUGUUUGUAGAACUAACCAUCUUUUAUGGACAGAUAUCCCUAAUCAAUGUUUCCAAGCAUCAAAGAAGCGGAUACACCAACACAGACAUUCUACAAUGACGAUCAAAAUAAGGUGGCAUUGUGGCCAGACAUCCCGUCUUCAAUGUUUCCAGCAAUCAAAGAAGUAGAUGCACGAAUACAAACAUUAUACAAUGAUGUUCAUGGUAAGGUUAUAAAAUUUCUUAUAUAUUUUUAUGCAAUACAAAAAUUACAUAUAUAUAUAUAAAUAAUUAAUUAAUUACUACACAGGUAAGGAUGAGAUUAUAUGUGAGCAUGAUGCAACCAUGAAAGUGAAGGAAAAUGCCCUAGAGGCAAUAAUAAAGUUAUUAUUUAUUUCCUUAUAUCAUGAUAAAUGUUUAUUAUUCAUGCUAAAAUUGUAUUAACCAGAAACAUAAUACAUGUGUGAAUACAUAGACAAACAAAGUAUCACUAGUAUGCCUCUACUUGACUAGCUCGUUAAUCAAAGAUGGUUAUGUUUUCUAACCAUGAACAAUGAGUUGUUAUUUGAUUAACGGGAUCACAUCAUUAAGUGAAUGAUCUGAUUGACAUGACCCAUUCCAUUAGCUUAGCACCCGAUCGUUUAGUAUGUUGCUAUUGCUUUCUUCAUGACUUAUACAUGUUCCUAUAACUAUGAGAUUAUGCAACUCCCGUUUACCGGAGGAACACUUUGGGUGCUACCAAACGUCACAACAUAACUGGGUGAUUAUAAAGGAGUACUACAGGUGUCUCCAAAGGUACAUGUUGGGUUGGCGUAUUUCAAGAUUACGUUUUGUCACUCUGAUUGUCGGAGAGGUAUCUCUGGGCCCUCUCGGUAAUGCACAUCACUUAAGCCUUGCAAGCAUUGCAACUAAUGAGUUAGUUGCGGGAUGAUGUAUUACAGAACGAGUAAAGAGACUUGCCGGCAACGAGAUUGAACUAGGUAUUGGAAUACCGACGAUCGAAUCUCGGGCAAGUAACAUACCGAUGACAAAGGGAACGAUGUAUGUUGUUAUGCGGUCUGACCGAUAAAGAUCUUCGUAGAAUAUGUAGGAGCCAAUAUGGGCAUCCAGGUCCCGCUAUUGGUUAUUGACCGGAGACGUGUCUCGGUCAUGUCUACAUUAUUCUCGAACCCGUAGGGUCCGCAAGCUUAAGGUUACGAUGACAGUUAUAUUAUGAGUUUAUGCAUUUUGAUGUACCGAAGUUUUUUCGGAGCCCCGGAUGUGAUCACGGACAUGACGAGGAGUCUCGAAAUGGUCGAGACAUAAAGAUUGAUAUAUUGGAAGCCUAUGUUUGGAUAUCGGAAGUGUUCCGGGUGAAAUCGAGAUUUUACCGGAGUACCGGGAGGUUACCGGAACCCCCCGGGAGCUAGAUGGGCCAUAGUGGGACUUAGUGGAAAAGAGAAGGGGCUGCCCAAAGUGGGAUGCGCGCCCCUCCCUUCCCUUGGUCCGAAUAGGACAAGGAGAGGGGGCCGGCCACCGUCUCUCUCUUCCCCCCUCCGCGAAUCCUAUUCCAACUAGGAUUGGGGGGGGGGGAAUCCUACUCCCAGAGGGAGUAGGACUCUCCUGGCGCGCCUCUCCUAGGCCGGCCGCACCCCCCUUUAGUCCUUUAUAUACGGAGGCAGGGGCACCCCAGAAACACACAAGUUGAUCCACGUGAUCUUUUCCUUAGCCGUGUGCGGCGCCCCCAGCCACCAUAGUCCUCGAUAAUAUUGUAGCGGAGUUUAGGCGAAGCCCUACUGCAGUAGUACAUCAAGAUCGUCACCACGCCGUCGUGCUGGCGGAACUCUUCCCCGACACUUUGCUGGAUCGGAGUCCGGGGAUCGUCAUCGAGCUGAACGUGUGCUAAAACUCGGAGGUGCCGUAGUUUCGGUGCUUGAUCGGUCGGGCCAUGAAGACGUACGACUACAUCAACCAAACGCUUCCAUUGUCGAUCUACUAGGUAUGUAGAUCACACUCCCCCCUCUUGUUGCUAUGCAUCACAUGAUCUUGCGUGUGCGUAGGAAUUUUUUUGAAAUUACUACGUUCCCCUACAGUGGCAUCCGAGCCUAGGUUUUAUAUGUUGAUGUUAUAUGCACGAGUAGAACACAAGUGAGUUGUGGGCGAUAUAAGUCAUACUGCUUACCAGCAUGUCAUACUUUGGUUCGGCGGUAUUGUUGGAUGAAGCGGCCCAGACCGACAUUACGCGUACGCUUACGCAAGACCGGUUCUCCCGACGUGCUUUGCACAGAGGUGGCUUGUGGGUGACAGUUUCUCCAACUUUAGUUGAACUGAGUGUGGCUACGCCCGGUCCUUGCGAAAGUUAAAACAGCACCAACUUGACAAACUAUCAUUGUGGUUUUGAUGCGUAGGUAAGAUUGGUUCUUGCUUAAGCCCGUAGUAGCCACGUAAAACUUGCAACAACAAAAUAGAGGACGUCUAACUUGUUUUUGCAGGGCAUGUUGUGAUGUGAUAUGGUCAAGACAUGAUGCUGAUUUUUAUUGUAUGAGAUGAUCAUGUUUUGUAACCGAGUUAUCGGCAACUGGCAGGAGCCAUAUGGUUGUCGCUUUAUUGUAUGCAAGCAAUCGCGAUGUAAUGCUUUACUUUAUCACUAAACGGUAGCGAUAGUCGUGGAAGCACAAGCUUGGCGAGACGACAACGACGCUACGAUGGAGAUCAAGGUGUCACGCCGGUGACGAUGGUGAUCACGAUGAUGCUUCGGAGAUGGAGAUCACAAGCACAAGAUGAUGAUGGCCAUAUCAUAUCACUUAUAUUGAUUGCAUGUGAUGUUUAUCUUUUAUGCAUCUUAUCUUGCUUUGAUUGACAGUAGCAUUAUAAGAUGAUCUCUCACUAAUUAUCAAGAAGUGUUCUUCCUGAGUAUGCACCGUUGCGAAAGUUCUUCGUGCUGAGACACCACGUGAUGAUAGGGUGUGAUAGGUUCUACGUUCAAAUACAACGGGUGCAAAACAGUUGCACACGCGGAAUACUCAGGUUAUACUUGACGAGCCAAGCAUAUACAGAUAUGGCCUCGGAACACGGAGACCGAAAGGUCGAGCGUGAAUCAUAUAGUAGAUAUGAUCAACAUAAUGAUGUUCACCAAUGAAACUACUCCAUCUCACGUGAUGAUCGGACAUGGUUUAGUUGAUUUGGAUCACGUAAUCACUUAGAGGAUUAGAGGGAUGUCUAUCUAAGUGGGAGUUCUUUAAGUAAAUUAACUGAACUUAAAUUUAUCAUGAAACUUAGUACCUGAUAAGUAUCUUGCUUGUUUAUGCUUGUUUGUAGAUAGAUGGCUCGUGCUGUUGUUCCGUUGAAUUUUAAUGCGUUCCUUGAGAAAGCAAAGUUGAAAGAUGAUGGUAGCAAUUACACGGACUGGGUCCGUAACUUGAGGAUUACCCUCAUUGCUGCACAGAAGAAUUACGUCCUGGAAGCACCGCUGGGUGCCAGGCCUGCUGCAGGAGCAACGCCGGAUGUUAUGAACGUCUGGCAGAGCAAAGCUUAUGACUACUCGAUAGUUCAGUGUGCCAAGCUUUACGGCUUAGAAUCGGGACUUCAACGACGUUUUGAACGUCAUGGAGCAUAUGAGAUGUUCCAGGAGUUGAAGUUAAUAUUUCAAGCAAAUGCCCGGAUUGAGAGAUAUGAAGUCUCCAAUAAGUUCUAUAGCUGCAAGAUGGAGGAGAACAGUUCUGUUAGUGAGCAUAUACUCAAAAUGUCUGGGUAUAAUAAUCACUUGAUUCAAUUGGGAGUUAAUCUUCCAGAUGAUUGCGUCAUUGACAGAAUUCUCCAAUCACUGCCACCAAGCUACAAGAGCUUCGUGAUGAACUAUAAUAUGCAAGGGAUGAAUAAUACUAUUCCCGAGCUCUUCGCAAUGCUGAAAGCUGCGGAGGUAGAAAUCAAGAAGGAGCAUCAAGUGUUGAUGGUCAACAAGACCACUAGUUUCAAGAAAAAGGGCAAAGGAAAGAAGAAGGGGAACUUCAAAAAGAACGGCAAGCAAGUUGCUACUCAAGAGAAGAAACUCAAACCUGGACCUAAGCCUGAAACUGAGUGCUUCUAUUGCAAGCAGACUGGUCACUGGAAGCGGAACUGCCCCAAGUAUUUGGCGGAUAAGAAGGAUGGCAAGGUGAACAAAGGUAUAUGUGAUAUACAUGUUAUUGAUGUGUACCUUACUAAUGCUCGCAGUAGCACCUGGGUAUUUGAUACUGGUUCUAUUGCUAAUAUUUGCAACUCGAAACAGGGACUACGGAUUAAGCGAAGAUUGGCUAAGGACGAGGUGACGAUGCGCGUGGGAAACGGUUCCAAAGUCGAUGUGAUCGCAGUCGGCACGCUACCUCUACAUCUACCUUCGGGAUUAAUAUUAGACCUAAAUAAUUGUUAUUUGGUGACAGCGUUAAGCAUGAACAUUAUUUCUGGAUCUUGUUUGAUGCGAGACGGUUAUUCAUUUAAAUCAGAGAAUAAUGGUUGUUCUAUUUAUAUGAGUAAUAUCUUUUAUGGUCAUGCACCCUUGAAGAGUGGUCUAUUCUUGUUGAAUCUCGAUAGUAGUAACACACAUAUUCAUAAUGUUGAAGCCAAAAGAUGCAGAGUUGAUAAUGAUAGUGCAACUUAUUUGUGGCACUGCCGUUUAGGUCAUAUCGGUGUAAAGCGCAUGAAGAAACUCCAUACUGAUGGACUUUUGGAACCACUUGAUUAUGAAUCACUUGGUACUUGCGAACCGUGCCUCAUGGGCAAGAUGACUAAAAUGCCGUUCUCCGGUACUAUGGAGAGAGCAACAGAUUUGUUGGAAAUCAUACAUACAGAUGUAUGUGGUCCGAUGAAUAUUGAGGCUCGUGGCGGAUAUCGUUAUUUUCUCACCUUCACAGAUGAUUUAAGCAGAUAUGGGUAUAUCUACUUAAUGAAACAUAAGUCUGAAACGUUUGAAAAGUUCAAGGAAUUUCAGAGUGAAGUUGAAAAUCAUCGUAACAAGAAAAUAAAGUUUCUACGAUCUGAUUAUGGAGGAGAAUAUUUGAGUUACGAGUUUGGUGUACAUUUGAAAAAUUGUGGAAUAGUUUCGCAACUCACGCCACCCGGAACACCACAGCGUAAUGGUGUGUCCGAACGUCGUAAUCGUACUUUACUAGAUAUGGUGCGAUCUAUGAUGUCUCUUACUGAUUUACCGCUAUCGUUUUGGGGGUACGCUCUAGAGACGGCCGCAUUCACGUUAAAUACGGCACCAUCAAAAUCCGUUGAGACGACGCCUUAUGAACUGUGGUUUGGCAAGAAACCAAAGUUGUCGUUUCUGAAAGUUUGGGGCUGCGAUGCUUAUGUGAAAAAGCUUCAACCUGAUAAGCUCGAACCCAAAUCGGAGAAAUGUGUCUUCAUAGGAUAUCCAAAGGAGACUAUUGGAUACACCUUCUAUCACAUAUCCAAAGGCAAGACUUUUGUUGCUAACUUUGGAAACUUUCUAGAGAAGGAGUUUCUCUCGAAAGAAGUGAGUGGGAGGAAAGUAGAACUUGACGAGGUAACUGUACCUACUCCCUUACUGGAAAGUAGUACAUCAUAGAAAACUGUUUCUGUGACACCUACACCAGUUAGUGAGGAAGCUAAUGAUGAUGAUCAUGAAACUUCAGAACAAGAUACUACUGAACCUCGUAGAUCAACCAGAGUAAGAUCCGCACUAGAGUGGUAUGGUAAUCCCGUUCUGGAAGUCAUGCUACUAGAUCAUGAUGAACCUACGAACUAUGAAGAAGCGAUGGUGAGCCCAGAUUCCGCAAAGUGGCUUGAAGCCAUGAAAUCUGAGAUGGGAUCCAUGUAUGAGAACAAAGUAUGGACUUUGGUUGACUUGCCCGAUGAUCGGCGAGCAAUUGAAAAUAAAUGGAUCUUCAAGAAGGAGACUGACGCUGACGGUAAUAUUACUGUCUACAAAGCUCGACUUGUCGCAAAAGGUUUUCGGCAAGUUCAAGGGAUUGACUACGAUGAGACCUUCUCACCCGUAGCGAUGCUUAAGUCUGUCCGAAUCAUAUUAGCAAUUGCCGCAUUUUAUGAUUAUGAAAUUUGGCAGAUGGAUGUCAAAACUGCAUUCCUGAAUGGAUUUCUGGAAGAAGAGUUGCAUAUGAUGCAACCAGAAGGUUUUGUCGAUCCAAAGGGAGCUAACAAAGUGUGCAAGCUCCAGCGAUCCAUUUAUGGACUGGUGCAAGCCUCUCGGAGUUGGAAUAAACGUUUUGAUAGUGUGAUCAAAGCAUAUGGUUUUAUACAGACUUUUGGAGAAGCCUGUAUUUACAAGAAAGUGAGUGGGAGAUCUAUAGCAUUUCUGAUAUUAUAUGUGGAUGACAUAUUACUAAUUGGAAAUGAUGUAGAAUUUCUGGAUAGCAUAAAGGGAUACUUAUAUAAGAGUUUUUCAAUGAAAGACCUCGGUGAAGCUGCUUACAUAUUAGGCAUUAAGAUCUAUAGAGAUAGAUCAAGACGCUUAAUUGGACUUUCACAAACCACAUACCUUGACAAAGUUUUGAAGAAGUUCAAAAUGGAUCAAGCAAAGAAAGGGUUCUUGCCUGUGUUACAAGGUGUGAAGUUGAGUAAGACUCAAUGCCCAACCACUGCAGAAGAUAGAGAGAAUAUGAAAGAUGUUCCCUAUGCAUCAGCCGUAGGAUCUAUCAUGUAUGCAAUGCUGUGUACCAGACCUGAUGUGUGCCUUGCUAUAAGUCUAGCAGGGAGGUACCAAAGUAAUCCAGGAGUGGAUCACUGGACAACGGUCAAGAACAUCCUGAAAUACUUGAAAAGGACUAAGGAUAUGCUUCUCGUAUAUGGAGGUGACAAAGAGAUCAUCGUAAAAGGUUACAUUGAUGCAAGCUUUGACACUGAUCCGGACGAUUCUAAAUCGCAAACCGGAUACGUGUUUACAUUAAACGAUGGGGCUGUAAGUUGGUGCAGUUCUAAACAAAGCGUUGUAGCGGGAUCUACAUGUGAAGCGGAGUACAUGGCUACUUCGGAAGCAGCAAAUGAAGGAGUCUGGAUGAAGGAGUUCAUAUCCGAUCUAGGUGUUAUACCUAGUGCAUCAGGUCCAAUGAAAAUCUUUUGUGACAAUACUGGUGCAAUUGCCUUGGCAAAGGAAUCCAGAUUUCACAAGAGAACCAAGCACAUCAAGAGACGCUUCAAUCCCAUCCGGGAUCUAGUCCAGGUGGGAGACAUAGAGAUUUGCAAGAUACAUACGGAUUUGAAUGUUGCAGACCCGUUGACUAAGCCUCUUCCACGAGCAAAACAUGAUCAGCACCAAGGCUCCAUGGGUGUGAGAAUCAUUACUGUGUAAUCUAGAUUAUUGACUCUAGUGCAAGUGGGAGACUGAAGGAAAUAUGCCCUAGAGGCAAUAAUAAAGUUAUUAUUUAUUUCCUUAUAUCAUGAUAAAUGUUUAUUAUUCAUGCUAAAAUUGUAUUAACCGGAAACAUAAUACAUGUGUGAAUACAUAGACAAACAAAGUAUCACUAGUAUGCCUCUACUUGACUAGCUCGUUAAUCAAAGAUGGUUAUGUUUCCUAACCAUGAACAAUGAGUUGUUAUUUGAUUAACGGGAUCACAUCAUUAAGUGAAUGAUCUGAUUGACAUGACCCAUUCCAUUAGCUUAGCACCCGAUCGUUUAGUAUGUUGCUAUUGCUUUCUUCAUGACUUAUACAUGUUCCUAUAACUAUGAGAUUAUGCAACUCCCGUUUACCGGAGGAACACUUUGGGUGCUACCAAACGUCACAACGUAACUGGGUGAUUAAAAAGGAGUACUACAGGUGUCUCCAAAGGUACAUGUUGGGUUGGCAUAUUUCGAGAUUACGUUUUGUCACUCCGAUUGUCGGAGAGGUAUCUCUGGGCCCUCUCGGUAAUGCACAUCACUUAAGCCUUGCAAGCAUUGCAACUAAUGAGUUAGUUGUGGGAUGAUGUAUUACAGAACGAGUAAAGAGACUUGACGGCAACGAGAUUGAACUAGGUAUUGGAAUACCGACGAUCGAAUCUCGGGCAAGUAACAUACCGAUGACAAAGGGAACGACGUAUGUUGUUAUGCGGUCUGACCAAUAAAGAUCUUCGUAGAAUAUGUAGGAGCCAAUAUGGGCAUCCAGGUCCCGCUAUUGGUUAUUGACCGGAGACGUGUCUCAGUCAUGUCUACAUUGUUCUCGAACCUGUAGGGUCCGCACGCUUAAGGUUACGAUGACAGUUAUAUUAUGAGUUUAUGCAUUUUGAUGUACCGAAGUUUGUUCGGAGUCCCGGAUGUGAUCACGGACAUGACGAGGAGUCUCGAAAUGGUCGAGACAUAAAGAUUUAUAUAUUGGAAGCCUAUGUUUGGAUAUCGGAAGUGUUCCGGGUGAAAUCGAGAUUUUACCGGAGUACCGGGAGGUUACCGGAACCCCCCGGGAGCUAGAUGGGCCAUAGUGGGCCUUAGUGAAAAAGAGAAGGGGCUGCCCAAAGUGGGCUGCGCCCCCCUCCCCUCCCUUGGUCCGAAUAGGACAACGAGAGGGGGCCGGCCACCCUCUCUCUCUUCCCCCCUCCGCGAAUCCUAUUCCAACUAGGAUUGGGGGGGGGGGAAUCCUACUCCCAGAGGGAGUAGGACUCUCCUGGCGCGCCUCUCCUAGGCCGGCCGCACCCCCCCUUUAGUCCUUUAUAUACGGAGGCAGGGGCACCCCAGAAACACACAAGUUGAUCCACGUGAUCUUUUCCUUAGCCGUGUGCGGCGCCCCCAGCCACCAUAGUCCUUGAUAAUAUUGUAGCGGAGUUUAGGCGAAGCCCUGCUGCAGUAGUACAACAAGAUCGUCACCACGCCGUCGUGCUUGCGGAACUCUUCCCCGACACUUUGCUGGAUCGGAGUCCGGGGAUCGUCAUCGAGCUGAACGUGUGCUAAAACUCGGAGGUGCUGUAGUUUCGGUGCUUGAUCGGUCGGGCCAUGAAGACGUAUGACUACAUCAACCAAACACUUCCGUUGUCGAUCUACUAGGUAUGUAGAUCACACUCCCCCCUCUCGUUGCUAUGCAUCACAUGAUCUUGCGUGUGCGUAGGAUUUUUUUUGAAAUUACUACGUUCCCCUGCAGAAAGAAGUAGAUACACCAACACAAUCAAUCAAUAAUGACGAUCAAGGUGAGGUCAUCAAUUCCAUAUAUGUUCUUAUGAAAUCCAAAUAAAUAUAUUAUACAAUAGAAAAUUGCAACACAGGUAAUAAUGAAGUCAUAUUUGAAGAGGACAUAAACGAGGAUGAAUACAUGUUCUCUGGUCAAGGUAUGCUUAAUAGAAUUUAAAUAUAUUUUAAUCAUUAUAUUGCUUCUGUACUAACUUUUGCUACAAACCAAACUAGAAUGGGACAGAGAAGUGGAAAUUGAAAUCAAAGAAGGCGAGGAAAUACACAACCCUAAUCCUUAUGAUUUCGUCUAUAGCAACAUACCCAAAAAAACACACGUGCUCAAAACGGAAGGAAAUUGCAGAUUCUGCCAUGCAAAAAAUUCAAGUAUGAAACUAAGGGAUUAUGCUGCAGAAAAGGACAGAUAAGACUAGCCAAUGCAGAUACACCACCUGAACUCAUAAGACUUUGGAUAAGCAACGACUCUGAUGCAAGACAUUUUCGGAACAAUAUAAGAUUUUUCAAUGGCCACUUCUCGUUUACUACUCUAUAUUGCCAUCUUGACAGAGACACAACCGACAUGCGAAAUUCUGGUGGUAUUUACACCUUUCGAGCACAUGGUCAGAUCUAUCACAGCAUACACUCAUUUGGUAAUAGUCGACCAGAUCCAAAGCAUGUGGAGCUAUACUUCUACGACAAUGAUCCAAGCUUAGAGCAUCGGUACUGCCGUUGCCGCGAGGAAAUGUACGAGCAAGACAAGCAUGUGAUCGGGAUAAUAACCAACAUCCUACGGGAUAACCCAUACUCUCAACAAUUUAGGAGUUUGGGACGAGCCCAAAACCUUGAGGACUACAGACUCGUCUUAAACCCGGACCAAAGAUUGGACCAGAGAACAUACAACGCGCCAAUAAAUUCGGAGGUAGCUGCAGUGUGGAUUGAAGGAAAUAAAAGAAGAGACACUUAUGACAGGAAUGUAAUACUACAUGGAAACUACAAUGAAAAAGAGCACAUUCGAUCAUAUUACGGGUGCUAUGAUCCGUUGUCGUACCCUCUAUUCUUUCCAAGAGCUGAGCUGGGUUGGCAUAGGAAAAUCCCAAAGAGGAAUACAAAAAAGGAAGAUAUUGGUGCUGAUAAUAUCAGUAAUGAUGAUGACCUAGGUAAAAUUUCAUAUACUAUUAUAUUCAAUAUUCAAUUUAACUAACUUUUUUAUGUCGCAAUAUUUGCACAGAUUCUGCCAACGGCCUGUGGGUAACCAUGAAAGAAUACUACUGGUAUAAAUUCCAUACACGACCAAGCAUAUUCAACCAAUAUUGCAGGGCGGACGGAUUUUCCAGCAGUUUGUUGUAGAUACAUACAUAAAGAUUGAAAGCUCCAGACUGGAUUACAUGUGGCAUCAUCAAAACAAAAUAAGGGCGGAUCUAUACCAAGGCCUUCUAGACAUCAUUCAAGCUAGAGAACAGAAUGGAGAUGCAAUCGGAAAACGGAGAGUACUUGCAUCAUCAUUUAUUGGAGGGCCACGCGAUAAAAUUCGUCCGUAUCUAGAUUCUAUGGCUUUAGUUAGAAAAUAUGGAAAACCAGACGUAUUACUCACAAUGACAUGCAACCCCAACUGGAAGGGAUCACACGUGAACUACAGUUUGGACAAACACCACAAGAUCGCCCAGACAUUAUCGUUUGUGUUUUCAAGGCGAAGCUCAAAGAAAUGAAGAAGCAACUAUUUGAGAAGGCCAUUCUUGGAAAGGUCAAGGCAUAUACAUAUGUCAUAGAGUUCCAAAAGAGGGGAUUACCCUGACGGUGUCCUGGACUAGGGGGUACUGUAACACCCCGGAUGUAACUUUCCCAAUUUGUACUCCAACUCUUGCCGUUUCCGGCGUUAACUUAUUUUAUUUUCUCGGGUUCGGGUCUUUGUCUCCGUGUGUUGUUGUCGUUGUCAUGCAUCUCAUAUCAUGUCAUCAUGUGCAUUUCAUUUGCAUACGUGCUCGUCUCAUGCAUUCGAGCAUUUUCCCCGUUGUCCGUUUUGCAUUCCGGCGCUUCAUUCUCCUCCGAUGGUCAUUUCUAGCUUUCUUUCGUGUGUGGGGAUUAAACAUUUCCGGAUUGGACCGAGACUUGCCAAGCUGCCUUGGUUUACUACCGGUAGACCGCCUGUCAAGUUUCGUAUCAUUUGGACUUCGUUUGAUACUCCAACGAUUAACCGAGUGACCGAAAAGGCCUCGUGUGUGUUGCAGCCCAACACCCCUCCAAUUUGGAACAAAACCCACCUAAACCCUUUCUAUCAUCUAGAGCGUUCGAUCACGAUCGCGUGGCUGAAAACUGCACCUCAUUUGAACUCUCCUAGCUCCCUCUAGGCCUAUAUAAAGGUCUCUCCCCGAAAAUCCGGGUCUUCCCCCGUCCUAACCCUAAAAAUUCCGUCUCUGCCGCCGCCGGACGUGUCCGGACGGAGCCGGACACCGUCCGACCCAGCCGCCACCGCCACGUGUCGCCCCGGGAUUCACCGCCNNNNNNNNNNNNNNNNNNNNNNNNNNNNNNNNNNNNNNNNNNNNNNNNNNNNNNNNNNNNNNNNNNNNNNNNNNNNNNNNNNNNNNNNNNNNNNNNNNNNNNNNNNNNNNNNNNNNNNNNNNNNNNNNNNNNNNNNNNNNNNNNNNNNNNNNNNNNNNNNNNNNNNNNNNNNNNNNNNNNNNNNNNNNNNNNNNNNNNNNNNNNNNNNNNNNNNNNNNNNNNNNNNNNNNNNNNNNNNNNNNNNNNNNNNNNNNNNNNNNNNNNNNNNNNNNNNNNNNNNNNNNNNNNNNNNNNNNNNNNNNNNNNNNNNNNNNNNNNNNNNNNNNNNNNNNNNNNNNNNNNNNNNNNNNNNNNNNNNNNNNNNNNNNNNNNNNNNNNNNNNNNNNNNNNNNNNNNNNNNNNNNNNNNNNNNNNNNNNNNNNNNNNNNNNNNNNNNNNNNNNNNNNNNNNNNNNNNNNNNNNNNNNNNNNNNNCUCCCCGACGCCGCGGCCGCGCCGCCCUUGCCUCCCCGACGCCGCGCCCGCCGUCCCGUGCUCCGGCGAGAGCAACACCGGCGAGCCCCUCGACCUCCUACGACCGGCGAGCCCGCCAAGACCGGCCACCACCUCCGACGAACCUCGAACAUUGCGCCCCAGUGAAUAGUACCCGGCGAGAUCUAGAUCCAGAUCCGGUUGAUUUUCUCCCGAAACCCUAGCUCAUGUGCCCAUGUUCGUCGUGCCGUAACUUUGCAUCCGCAGCUUCGAUUUAGGCAUAUAGCAUAUCAAAAUGUUCAUCUCAGAGAGUAUAUCAUUUCAUUCCAUUGCAUCAUUUUCAUUUGAGUUCAUCUUGAUGCCCGAAAUGCUGUUAGAAGAGGGCUAUUUGAGAUAAUUGUCAGAUCUGCUACUCCAUUUAGGUUUUUGUCAUUUUUGCCAUGAUUAAUGUGUGCUUGAUAUGCCCUGAUGUUCUACAUAUGUUUUGUUAAGGGUUUUAUCAUCUUUCCAGAGGUGCAACCCAUGUAUUUUUGUGAUGUGUGUGGUGACUAGCACAAGCUUGCAAAGUGGUGCACUUGGUAAUUUUGUUUUUAGGGACUUAGCAAUUCCACUAAGUCCUUGAUCUAUUUAUCUCAUGAUGCCAUAUGUUCAUGUUGUUUCCUAGUGAUCCGUGCCUCUUUUGAGGAUGAUCAGUAAGGAUGUUUUGUUAUUCUUGCAGUGCUCUAUCCAUCCAUGUCUUUAUUUGCAAUUAUGGAGCACGCUAGCUUGAGUCAAUCGAGCUCUACUUUUGGUACUUUGUGAAUCUGGGCAGAUUGUCAACUUGUUUGCAAUUUUGCCGAUGAUGUUGUAGUUGAUCCGUGCAUGCUAUGUUAUUGGUCUUACAUUGUCUAGCUUUCAUUUUGUGUAUUCUUGAUGGGUAUAUGCUUGUCUUGUCAUAACUUGCACCGUAGUGAGUGCAUCGAGCUCGUGAACAUGCCUACUUGAGUUAUAUUUCAGUAUGUGCCAGUUUUCACUAAGUCUGAAAACUGAUUAUGUUUUUGCUAUGUUCACAUGCUUGCAAUUGUAUUUUCCGAUCCCUUUUGGCUCAAGGUCACUAAGGGACUUUUGUUAAGCUCUUCGAGUAGCUCCAUGCCAUGCUUUACUUUGCCAUGUUCAGGUCCUGUAGCAUGUAGUUUUGUUGCUCCGAAGAGAGCUACCUGAUCUGAAAUUCCAGACAAGUGUUAAUUUCACUAAGUCUGAGAUCUGUUUGUCAUAUGCAUUUUUGCCAUGCUUGUUUGAACCUGUUAAUGGAUGAUUUGGCCGUAGCUCAGUGCUAGACUUUUGUUAAGCAUUUUGAAUGCAUCCCUGCCAUGUAUUUUGUGGUCAUGUUUGGGUGUUGUAGCAUGUUCAUCUCAUUGCAUUUAGGUGGCUACUUGUUGUAAAUCGCAGACCGGUGUCAUAUUUGAAUCGCUUGCCAUUUCCAAACCGUAACUCCGAUUCCGGCGAUCUUUAUAUCGUUUUCAAGCGAUUUCAUCUCAUCUUUCCAGUGGAAUACUUGGAUUUCCAAGUUGAUGCCAGGUUCUUGCAUUUCCUGUCAUAUCUUGCAUAUGCAUCCUGCAUCGCAUCCCGCAUAGCAUAUCAUCAUUGCAUCGUCUUGUUUGAUCCUUGCACGUGGUUGAUUGUGUCCUUGUUGCUUGUUUGUCUUGUUUGGGUAGAGCCGGGAGACGAGUUCGCUAACGAGGAGCCCGUUGAGUUUGCUUUCGAGGAUCCAGUCAACUCUGACAACUGUGCAGGCAAGAUGAUCAUACCCUCGAAAUCACUACUAUCUUUGCUAUGCUAGUUUGCUCGCUCUUUUGCUAUUCCAAUGCUACGAUGCCUACCUUUUUCUUUCAAGCCUCCCAAAUUGCCAUGUCAAACCUCUAACCCACCAUGUCCUAGCAAACCGUUGAUUGGCUAUGUUACCGCUUUGCUCAGCCCCUCUUAUAGUGUUGCUAGUUGCAGGUGAAGAUUGGAGGUCGUUCCUUGUUGGAACAUUUAUUUACUUGUUGGGAUAUCAUUAUAUUAUCUUGUUAUCUUAAUGCAUCUAUAUACUUGGUAAAGGGUGAAAGGCUCGGCCUCUCGCCUGGUGUUUUGUUCCACUCUUGCCGCCCUAGUUUCCGUCAUAUCGGUGUUAUGUUCCCGGAUUUUGCGUUCCUUACGCGGUUGGGUUAUAAUGGGAACCCCUUGAUAGUUCGCCUUGAUUAAAGCUUCUCCAGCAAUGCCCAACCUUGGUUUUACCAUUUGCCACCUAGCCUCUUUUCCCUUGGGUUUCCGGAGCCCGAAGGUCAUCUUAUUUUAAACCCCCCCGGGCCAGUGCUCCUUUGAGUGUUGGUCCAAACUAGAGUCCUGUGCAGCGCCCCCUCGGGGAUACUCGAGGUUUGGUUUUAGUUGUAUGGAGUGCUCAUCUGAUGUGCCCUGAGAAAGAGACAUGUGCAGCUCCUAUCGGGAUUUGUCGGCACAUUCGGGCGGUGUUGCUGGUCUUGUUUUAACCUGUCGAAGUGUCUUGAAGAACCGAGAUACCGAGUCUGAUCGGAACGUCUUGGGAGGAGGUCUAUUCCUUCGUUGACUAUGAGAGCUUGUCAUGGGCUAAGUUGGGACUCCCCUGCAGGGAUUUGAACUUUUGAAAGUCGUGCCCGCGGUUAUGGGCAGAUGGGAAUUUGUUAAUGUCUGGUUGUAGAUAACUUGAACCUUAAUUUAAUUAAAAUGAAUCAACUGAGUGUGUUACCGUGAUGGCCUCUUCUCGGCGGAGUCCGGGAAGUGGACACAGUGUUGGAGUAAUGUUUGCGCAGGUUGUUCUCUAGUUUCUCGCUCGCGCUUUGCCUCCUCUUCUCGCUCUCUUUUGCGAAUAAGUUAGCCACCAUAUUUGCUAGUCGCUUGCUGCAGCUCCUCAUAUAUUUACCUUGCCUUACCUAUAAGCUUAAAUAGUCUUGAUCGCGAGGGUGCGAGAUUGCCGAGUCCCUGUGGCUCACAGAUUACUAUUACACCAGAUGCAGGGCCUGAUGAUUCUGCUCCAGGUGACGCGCUUGAGCUCAAGUGGGAGUUCGACGAAGACUCUCAACAUUACUAUGUUUCCUUUCCUGAUGAUCAGUAGUGGUGCCCAGUUGGGGGUGAACGGGACCGUUGUCGCAUGUUGGGUUCUCUUUUAUUUUGGCGCCGUAGUCGGGCCAUGAGUGUUUGGAUGAUGUAAUGUUAUUUAUGUACUUGAUUGACGUGGCGAGUGUAAGCCAACUAUGUUAUCUCCCCUUUAUUAUUCAUAUUACAUGGGAUGUUGUGAAGAUUGCCUAACUUACGACAUAUGCCUUAAAUGCGUUUAUGUCUCUAAGUCGUGCCUCGAUACGUUGGAGCUAUAGUCGCAUCGAGGGUGUUACAGGUACUCACCACGUCAUCUCCCGACUAGUGGGUCAGGCCGAGGACCUUCAUGGUGGUUCACUAUUGGGCCAGUUCGGACAACCCAUGCCGUAUACAAGGGAGAUCCCACAAAGACUUGGCGCCCAAGACGAGGACUCUCCUAAACCCUAGGCCUCUGGUGUGUUAUAUAAACCGAGGCCAGGCUAGUCAAUAGACAUCUCAUAUUCAUUACUACAAUCUCGUGGUAGAUACUUGUAUUAUGUACUAUCCCCAUAUGAAUACAAUUAAAAGUUGGACGUAAGGUUUUAGCUUCAUCAAGAGGGCCCGAACCUGGGUAAAACCCCAUGCCUGUGUUACCAUCGCUCCAAGACGCCUAGCUUAGGACCCUUAGUACGGGAUACGCCGAAUAUAGAACCGACAUUGAUGCUUUCACUGAGAGCCUGCUAGGCGUCGUCACGGGUCGAUGGCAUAAACCAGGUGUUAUGAUUUUAAUUCAAUCUAUUCCGCGUAUAUCAGAUUUCUUUUUAUUGUUUGUGGUCUUGCACUAUGUUUGUUUACAUACCAGUUUUGACCUCGAACGCCGCCGGGCAAUCGGAAUAUGCGUCACGCAGCGGCCGCCCGGGCUCCUUGAAAAUCAGGCAGACGUGGUACAUCGCAGAAGGAAAAAUCAAGACAUAUCAAAAAGCUGCUCCGAGGAGAAGCGACGGCCUGGCACUAAUUGCCAGAUCAAUCUAAUCAUGGGGCAGCCCACUAGGACUACUAGUUGUGGCACAUCAAUCGUUUGAUUGAUGCAAUCGUGCUUGUCUAAUCUGACUAGCCCUCACACUGAAGCUCCAGAGCACUUUGAUGUAGUUUUUUUAUUUUCCCUAGCUUUAGCCGGAGUCAGAUGCAUCCAUAAAGGUCAACUAGCAGAUGAUCUUGCCUAACGUAUGCCGCGCUGGGUCCUGAGGAAUAAAUGCAUGGGUCGGGCAAACACAUGCAAAGGUGAAGACACUCCGGCCAUCCAGGCAUCUGACGACCGCCGUAUCUGUAACCGAAUCUGUCCUAUAAAAAAUAUGCCAUCACCCCUUCGUCUUCAUUGACCUAGGCGCCAGGCUAUGUUUCUUUUAUCUACUUUGUGUAAACUUAAUUAUGCAAAGAAUUUUUUUCAACUAUUAUUAUUUCUUUGUGCAUUAUUCUAUGUGUGCAGGUAAUCAACUUCGACUGCAUCAUGCGGUCAACUCUGUGGGCCGACAUCGUCGUCCUGCCUGCAUCGAUCAAGUUGCUCCGUCGCCUCAGUGCGCGUCCCUGUGUCAGCAUGUCCGCGGCCAUUCUAUCGGUACGACCUCGGCACAAUUGACAUACACUGCGCAUUACCUGGCGCAAUGACGCACAAGAGAAUUAGGCUUGGCGCAACCACAAGGAGAUUUGACUUUCUUUUUUCCAUUCCUCCUCUAUAUUAUUUAAUUAAGCAGGUAAUCGACUUCGACUACGUCACACGGUCACUUCAGCAAGCCGACGAUGUCGUCCCAAUCGGCAUAAAUCGGCUCGCGUGAUCACCUUGUCGGUCGAAUUGCCAUACCGACAUGUUCUGUUGCCUCAGGGACUUUGACAUCACUAAGAGAGCUCUACCUCAUUGAGUGUUCGGCGCACGGGUCAUAUUUCUUUUAUUACUCACUUUGCAUAAAUUAUUAAUCAUGCAACUUUUUUAUUAUUACUUCUGCCUUGCACUAUUUUAUGUGUGCAGAUAAUUGAUUUUUGCUGCGUCACGCAGUCACCUCGGCGUGCGGAGUCGUCCUCUCGCCUCUAUCAACCAAAUUCCACUAUUACCAUGGUGUGAUACCCUGUGUUGCCAUUAUCGCGUGGUCGCUUCAUCAAACUGACGUCCACCAUGCCGACCUGUUUUGACAUGUCGACUGACGUGGGGGCUUCAUUGUCACGCUGCCGAACUACUCUGUUUCCUCAGCUGGACCGGGGGCUUCCCCUCGGAACUUUGGCACCGUCAUGCUAUCACUUUGUCAAGCCGAGCUCUUCGCUCGGGUACGUCAAGACUAGUUUGGGGGUUGGGACCUUGAGCCAAGACAAGCUCGGCCCACGUCACACCGAGCACAUUAACCAGCUAAGUCGCUUUCAUGCUCAAAAAAAAUUAAGUUUUAAAUAUAUUUUUCGGGUCGACCAAGCAUUAUACUUUUUUGACAAAAAGUCAUUUGCGAAAAACUUUCUUUGUCAAAACCUUGUUUGUUACAAACAAAUUCAAAUAAAAUACCCCGUUUAUUUGGGGGAUUCUUUUAUGAAGCCUCUCCUCUUGAAUAUGAUUAUACUUGUAUGGCUUCAUUCCUUAUUAAUGUAUUACGACACAAUAUGCACCAUGUUGACUUAUGUGUUCCGCAAGCUGGGUUGCCUUGCUCCUGUGUUUACCCCUACGUUCCCAAUUGUUCGGCUAGGGAGUAAAGGGAGCACCUCUACGAUUGUCACGAUCGGGUCAUCCGAGCUCGGACCUCAGACUGGGUGAAGUCGAAAGCUAGUGCUCUUAUUGUUUUCAAUCAUGUUCGGCACACAACUGAACUCAUGAAUACAAAAAAUCUAUUGCACAAGUCUCAUAGUAACAAUGAGCAACCGAAGAAAGGUACCAAUGGAGGUACUAUUUUCUUCGAAGAUGCUUCUUACACUUCAUCAGUAAUAUAGCAUAAGUUCCCUGAGCGCGCUUUGUCUAUUAUAGCCUUAUGGCCUGAUUGCCUGGUUAUCGGAAACACCGUCGAUAUUCUCGACAGGUGGAGUACAUAACACUUUUCGGCCCUUGUCCGAAGAGGGAGAAGCCGAUGGUCGGUUAAGACGCGUUUAAAGUUCGGAUGAACACAUAUAUGAUAUAAGUACUUCGGUACAUACAAUCAUUAUACAUAAAAUUCUUUUACCCAAAUCACUUGGGGGCUCUUAAAUUAAUAUGAGUAGUUUUGUAAUAGAUGUUUUCUUUUUAGUCAUUGCAAAAUCUUUUUCUACCACUCCUUUAUCGACUCAACUGUAUGAUCAAUAGCCGGGUAGCCUGGUUUCUCUCUAAAGCCGCUCGCGUUUAGUUCGCUAAACUGGCCUGAGAAACACUCCGCCUUCGGGAUAGGGAGGUUGAAGCCGAGGGCUGACCCACUUGAAGUCUAGAGAUCAGAUGUGUCAUGUCAAAGCAUGACGGAAGUACAAUUUUAAGACCAAUUUCUUAUUGGCACCAAAACAGCUUGAUUCAAUCUAGACGCAAAGUUUUUUACGCAUGUUUUUGGCCUUUGGGCUUAUAACAUCUUUUUACCUAUUUUAUGUUUUCCUUUCAGGAAGCAGGACAUUCUCUUGGUUGAGGUUUUUGGCAUGAAACUCUUUUCUAAAACUACAGUUCGACAUCUUUUCUGCCGAACCCCACCUCGGUAUUGUCAAAACAUACAUGACAGUUGAACUAGUUCCCGAGGAGGUACGAUCCUAGGGUCGGCCAUGUAGCCCAACCCAAUUCUAGGGGGGGGCUACUGCAUUGGCAAUCCAAUGCAGAAAAUUUAAGUGCAAUAUAGUUUUCGAGGAGAUUAUGAUCCUCGGGUUGGUCGGCCGCACCCAACCUGAGUCUCAAGGACUUUGCACACUGCUUUUUGUGUCCCGAAGUAUUUUGCCGAGCUAAGAGUUGAUCCUCAGGCCGAUUUUGCGAAUCAACCUGAGUCUCAGGGGCUACUGGGAUCAGCGGUCUUAUGUCAUCCUUUAGGUGCAUCUCGGGUUUUAGACCGAUACACACCUUGAGGGCUACUGGCUAUAUAUCUCGGCAGAGAAUAAAUUGCACCAAUCAAAAAUAUUGACAAAAAAUCGGCCCGCAGUCGGGGUGGUGCACCACCUCGGAAGCAGUCCGGCAUAAAGCUCGGGCGCUAGUGGCUGGCUCCAUAAAGGGCAUUUCCGGCAUUAAGCUCGGCUAAACUCCUUCAACUUUUUUUGAACCAAGGUGAUCUAUGGCACAUCGGACACAGUCCAGUGUUGGAGCUUGGACACAGUCCGACAUUGGAGCUUGGACACAGUCCGACGUUGGAGCUCAGAUAAAGCCCGGCGUUGGAGCUUGGACAUAGUCCAGCGUUGGAGCUCGGGUACAUUCCGACGUUAGUGCUCGGCUGCAAAAGAUACCUCGAAUGUAGUUCGGCGUUGGAGCUCGGACGCUGCCGCCCGGGAACAACUUCAAACCCAAGGUGUGGCAUAAAAAUAAAAAGGCAUUGAUAAAGGCCGCAAACUUAAAGGGGCUCCUUGGAUACCCGACGUGUAAACUCUUCGGAUGCACUUCAGUGAUGCUCAAGAUCGAAGAUGAUAAGAUUUGUUGAACUAGUUUUCAAGACCAACGACCAAAGAUGAAGAACAGUUUGGAAGAAUCGAGGAGCGUCCCCAACUUGAAGACCGGUUCAGGGGGCUACUGACGGUGUCCUAGACUAGGGGGGUACUCACCACGUCGUCUCCCGACCAGUGGGUCGGGCCGAGGACCCCCAUGGCGGUUCACUAUUGGGCCAGUUCGGACAGCCCAUGCCGUAUACAAGGGAGAUCCCACAAAGACUUGGCGCUCAAGACGAGGACUCUCCUAAACCCCAGGCCUCUGGUGUGUUAUAUAAACCGAGGCUAGGCUAAUCAAUAGACAUCUCAUAUUCAUUACUACAAUCUUGUGGUAGUUACUUGUAUUAUGUACUAUCCCCAUAUGAAUACAAUCAAAAGAAGGAUGUAGGGUUUUACCUCCAUCAAGAGGGCCCGAACCUGGGUAAAACCCCAUGUCCGUGUUACCAUCGCUCCAAGACGCCUAGCUUAGGACCCCUACUACGAGAUAUGCCGGAUAUAGAAUCGACAUAGCCCAUGCUCACUUUUUGCUCAUCAUGACUAGAAAAUACAAAUACACAUGUCCAGAACAGUAUGACCGAAUCAUCUCCGCUGAGCUCCCUAACAAGCACAAGUACCCAGAGUUAUACAAAAUGGUAAUCAAACAUAUUGUGCAUGGUCCUUGCGGUGCAUUGAAUAAAUUUUUUCCAUGCAUAAAGAAUCGUCCGUCAUGCAAGAACAAUUAUCCAAGGCCAUUUAAUGAAACUACAAUCCAAGGAAAGGACUCCUGCCCACUGUAUAGGAGACGCAAUGAUGGUCGGACUGAAACGGUAUGAAAAUGCCAACUGGAUAAUAGGUGGGUGGUUCCUUACAACCCAUAUCUUUUGCGGAUGUUCAACUGCCACAUAAAUGUUGAGAUAUGCUCGAGCAUUAAAGCCGUUAAGUACUUGUUCAAAUACAUCUAUAAGGGACAUGACCGAGCAUCUGUAUUUGUAAUUGACAAAGUGGACGAAGUCGAAAUUGACGAGAUUAAACAGUAUAGAGAUGCGCGGUGGGUGACACCUCCGGAAGCACUAUGGAGAAUAUAUGGCUUCAAAUUAAGCAAAAUACACCCACCAGUCUUGCAACUGCAGCUACAUCUUCCAAAUAUGCACAUGGUUUCAUACCAUGGCAUGGAAAAAAUAAAGAAUAUUAUCGACCGUGAUGGCACAUAAAGAUCAAUGUUGACUGCGUACUUUGAAGCAAACAACUUACAUGAGAAAGCACGAGGCAUACUAUACAGAGACUUUCCGGAAUAUUAUACUUGGCAAAGACAAGGGAAGUUUUGGCAGGAGAGGAAACGAGAUGCUGUGUUCCAGGUUGGCAGGAUGGUCUCGGCACACCCGGCUGAAGGAGAACAAUAUUAUCUUCGAGUACUCACGUUCCAGGCGCCACCAGCUAUGAAGACCUACGAAUAGUCAACAGACAAGUAAUGCCAACCUUCCAUGAAGCUGCAGAAAAACGGGGGCUCAUCGAGGCAGACAACACACUAGAUGACUGCAUGACAGAAGCAGAGUUGUUUCGAAUGCCAUCAUCACUACGAAGGCUAUUCGUGACAAUCUUGGUUUUUUUGCGAACCUAGUGACGUACAUGGCCUAUGGAACAAACACCUUGAUGCAAUGUCAGAAGACUACAACAGAAACUACAAAUGCAAGCACACAAUCGAACAGAUGGUGCUGAGAAAUAUCAGAGACAUGUUGCACUCAAUGGGAAAAGACAUAGAAUCAUUUCCUCUUCCAGAGAUCGACAAACAACAUGAGACGACUGACGACAUACCUAGGGAGAUCGUUGCAGAGACCUCCAUCGAGGUUGACCCUGAGGACAUAUCGUUGCAUAAAAACCUAAACAUCGAGCAGAGGAAGGCCUACGACGAAAUCCUAGCCACGGUUGACCGCCAAAGAGGAGGUAUAUUCUUUGUCGAUGGGCCGGGAGGCACAGGAAAAACUUUUCUUUAUAGGGCGCUCUUGGCCACACAAGGCAAGAUUGCCGUGGCAACGACCACUUCCGGUGUUGCUGCUUCCAUAAUGCCUAGAGGGAGGACCGCACACUCGAGGUUCAAGAUUCCACUAAAAAUAGAUGAUGGAGCUAUUUGUAGCUUCACAAAACAGAGUGGGACAGCAAAGCUACUCCAAGCAGCAUCACUAAUAAUCUGGGAUGAAGCAUCUAUGACAAAGAGACAGACAGUGGAGGCGCUAGACAAAAGCAUGCGGGACAUAAUGGAUAGACUAGAUCUUCCAUUUGGUGGAAAAACGAUCGUAUUUGGGGGAGAUUUUAGACAAGUGCUACCUAUUGUCUGAAAGGGAACAAGAGCCCAGAUAGUAGAUGCAUCACUACGCAGGUCGGAGCUCUGGAAUUACAUGCGUCAAUUGAAGCUUGUGCACAACAUGAGGGCUCAAACGACCCAUGGUUCGUAGAAUACCCACUACGCAUUGGAAACGGAACCGAGAAGACAAAUGAUGAUGGUGAAAUACUUCUACCUACAAGUAUAUGUGUGCCAAAUAAGACGGAUGAUACCGGCCUGGAUAGACUUAUUGACAGUAUCUACCAAACGGGAAAUGUUUACCUAAAAGAUCGAAAGUACAUCACAUCAAGAGCAAUUUUAUCCACAAGGAAUGACUGCGUAGACAAGAUCAACCUAAAUAUGAUUGAUCGCUUCCAGGGGGAGGAGAUGGUGUACCACAGCUUCGAUUCUGUAGAAGAGACCCACAUAACUACUAUCCAUCAUAAUUCCUAAACACCCUAACCCCAAAUGGACUGCCUCCACAUAUGCUGAAGCUAAAAAAAAUUGUCCAAUGAUACUACUCAGGAACAUCGACCCUGCUAAUGGGCUCUGCAACGGCACCAGACUGGUCGUACAUGGAUUUCAGAAAAAUGCAAUUGAUGCAGAGAUUGUGGUAGGCAACACUCUGGAAUGCGAGUUUUCUUGCCUCGGAUACCAUUAUGCCCAUCUGACGAUGACAUGUUCCCGUUCAGUUUCAAGAGAAAACAGUUUCCUGUCAGACUCAGUUUUGCAAUGACAAUAAACAAAUCACAAGGCCAGACAAUACCAACUGUCGUUGUCUACGUGCCUGAGCUUGUUUUCUCACAUGGUCAAUUAUAUGUCACGCUUUCUAGAGCAACCGCGACAUCGGACAUAAAGGUACUAACAUGUACACAUGAUGUGAACAAGGGGACAAAUAAAAAAUAAAUAAAGGUGACACAUACACAAAGGAGAAGAAGAAAAGGAAGAAUAGGAUCAGUACAAGCAAUACAUACACAAAGAAUAUUGUCUACACAGAAGUCUUGACCAAAUAGGUAAUGCAAUUUUUCAAUUUUGUGUUUAUAAAUUCAGUUUCAACUUAGUACAUUCAUUCAUGACCAACUUAAUAAUUUGUAUUACACAUUGAAUCUCUAAUUUUCUAACCUUAAAAUUACUUCUUGCAUUCUUCAGGACAAUCAAGCUGUCAACUUCGGAGUUAGAAUUCAGAACUACUUGAUCGUCUUGAAGGAGGAUGUCUUCAUGUUCUGAACCACUAACUUAUUCAUUGAUAUUUAUUUAUAUAAUAUGUCCAAUAAAUUAUUAAGUUUUAUUCAAAUAUUUGAUCACUUUGAUGAUCUCUAUUAUGGUUAUACAAUCUAUAUAUGUAAAUUUACCAACGAUGAGUAGCUAAGGUCAAAUUGAGACUUACCAGUCAAUAUAGAGACAUAUUUCUUGCCUUGGAGCUGAUGUUGUUGCAUUGAUUUUUCUAAACAUCGCUUUAUCUAAGUCCAAGAAACCUGAAAAAUAUCUGACACAUUGUAAGAAAAUACAUAUCAAUUUCACAUUGUAAGAAAAUAUCUGACAAUUUCAUAAUGGAUUGAAACCCUGCAUAGUGUAGCGUUGCAUAUUUUUGAGGAAAUUGUGAUGCUCUGUUUCAUCAGGAUUAAGAUGCUUGAACAUGUAAGCAGUGUACUAGCGGCCAAUAGAGAUAUUUCUCAUGCUGACUACGUGCUAUCAAUUGUGCCAUACACAUUAUUUAGUAACUAAUCAAAAAGUGUCAAAAGCUAGCCACCAAAGCAAAUCUGAAUCUGCUACUAUGCUACUACUGCCACAACUAACCGAGGUUGGAGCAUAGGGAAUAAGCUGCUCCUCCACCAAUCGCAUAUAGGGGGUGACGGGGUGGGACUGAAGGAGAUUGGGAGAUCCGGAGAGGAAGUAAAGAGAGAAGAAGGGAAAUGGCACGCAUUACCUUUACAAUAUUGGAGGCAACGUCACGGAAGCAGGCGGAGGCGGAGGGCAGCCAGGCGGGGCGGAGAAUGAAGAGGCAAGCGGCGGCUGUCGGGACGCACGCCGGGAUGGCAACAAGGUGGCGGUGCACAUGCGAGGUCGGCCAGGAGGACGAGCAAUGCAAACAUCUGGAAGGAGGAAGCCGACGCUAUUCUCCAUCGAGAAACGAAGGCUGCAGUACCACACCCCAGCGACGGCGAGCCCCAUUGGUGGACGGCGGCUGCGGGAUAGCCCUAGACGAGUCUGCUGCGUGUGUUUUUUUAGGGGUAUGCUGCAUGUGGUGCUGUGGAAGUGAGGAGGUGCAAGAGGAAGUGCUCGUGGGCUGGAAUGGCCAGAUGGAUUCAGUUUGGCCUUUUCAUUUUCUCCACUCACUAUUGAAACAUCCCGGGCAGACCAAAGUGGGCCUACCAAAUGUACAUAUGACAUCGAGCCAUUGUUUUCUUCGUUUUCCAAAAAGAAGUAAUUCCCUGGACACGGAUAUUUGACUCUAGGAGCAUAUUCUCUGUAAUGAACAGGAAAAUCAAAAUAAAAUUUUAAAAUCCUAAAUUUUUACUACAUGUUCAUAUUAGUGUAGCAAGCGUGCUUGACAAUUUUCAUGCCAUAUGGGAUAAUAGUGCUUCGUCGGUGAAAAAAAUAAAAUUAAGUGUAACAUUUGGCGUUUGACUUUUUUUCCCCACAAGUCAACAUGCUUAAGUUUUCCCCUGUAAGUUUGCAUGUACCAUUUGGGUGUGACAAUGAACCUGUCUAUUUUUUCAUAUUUUUUUAUAUUUGUAAAUUUUCGUUUUUGGCACGCUAGAUCAUGUGCUAACUAGAGCCAGAAUGAAUUUUCGGAAUUCCCCACCUACUUAUCCUCAUGGGAUGAAAGUGCAGAGCCAAAAAACAUACUAACAAACGAUGUUAGGGAGACUUUUACUGAAAAGUGAUAGUUGAGGACCCAUGUUCACUGAAGUUGGUCAAAAUUGAAUAUAAUAAGUGUUGAAAAGGACCGAGUACUAUUAAAUUUAUCGCCCGUUGCAACGCAUGGGCAUUUGUACUAGUUGGUUCCUACAUAUUCUACGAAGAUCUUUAUUGUUUAAACCGCAUAACAACAUACGUUGUUCCCUUUGUCAUCGAUAUGUUACUUGCCCGAUAUUCGAUUGUCGGUAUCAUCAUACCUAGUUCAGUCUCGUCACCGGCAAGUCUUUUUACUCGUUCUGUAAUGCAUCAUCCCGUGACUAAUUCACUAGUCACAUUGCUUGCAAGGCUCAUAGUGAUGUGCAUUACCGAGAGGGCUCAGAGAUACCUCUUCGAUACACGGAGUGAAAAAUCCUAAUCUCGAUUUAUGCCAACUCAACAAACACCAUUGGAGACACUUGUAGAGCAUCUUUAUAAUCACCCAGUUAGGUUGUGAUGUUUGAUAGCACACUAAGUGUUCCUCCAGUAUCCAGAGUUGCAUAGUCUCAUAGUCAUAGGAACAUGUAUAAGUUAUAGAGAAAGCAAUAGCAAUAAACUAAAUGAUCAAAGUGCUAAGCUAAUGGAUGGGUCAUGUCAAUCGCAUCAUUCUCUAAUGAUGUGAUCCCGUUCAUUAAAUGACAACUCAUGUCUAUGGCUAGGAAACUUAACCAUCUUUGAUUAAUGGGCUAGUCAAGUAGAGGCAUACUAGUGACACUCUGUUUGUCUAUGUAUUUACACAUGUACUAAGUUUCUGGUUAAUUCUAGCAUGAAUAAUAAACAUUUAUCAUGACAUAAGGAAAUAUAAAUAGCAACUUUAUUAUUGCCUUUAGGGCAUAUUUCCUUUAGUCUCCCACUUGCACUAGAGUCAAUAAUCUAGAUUACAUUGUAAUGAUUCUAACACCCAUGGAGUCUUGGUGCUGAUCAUGUUUUGCUAAUGAGAGAGGCUUAGUCAGUGGGUCUGCAACAUUCAGAUCCAUAUGUAUCUUGCAAAUUUCUAUGUCUCCCUCCUUGACUUGAUCGCGGAUGGAAUUGAAGCGUCUCUUGAUGUGCUUGGUUCUCUUGUGAAAUCUGGAUUCCUUUGCCAAAGAAAUUGCACCAGUAUUGUCACAAAAGAUUUUCAUUAGACCCGAUGCACUAGGUAUAACACCUACAUCGGAUAUGAACUCCUUCAUUUGCUGCUUCCGAAGCAGCUAUGUACUCCGCUCCACACGUAGACCCCACCACGACGCUCUGCUUGGAACUGCACCAACUGACAGCUCGACCAUUCAAUACAAAUACGUAUCCGGUUUGUGACUUAGAGUCAUCCGGAUCAGUGUCAAAGCUUGCAUCGAUGUAACCGUUUACGAUGAGGUCUUUGUCACCUCCAUAAACAAGAAACAUAUCCUUAGUCCUUUUCAGGUAUUUAGGAUAUUCUUGACCGCUGUCCAGUGAUCCACUAAUGGAUUACUUUAGUACCUCCCUGCUAAAGUAAUAUCAAGGCACACAUCAGGUCUGGUACACAGCAUUGCAUACAUGAUAGAACCUAUGGCCGAAGCAUAGGGAAUGACUUUAAUUUUCUCUCUAUCUUCUGCAAUGGUCGGGCAUUGAGUCUGACUCAACUUCACACCUUGUAACACAGGUAAGAACCCUUUCUUUGCUUGAUCCAUUUUGAACUUCUUCAAAACUUUAUCAAGGUAUGUGCUUUGUGAAAGUCCAAUUAAGCGUCUUGAUCUAUCUCUAUAGAUCUUGAUGCCCAAUAUAUAAGAAGCUUCACUGAGGUCUUUCAUUGAAAAAUUCUUAUUCAAGUAUCCUUUUAUGCUAUUCAGAAAUUCAAUAUCAUUUCCAAUCAACAAUAUGUCAUCCACAUAUAAUAUCAGAAAUGCUACAGAGCUCCCACUCACUUUUUUGUAAAUACAGGCUUCUCCAAAAGUCUGUAUAAAACCAUAUGCUUUGAUCACACUAUCAAAGCGUAGAUUCCAACUCUGAGAUGCUUGCACCAGUCCAUAAAUGGAUCGUUGGAGCUUACGCACUUUGUUAGCACCUUUUGGAUCGACAAAACCUUUUGGUUGCAUCAUAUACACCUCUUCUUUAAGAUAUCCAUUAAGGAAUGCAGUUUUGACAUCCAUUUGCCAAAUUUCAUAAUUAUAAAAUGCGGCAAUUGCUAACAUGAUUCUGACGGACUUAAGCAUUGCUACGGGUGAGAAGGUCUCAUCCUAGUCAACUCCUUGAACUUUUUGAAAACCCUUUGCAACAAGUCGAGCUUUGUAGACAGUAAUAUUACCGUCAGCGUUAGUCUUCUUCUUAAAGAUCUAUUUAUUCUCUAUGGCUUGCCAAUCAUCAGGAAAGUCAACCGAAGUCCAUACUUUGUUCUCAUACAUGGAUCCCAUCUCAGAUUUCAUGGCCUCAAGCCAUUUCAUGGAAUCUGGGCUCAUCAUCGCUUCCACAUAGUUUGAAGGUUUGUCAUGGUCAAGUAACAUGACCUCCAAAAUAGGAUUACCAUACCACUCUGGUGCGGAUCUUACUCUGGUUGACCUACGAGGUUCGGUAGUAACUUGAUCAGAAGUUUCAUGAUCAUCAUCAUUAGCUUCCUCACUAAUUGGUGUAGGAAUCACUAGAACUGAUUUCUGUGACAAACUACUUUCUAAUAAGGGAGCAGGUACAAUUACCUCAUCAAGUUCUACUUUCCUCCCUCUCACUUAUUUUGAAAAAACUCCUUCUCUAGAAAGGAUCCAUUCUUAGCAACGAUUUUUUUUGCCUUCGAAUCUGUGAUAGAAGGUGUAACCAACAGUCUCCUUUGGGUAUCCUAUGAAGACACAUUUCUCCGAUUUGGGUCCGAGCUUAUCAGGUUGAAACUUUUUCACAUAAGCAUUGCAGCCCCAAACUUUAAGAAAUGACAACUUGGGUUUCUUGCCAAACCACAGUUCAUAUGGUGUCAUCUCAACGAAUUUAGAUGGUGAUCUAUUUAAUGUGAAUGCAGUCGUCUCUAAAGCAUAACCCCAAAACAAUAGCGGUAAAUCAGUAGGAGACAUCAUAGAUCGCACCAUAUCUAAUAAAGUGCGGUUACGAUGUUCGGACACACCAUUACGUUGUGGUGUUCCAGAUGGCGUGAGUUGCGAAACUAUUCUGCAUUGUUUCAAAUGAAGACCAAACUCAUAACUCAAAUAUUCACCUCCACGAUCACACCGUAGAAACUUAAUUUUCUUGUUAUAAUGAUUUUCCACUUCACUCUGAAAUUCUUUGAACUUUUCAAACGUUUCAGACUUAUGUUUCAUCAAGUAGACAUACCCAUAUCUACUCAAAUCAUCUAUGAAGGUCAGAAAAUAACGAUACCCUCCGCGAGCAUCAACACUCAUCGAACUGCAUACAUCAGUAUGUAUUAUUUCCAACAAGUCUAUUGCUCUCUCCAUUGUUCCGGAGAAUGGAGUCCUAGUCAUCUUGCCCAUGAGGCAUGGUUCGCAAGCAUCAAGUGAUUCCAAAAGCCCAUCAGCAUGGAGUUUCUUCAUGCGCUUUACACCAAUAUGACCUAAACGACAGUGCCAUAAAUAAGUUGCACUAUCAUUAUUAAACUUAUAUCUUUUGGCUUCAAUACUAUGAAUAUGUGUAUCACUACUAUCAUGAUUUAGUAAAAAUAGACCACUCAUUAAGGGUGCAUGACCAUAAAAGAUAUUACUCAUAUAAAUAGAACAACCAUUAUUCUCUGAUUUAAAUGAACACCUGUCUCGCAUUAAACAAGAUCCAGAUAUAAUGUUCAUGCUUAAUGCUGGCACCAAAUAACAAUUAUUUAGGUCUAAAACUAAUCCCAAAGGUAGAUGUAGAGGUAGCGUGCCGACGACGAUCACAUCGACUUUGGAAGCAUUUGCCACGCGCAUCGUCACCUCGUCCUUAGCCAAUCUUCGCUUAAUCUAUAGCCCCUGUUUUGAGUUGCAAAUAUUAGCAACAGAACCAGUAUCAAAUACCUAGGUGCUACUGCGAGCAUUAGUAAGGUACACAUUAAUAACAUGUAUAUCAAAUAUACCUUUCACUUUGCCAUCCUUCUUAUCCGCCAAAUACUUGGGGCAGUUCCACUUCUAGUGACCAGUCCCUUUGCAGUAGAAGCACUCAGUCUCUGGCUUAGGUCCAGACUUGGGCUUCUUCACUUGAGCAGCAACUUGUUUGCCGUUCUUACUGAAGUUCCCCUUCUUCCCUUUUCCCUUCUUCUUGAAACUGGUGGUCUUGUUGACCAUCAACACUUGAUGCUCCUUCUUGAUUUCUACCUCCACAGCCUUUAGCAUCGCGAAGAGCUCGGGAAUUGUCUUAUCCAUCCCUUGCAUAUUAUAGUUCAUCACAAAGCUUUUGUAGGUUGGUGGCAGUGAUUGAAGAACUCUGUCAAUGACACUAUCAACCAGAAGAUUAACUCCCAGCUGAGUCAAGUGAUUGUGAUACCCAGACAUUCCGAGUAUGUGUUCACUGACAGAACUAUUCUCCUCCAUUUUGCAGCUGUAGAACUUAUUGGAGACUUCAUAUCUCUCAAUCUGGGCAUUUUCUUGAAAUAUUUACUUCAACUCCUGGAACAUCUCAUAUGCUCCAUGAUGUUUAAGACGUCGUUGAAGUCCCGGUUCUAAGCCGUAAAGCAUGGCACACUGAACUAUCGAGUAGUCACCAGCUUUGCUCUGCCAGGUGUUCAUAACAUUUGGAGUUGCUCCUGCAGCGGGUUUGGCACCUAGCGGUACUUCCAGGACGUAAUUCUUCUGUGCAGCAAUGAGGAUAAUCCUCAAGUUACGGUCCCAAUUCAUGUAGUUGCUACCAUCAUCUUUCAACUUAGCUUUCUCUGGGAACACAUUAAAAUUCAACGGAACGACAACACAUGCCAUUUAUCUAUAAUAACAUAGACAUGCAAAAUACUAUCAGGUACUAAGUUCAUGAUAAAUUAAAGUUCAAUUAAUCAUAUUACUUAAGAAGUCCCACUUAGAUAGACAUCCCUCUAAUCAUCUAAGUGAUCACGUGAUCCAUAUCAACUAAACCAUGUCCGAUCAUCACAUGAGAUGGAGUAGUUUUCAAUGGUGGACAUCACUAUGUUGAUCAUAUCUACUGUCAGUGGUGCGCGUUGGUGCUAAACAAACGAGUUUUUACCCCUUUCCGCAACGGCAUUUAGAACCGCCGCCAAGUGAGUGUAUGUGAUAGGGUGUACUUCCCACACGAUCCAGAAAACGCCGGGGAUGGUGAUACGUCUCCAACGUAUCUAUAAUUUUUGAUUGCUCCAUGCUAUAUUAUCUACUGUUUUGGACUAUAUUGGGCUUUAUUUUCCACUUUUAUAUUAUUUUUGGGACUAACCUAGUAACCGGAGGCCCAUCCCAGAAUUGCUGUUUUUUCCUAUUUCAGUGUUUCGGAGAAACAGAAUAUCAAACGGAGUCCAAAUGGAAUGAAACCUUCGGAAACGUGAUUUUUUCAUCAGAUAAUAUCCAUGAGAUUUGGACCCUUCGUCAAGAAAGCCACGAGGCGGUCACGAGGGUGGAGGGCGCGCCCCCCUGCCUCGUGGGCCCCUCGAAGCUCCACCCACGUACUCCUUCCUCCUAUAUAUACCUACGUACCCCAAACGAUCGGGGACGGAGCCAAAAACCUAAUUCCACCGCCGCAACUUUCUGUAUCCACGAGAUCCCAUCUUGGGGCCUGUUCUGGAGCUCCGCCGGAGGGGGCAUCGAUCGCGGAGGACUUCUACAUCAUCAUCCAAGCCCCUCCGUUGAAGUGUGAGUAGUUUACUUCAGACCUACGGGUCCAUAGUUAGUAGCUAGAUGGCUUCUUCUCUCUUUCUGGAUCUCAAUACAAUGUUCUGCCCCUCUCUUGUGGAAAUCUAUUCGAUGUAAUCUUCUUUUUGCGGUGUGUUUGUUGAGACCGAUGAAUUGUGGGUUUAUGAUCCAGUCUAUCUAUGAAUAAUAUUUGAAUCUUCUCUGAAUUCUUUUAUGUAUAAUUGGUUAUCUUUGCAAGUCUCUUCAAAUUAUCAGUCUGGUUUGGGCUACUAGAUUGGUUUUUCUUGCCAUGGGAGAAGUGCUUAGCUUUGGGUUCGAUCUUGCGGUGUCCUUUCCUAGUCACAGAAGGGGCAGCAAGGCACGUAUUGUAUCGUUUCCAUCGAGGAUAACAAGAUGGUUUUUUUUAUCAUAUUGCAUGAAACUAUCCCUCUACAUCAUGUCAUCUUGCUUAAGGCGUUACUCUGUUUUUAACUUAAUAGUCUAGAUGCAUGCUGGAUAGCGGUCGAUGAGUGGAGUAAUAGUAGUAUAUGCAGACAGGUGUCGGUCUACUUGUCUCGGACGUGAUGCCUAUAUACAUGAUCAUACCUAGAUAUUCUCAUAACUAUGCUCAAUUCUGUCAAUUGCUCAACAGUAAUUUGUUCACCCACCGUAGAAUACUUAUGCUCUUGAGAGAAGCCACUAGUGAAACCUAUGGCCCCUGGGUCUCUUUCUCAUCAUAUCAAUCUCCAUCACUUUGUUAUUGCUUUGCUUUUACUUUUUACUUUGCAUCUCUAUACCAAAAAUACCAAAAAUAUUAUUUAUCAUCUCUAUCAGAUCUCACUUUUGUAAGUGACCGUGAAGGGAUUGACAACCCCUAAGCGCGUUGGUUGUGUUGAGCUAUUGUUUUUGUGUAGGUACGAGGGACUCGCGCGUAGCCUCCUACUCGAUUGAUACAUUGGUUCUCAAAAACUGAGGGAAAUACUUACGCUACUUUGCUGCAUCAUCCUCUCCUCUUCGGGGAAAUCCAACGUAGUGCUCAAGAGGUAGCAAGAAGAAUUUCUGGCGUUGUUGCCGGGGAUUCUGCGCAAAAGUCAACAUACCAAGUACCCAUCACAAUCCCUAUCUCCCGCAUUACAUUAUUUGCCAUUUGCCUCUCGUUUUCCUCUCCCCCACUUCACCCUUGCCAUUUUAUUCGCCCUCUCUCUCUAUCCUCCCUCUCUAUUUGCCUCUUUUUGCCCGUUUACUUUUUGUUUGCUUGUGUAUUAGUUUGCUAGCUUGUCGUUAUGUCAAGUCCUUUAUCUUCUGCCUCUAGGUCUGAAAUUGGGGAAAUUAUUGUCGAUAUGGAUAGUAAUAAUAUCAUGAAAAAUUCUGAUGGUCCUGCUAAAGAACCUACCAUCUUUCAUACAAAAAAAUCCGUGUUGGUAGUGAUAAUAUUAUUGGAAAAGGAGUUAUUCAAGAUUUCUUUACUUGUGCCGGUGCUUUACCUUCUAUGGGUAGUUCUAUCCUUCACAGAACUAGUAUUCUUGCGGACGCUAUUGCCAUGCUUGUAGUUGAACUUGAAAGACAAUUCAUGCACAUGCAUCCUUCCAUACAAAGGAUUUUUCUGGAAUUUUCUAAUAUUGAGUAUUCUUCUGUUAAGCGUGCCGCUACUAUCUUUUUGGCUCAUGAGUUUAGAUUCAUAAUAAAAGAAGCCAAAGAAAUCUUUGCGCAUUAUAGGGUGGACGCUUGUCGUCCUCCCAUAGAGGCUAUCCUCUUUGAUCAAGAAGAAAUAAUGCGUUUUCAAUCUCUAGACUAUGUUGCUUUCAAUGAAAAUCUUAGAAAAAGGGUUCCUACCAAUGUUUUAGUUGAUAGAAUUUCUGAACUUAAUGAUGAUUUGGCUAUUCGAAAUAAUGAACUAGGAUAUUCUCUUGAAUAUAGGCUCACAAAGUUCUGGCAAAAGAAUGCUUAUAAUGAUGAAUUGGUUGUGCAUUAUGAAGGACCAAAGGAGGAACCUAUACCUCCCAAGGUUGAUCUUGGGGACUUUUGUCCCGUUAAAUUUAGGCCUUUUGAUUACUUCUGCUUGCCUCAAAUAAAACUUGCUGCCGAACGUAGAUAAUAUGAAAUGAGUUUUAAUAAUCUAUCUUACUAUUAUGGCAAUACCUAGAUCUAUUCUUGCUUGUUAUGCCUAGCUAGGGGCGUUAAACGAUAGCGCUUGUUGGGAGGCAACCCAAUUUUAUUUUUAUUCCUUGAUUUUUGCUCCUGUUUAGUAAUAAAUAAAUUAUUUAUUCUCUGUUUUUGUUGUGUUUUUUUUGUUUAAUUAGUGUUUGUGCCAAGUAGAACCGUUGGGAAGACUUGGGGAAAGUCUUGUUGAACUUGCUGUAAAAACAGAAACUUUAGCGCUCACGAGAACUGCUGUCAUUUUUAUUUGGAAAGUGAUAGUUAGUUAAUUAUUGUUGAAGAUGAUUAAUAUAUAAAUUCGUCACGUCCAGCAAUUUAUUUUAGAAUUUUUGGGGUUCCAGAUCUUGCGCUAGCUACAGAUUACUACAGACUGUUCUGUUUUUGACAGAUUCUGUUUUUCGUGUGUUGUUUGCUUAUUUUGAUGAAUCUAUGGCUAGUAACAUAGUUUAUAAUCCAUAGGGAAUUUGGAAUACAGUAGGUUUAACACCAAUAUAAAUAAAGAAUGAGUUCAUUACAGUACCUUGAAGUGGUCUUUUGUUUUCUUUCGCUAACGGAGCUCAUGAGAUUUUCUACUUUAAGUUUUGUGUUGUGAAGUUUUCAAGUUUUGGGUAAAGAUUUGAUGGAUUAUGGAACAAGGAGUGGCAAGAGCCUAAGCUUGGGGAUGCCCAUGGCACCCCCAAGAUAAUAUGAGGACACCUAAAAGCCAAAGCUUGGGGAUGCCCCGGAAGGCAUCCCUCUUUCGUCUACUUCUAUCGGUAACUUUACUUGGAGCUAUAUUUUUAUUCACCACAUGAUAUGUGUUUUGCUUGGAGCAUCUUUUAUGAUUUGAGUCUUUGUUUGUUAGUCUACCACAAUCAUCCUUGCUGUACACACCUUUUGAGAGAGCCAUACAUGACUUGGAAUUUUAUAGAAUACUCUAUGUGCUUCACUUAUAUCUUUUAGAGCACGGUGGUGGAUUUGUUUUAUAGAAACUAUUGAUCUCUCAUGCUUCACUUAGAUUAUUUCGAGAGUCUUAAUAGCAUGGUAAUUUGCUCAAAAUCCUAAUAUGCUUGGUAUGCAAUAUUAAUAAUAAAACUUUCUUAUGAGUGUGUUGAAUACUAAGAAAAGUUUGAUGCUUGAUGAUUGUUUUGAGAUAUGGAGGUAAUAAUAUCAAAGUCAUGCUAGUUGAGUAUUUGUGAAAUUGAGAAAUACUUGUGUUGAAGUUUGCAAAUCCCGUAGCAUGCACGUAUGGUAAAUGUUACGCAACAAAUUUGAAACAUGAGGUGUUAUUUGAUUGUCUUCCUUAUGAGUGGCGGUCGGGGACGAGCGAUGGUAUUUUCCUACAAAUCUAUCCCCCUAGGAGCAUGCACGUAGUGCUGAGGUUUUUGAUGACUUGUAGAUUUUUGCAAUAAGUAUGUGAGUUCUUUAUGACUAAUGUUGAGUCCAUGGAGUAUACACACUCUCACCCUUCCAUCCUUGCUUGCCUCUUCGGUAUCGUGCAUUGCCCUUUCUCACAUUGAGAGUUGGCGCAAACUUCGCCGGUGCAUCCAAACCCCGUGAUAUGAUACGCUCUUUCACACAUAAACCUCCUUAUAUCUUCCUCAAAACAGCCACCAUACCUACCUAUUAUGGCAUUUCCAUAGCCGUUCCGAGAUAUAUUGCCAUGCAACUUUCCAUCAUUCCAUUCAUCAUGACACAUUCAUCAUUGUCAUAUUUCUUAGCAUGAUCAUGUAGUUGACAUAGUAUUUGUGGCAAAGCCACCGUUCAUAAUUCUUUCAUACAUGUCACUCUUGGUUCAUUGCAUAUCCUGGUACACUGCCGGAGGCAUUCAUAUAGAGUCAUCUUUGUUCUAGUAUCAAGUUGUAAUCAUUGAGUUGUAAAUAAAUAGAAGUGUGAUGAUCAUCAUUAUUAGAGCAUUGUCCCAAGUGAGAAAAAAAAGGAAGGCCAUAAAAAAGAAGGCCCAAAAAAAAGAGAAAGGCCGUUAAAAAAAGAAAAGGCCAAAAAAAUGAGAGAAAAAGAGAGAAGGGACAAUUUUACUAUCCUUUUACCACACUUGUGCUUCAAAGUAGCACCAUGAUCUUCAUAGUAGAGAGUCUCUCAUGUUAUCACUUUCAUAUACUAGUGGGAAUUUUUAAUUAUAGAACUUGGCUUGUAUAUUCCAACAAUGGGCCUCCUCAAGUGCCCUAGGUCUUCGUGAGCAAGCAAGUUGGAUGCACACCCACUAGUUUCUUUUGUUGACCUUUCAUACAUUUAUAGCUCUAGUGCAUCCGUUGCAUGGCAAUCCCUACUCCUUGCAUUAACAUCAAUCGGUGGGCAUCUCCAUAGCCCAUUGAUUAGCCUUGUUGAUGUGAGACUUUCUCCUUUUUUGUCUUCUCCACAUAACCCCCCUCAUUAUAUUCUAUUCCACCCAUAGUGCUAUGUCCAUGGCUCGCGCUCAUAUAUUGCGUGAAGGUUUAUAGGUUUGAGAUUACUAAAGUAUGAAACAAUUGCUUGGCUUGUCAUCGGGGUUGUGCAUCAUGAGAGCAUUCUUGUGUGACGAAAGUGAAACAUGACUAAACUAUAUGAUUUUGUAGGGAUGAACUUUCUUUGGCCAUGUUAUUUUGAGAAGACAUAAUUUCUUAGUUAGUAUGCUUGAAGUUAUGUCAAUAUGAACUUUUGUCUUGAAUAUUUUGGAUCUGAAUAUACAUACCACAAUUAAGAAAAAUUACAUUAAAAUUAUGCCAAGUAGCACUCCGCAUCAAAAAUUAUGUUUUCAUCAUUUACCUACUCGAGGACGAGCAGGAAUUAAGCUUGGGUGUCGGUGUCAAAACCGGCGGAUCUCGGGUAGGGGGCCCCGAACUGUGCGUCUAAGGCGGAUGGUAACAGGAGGCAGGGGACACAAUGUUUUACCCAGGUUCGGGCCCUCUUGAUGGAGGUAAAACCCUACGUCCUGCUUGAUUGAUAUUGAUGAUAUGGGUACUACAAGAGUAGAUCUACCACGAGAUCAGAGAGGCUAAACCCUAGAAGCUAGCCUAUGGUAUAAUUGUUGUUGUAUAUCAUCUAUCGACUAGCCUGGCCUCAGUUUAUAUAAUGCACCAGAGGCCUAGGAUAACAAGAGUCCUAGCCGAAUACGCCGGUGGGGAGGAGUCCUUGUCUUGACCACCAAGUCUUGUAGAAUCUUCCAUGUAUGCGGCAGCUGUGCGAACUAGCCCAUGAGUAUACGGCCAUGGGGGUCCUCAGCCCAAUCUAACAGAUCGGGAGAUGACGUGGUGAGUACCCCCUAGUCCAGGACACCAUCAGUAGCCCCCUGAACCGGUCUUCAAGUUAGAGACGCUCCUCGAUUCUUCCGGACUGUUCUUCAUCUUUGGUUGUCGGUCUUGGAAACUGGUUCAACAAAUCUUCCCAUCUUCGAUCUUGAGGAUCACCGAAAUGCAUUCGACGAGUUUACACAUCGGGUAUCCAAGGAGCCCCUUUAAGUGUCCGGCCUUUAUCAAUGCCUUGUUAUUUUUAGGCCACACCUCGGGUUUGAAGUUGUUCCCGGGAGGCAGUGUCCUCUUGCGUCCGAGCUCUAACGCCGGAUAGCAUUCGAGGUAUCUUUUGCAGCUGAGCACUAAUGCCGGACUACUUCCGAGCUCUAACGCCGAAAUGUAUCCAAGCUCCAACGCCGGACUGUGUCCAAGCUCCAACGCCGGACUAUAUCCAAGAUGUCAUAGAUCAUCUUGGUCCAAAAAAGUUGAAGGAGUUUAGCCGAGCUUAAUGCUGGAAAUGCCCUCUAUGGAGCCAGCCACUAGCGCCCGAGCUUUAUGCCGGACUACUUCCGAGGUGGUGCACCACCCCGACUGUGGGUCGAUUUUUUGUCAAUAUUUUUGAUUGGUGCAAUUUAUUCUCUGCCGAGAUAUAUAGCCAGUAGCCCUCAAGGUGUGUAUGGUCUAAAACCCGAGAUGCACCUGAAGGAUGACAUAAGGCCGCUGAUCCCAGUAGCUGCUGAGACUCAGGUUGAUUUGCAAAAUUGGCCUAAGGAUCAAGUCCUAGCUCGGCAGAAUACUUCGGGAUACAAAAAGCGGCGUGCUCAGUCCUCGAGACUCAGGUUGGGUGCGGCCAACCAACCUGAGGAUCAUAAUCUCCUCGGAAACUAUAUUGCACUUAAAAUUUUCUGCAUUGGACAGGCAAUGCAGUAGCCCCCGAGACACUGGUCGGGUGGCAACACCAGAUCAGGGGAUCGAUGUGCCCUUUAAUAUUUGUAAAUAAUAAGCCCGAAGCCCAGUAGCCCCCGAGCCUUAAUGCGGGCACGGGUGGCCGAAUUAAGGAUCGAUAUCCAUAUCAAAAUCACAAAUUAUGUGUAAUGACUCUAUGUAUCCAAGUACUUUACGUCAUUUAAUGCUCGGAUCCGCAUUGUACAAAACUUUGUUGACCGACCAUCGGCUUUCACCUCCUCGGCCAGUAGCCGAGGAGUGUUUGUCUUACUUUAUAAAGCCUUUAUGAGGGCAAGAAAAACAAGGCAAUCUGGCCAUACGGUUUUAUAAACAAAGGUACGCAGAGAGAUAUGUUAUAUUAGCGUUUUAACAUAAGAAAUGUCUUCCAAAGAAAAUAGUCCCGCUAUCGGUUCCUUUCUUUGGGUUGUCAUGCUAAGCAUGAUCAUGAGACCUUAGCUCUAAUAUAAGAGAAAAAUAUUGAGGAUUUUAGUUUGGGAGGCCAGUUAAUAGCCCCGGUAGUGUUCGGCGACAGUCGAGGUCAAGCCGUAAACACUUCGGCCAUUGUUAUGAAUGGCCCGUCAUUUAACAUAGUCAUCGGAUCGCUGACCAGUUUACGCUUAUUGUGACAGUCAGUUUUCAUAUUUCUCCACUGAGGUGCUUAACCAUGUGAGCUGGAAGCACAAUCAUAGUGGUUCUCCCUUUGCACGCCUAGCCGAACAAAGCGGAAUGUAGGAAGCAAGUGCAGGAGCCGGGCAACCCAACUAUUGACCGAAGACACAAUUCGAAACCGAUGCAUAUAUAGCAAUAUCCGAGAAUGUUUUUGCCGGAUACCUAAAGGUGUCCGGCAUUGCACUGCGAGACUUGUGCUGAAAACACACAAAUAGUUUAAAAGUGCCAAAAGCUUGGAAAACCAAAAAAUGUCAGUAAAAACUUAACGUCCGAACAAGAUCAAGUGUUCGGUGCCAAUCCGAAAAUUGGUGAUAGAAAAAAAGAGUGCUUCUGUCGUGCUUUAACAUGUCACAUCCUAUCUCAAGACUUCAGGCGGGUCAGCCUACGGCUUCAACCUCCUAUCCCGAAGGCGGAGUACUUCUCAUUAGGCCAGUUUAGCAAACUAAACUCUAGCGGCUUUGAGAGAGAAAUUAGGCUCCCUGGCUAGUGACCACACACUCGUGUCAAAAAAAGGAGUGAUGGAAAAAGACUUUGCAACGACCAAGAAGAAAACACAUUUACUAUAAAAUAGCUCAUAUAAAUUUUAAGAGCCCCCAAGUGACUUGGGAAAAGAAUUUUAUGCAUAAUGAUUGUAUGUACCGAAGUACUUAUAUCAUAUCUUUGUUCAACCGAACUUUAAAUGCGUCUUAACCGACCGUCGGCUUCUCCCUCUUCGGUCAAGGACCGAAAAGUGUUAUGUACUCCACCUGUCGAGAAUAUCGACAGUGUUUCUGAUAACCAGGCAACCGGGCCAUAAGGCUGUAACAAACAAAGCGCGCUCAGGGAAGUUAUGCUAUAUUACAAACGAAGUGUAAGAAGCAUCUUCGAAGAAAAUAGUGCCCCCACCGAUACCUUUCUUCGGUGCUCAUUAUUACUAUGAGACUUGUGCAAUAGAUUUUUUGUACUCAUGAGUUCAGUUGUGUGCCGACCAUGAUUGAAAACAAUAAGAGUGCUAGCUUUCAGCUUCACCCAGUCUGAGGUCAGAGCUCGGUGGACCCGGUCGUGACAAUCGCAGAGGUGCUCCCUUUACUCCCUAGCCAAACAAUCGAGAACGUAGGGGUAAGCACAGGAGCCAGGCAACCCAGCUUGCAAAUUGCUUAAGUCAAUAUGGUGCAUAUUGUGGCGUAAUACAUGAACAAGGAACGAAGCCGUACAAGUAUAAUCAUAUGCAAGAGGAAAAGGUUCAUAAAGGAAGCCCCAAAUAAACAGGGUAUUUGAAUUUGUGUGUCACAAACAAAGUUUGGACAAGAAAAUAUUUUACAAGCAACUUUUUUCCAAAAAAGUAUAAUGCUUGGUCGAACCGAACACAAGUUAAAAAUUUAAAACUUGGAGCAUGAAGGCAACUUAGCUGGUUAAUGUGUUCGGUAUUGACGACACGGUCCGAGCUUGAUGCAGGACAAGGUUCCAUCCCCCAAGCCAGUCCCGAGGUGGUGGAGCAAAGAGCUCGGCACUCCGAAGUGGUGACAUGGCACGGUCAAUGCAGUGUUGACGAAGCCCCCCGUCCAGCCGAGGUGACGUGGUAUGUCAGUACGCCGAGUUGACGAUACUGCCCAACCCGGAUAAUUUUCCUAUGCACAAAAAAAAUAGUGCAAACCGGAGAUAAUAGUAAUGAUAAUAAUAAAAAAUGUUGCAUAAUAAAUAAUUUAUGCAAAGUGAGUAAUAAAAGAAAUAUGGCCUGGCGCCGAAGUCAAUGUCGAUGCAGGGCGUCGGCGUGGUGCGGUAAAGGUGUGGCAAAGCCUGAAUUCACAGGUCGGUCCCAGUUCCGGAUGCGGCGUUCGCCGGACUAUGUACGGAAACUGACCAAACCACCACGCGACCAUCAUUAAUGCGACCAUCAUUUCAUAGACCUGUGUACAGAUGAUGGACAAACCAGAGUAAUAAUUCCUUGGGAAAAAUAAACCCAAACAAGCAAAAAAUACUAGGAUUAAUAGCACCUGGUUUAUUUGUUGUAGCAGUCCGAAGAAAGGUGAUUCCCAGAAUUGGGACUCGAUCCACACACCCAUUGCCUGAUGGGCGAUAAAGCGAAGGCAUGGCAAUGCUGGCAAAGGUCGGCUUGCCGAGGCAAAGCCCUCGGCCCAGCUAAUCGUGACGAAGCUGGUCGGCUGGUGACGCCAAAGUCACCGGAGUAGGUUGAUGAAGAGAUGAUGAAGCCCCCGGUCCAGCCGAGAUGUCGAAGCCUCGAUGUCAGCCGAUGAGUCGAAGUAGGUUGGCGUGAUGGACACCAGCUUGAAGAAGCAACAGUGCAGCCCUGCCGAUGCAGGUCGUGACGUGGUCGAUGCCGGCUUGAUGAAGUGACCGUGCGGCGAUGCCGGUAUGCCCGCUCCGUGUAAUCCGUGGGGCGGCGAUGUUGGUGAUGAUUUAUCCUUCGCGAUGCCGGACUCUUGCUCGGCUUGCCGAGAUAAUGAUCCAAAGAAGUUGAGCUCGGCUCAACAAAGUGACGACGUGUCUAGCGCAGGUCGGCAGCCGUGGAGCAAUAUUGCCGAACUGGUUUGACACUAGCAUGAUGUUGAAGAUCAUGUUCAAAAGAUCUUAAAGUUGGUGGGAGGUGUUCAGGAACAAAACACAAUACCCGAUACAACACUUCCUUCAAAAGGGAUGUCCGAAAUCCCGUUCAUAAAAAAGACGAAUUCGGGUCGGAUUCGUUUUCGCGCAGAAAACAGAUCCAAAAAGUGAUGCACUAAUCGGAAGGUUCCCGGUGUUUGGACGGUCGGAUCGAGCUGAAAUUUUGAGAGGUGGUGGAUAUAGGAAUCCCGCAGCAGAUCAACAGUUGGAUUUUCCAAAGGAUGUCCGAGCUAGAAGCUGGACACCACGCCCUAAACUCGUCCAGAUUCUCGUGUAGAUUUGACAGGGCUCCGGUAUAUCGUGGAUUGCCAGACAUUCCUCCAUCGGAACUUGAGGAAAUUUUCCAGGGUUGUUGUAGACUCAAUUCUGCACAAUUCCACCGAAGCAAUCGUUAAAGAGACACUUGAGGAGGCGGUGGCGGCGGACACAAGUUUGCUGUCUAGAAAAACAACACGGUCGCCUGAGGGCAAUGUUGACGUUGAGCCCCCGGGCUCCCUGGAUGAUUCCUCCAUGAUCUUGAUAGACAUCGGAGUGGAUGUUUAUAAAGGCCCUCAUCCGAACAUGACGAUCGGAGGUAGGGCGCAGUCCUUGGUCGAACCAAGGUGACCAGUCAAGCUGGUGACGAAAAUGCCGAAGUCGCAGUUGAUCUGCAGGCGAGCCAUCAACCUUUUGCCGAACAACAACGAAACUCUCAAUGAAAGCACCAAUGUCGGUGUCAAAAUCGGCGGAUCUCGGGUAGGGGGUCCCGAACUAUGCGUUAAGGCGGAUGGUAAUAGGAGGCAGGGGACAUAAUGUUUUACCCAGGUUCGGGCCCUCUUGAUGGAAGUAAAACCAUACGUCCUGCUUGAUUGAUAUUGAUGAUAUGGGUACUACAAGAGUAGAUCUACCACGAGAUCAGAGAGGCUAAACCCUAGAAGCUAGCCUAUGGUAUAAUUGUUGUUGUAUAUCAUCUAUCGACUAGCCUGACCUCGGUUUAUAUAAUGCACCAGAGGCCUAGGAUAACAAGAGUCCUAGCCGAAUACGCCGGUGGGGAGGAGUCCUUUAAUUGAUCACCAAGUCUAGUAGAAUCUUCCAUGCAUGCGGCAGCUGUCCGAACUGGCCCAUGAGUAUACGGCCAUGGGGGUCCUCGGCCCAAUCUAACAGAACGGGAGAUGACGUGGUGAGUACCCCCUAGUCCAGGACACCGUCAUUGGGGAUGCUUGAUAGUCUCCAACGUAUCUAUAAUUUUUGAUUGCUCCAUGCUAUAUUAUCUACUAUUUUGGACUAUAUUGGGCUUUAUUUUCCACUUUUAUAUUAUUUUUGGGACUAACCUAUUAACCAGAGGCCCAGCCCAGAAUUGCUAUUUUUGCCUAUUUCAGUAUUUCAGAGAAAUAGAACAUCAAACAGAGUCCAAACGAAAUGAAACCUUCGGAAACGUGAUUUUCUCAUCAGAUAAGAUCUAGGAGACUUGGACCCUCCGUCAAGAAAGCCAUGAGGCGGUCACGAGAGUGGAGGGCGCCCCCCUAGUGCGCGCCCCUGCCUCAUGGGCCCCUCAAAGCUCCACCGACAUACUCCUUCCACCUAUAUAUACCUACGUACCCCCAAACGAUCGGGGACGGAGCCAAAAACCUAAUUCCACCGCUGCAACUUUCUGUAUCCACGAGAUCCCAUCUUGGGGCCUGUUCCGGAGCUCCGCCGGAGGAGGCAUCGAUCACAGAGGGCUUCUACAUCAUCAUCCAAGCCCAUCCGAUGAAGUGUGAUUAGUUUACUUCAGACCUACGGGUCCAUAGUUAGUAGCUAAAUGGCUUCUCCUCUCUUUUUGGAUCUCAAUACAAUGUUCUCCCCCUCUCUUGUGGAGAUCUAUUCGAUGCAAUCUUCUUUUUGCGAUGUGUUUGUUGAGACCGAUGAAUUGUGGGUUUAUGAUCCAGUCUAUCUAUGAAUAAUAUUUGAAUCUUCUCUGAAUUCUUUUAUGUAUGAUUGGUUAUCUUUGCAAGUCUCUUAGAAUUAUCAGUUUGGUUUGGCCUACUAGAUUGGUUUUUCUUGUCAUGGGAGAAGUGCUUAGCUUUGGGUUCGAUCUUGCGGUGUCCUUUCCCAGUGAUAGAAGGGGCAACAAGGCACGUAUUGUAUCAUUGCCAUCGAGGAUAACAAGAUGGGGUUUUUAUCAUAUUGCAUGAAACUAUCCCUCUACAUCAUGUCAUCUUGCUUAAGGCGUUACUCUGUUUUUAACUUAGUACUCUAGAUGCAUGCUGGAUAGCGGUCGAUGAGUGGAGUAAUAGUAGUAGAUGCAGGCAGGAGUCGGUCUACUUGUCUCGGACGUGAUGCCUAUAUACAUGAUCAUACCUAGAUAUUCUCAUAACUAUGCUCAAUUCUGUCAAUUGCUCAACAGUAAUUUGUUCACCCACCGUAGAAUACUUAUGCUCUUGAGAGAAGCUACUAUUGAAACCUAUGGCCCCCGGCUCUCUUUAUCAUCAUAUCAAUCUCCAUCACUUUAUUAUUGCUUUGCUUUUACUUUUUACUUUGCAUCUCUAUACCAAAAAUACCAAAAAUAUUAUUUAUCAUCUCUAUCAGAUCUCACUUUCGUAAGUGACCGUGAAUGGAUUGACAACCCCUAAGCGCGUUGGUUGCGUUGAGCUAUUGUUUUUGUGUAGGUACGAGGGACUCGCGUGUAGCCUCCUACUGGAUUGAUACCUUGGUUCUCAAAAACUGAGGGAAAUACUUACGCUACUUUGCUGCAUCAUCCUCUCCUCUUCGGGGAAAUCCAACGCAGUGCUCAAGAGGUAGCAGAUGGACCCUCCUGGGACCCAGGCUGGGGCUGCGUGCGAUCGGGCGAGGCAUCGAAAGCCAAUCAUUUCAGUAGGUAUGUACAUCCCACACAGUAAUCUGAGAAAAUCAUUUAUGUAGGUAUGUACAUCCCACACGGUAAUCCGAGAAAAUCAUUUCCGUAGGUAUGUACAUCCCACACGGUGAAUCUCAGAAUUCCGUUCGUAUGUAAAGCAGACACAGUCAAUCCAAGGAAUACAUUUCCGUUCUUAUGUACAACCCACACAGUCAAUCCAGGGAAAACAUUUCUGUUCGGAUGUACAUCCCACAUGGUUUUAUGUAUACGCUCGUGUGUGAAAGGUGUAACUAUCACACACGCUCUGCCUUGGUUAACUGUUUGCUUUCAUUAACUACAUCACACACGAUUUGAUGGAGAAAACUGUGUGACAUUGGGCUAUCUAUCGCAAGUGCUUUUACUGCUAGAACCGUUUGCAAAGGUCCAUGACUAUCCCUUCUAUUUUUAUUUUUGUGUGUAAUUUAUUAUUAUAAUUGAAAAUUUUGAAAUACGAAACAUGCAAUUCAAAUUCUCAGCACAAUGGUUCAACAACGAAUCCAGAAAUAAAAUUGACAGUACAAUAUGUUCAGUAAUUACAUGAUUAGGCAGCAAUUAACUAUGAUGAACCGCAGUAUUUAAAGGCGACAAAGGUGAAGAGACAAGUUUAAACCAUUUUGACUGCCGACGGUGUUGAAGAAGAGGAAUGCCCAUAAUGUGCCUUCCUGCAUGCCAUAGGCACGAACCACUUUUGUCCAACCCCUUGUGACGAUCGCCCACCCAUCCUUCACCGCCUUCAGGAAGACUUAUAGAGCAUUAUCAUGGUAGCAUGAAUUAUAUACGUUAACCUUAGUUGCCUCCACUCUGUUCAUGUAGUUUGUAAGGUAAUAAUCAGUAAAUAGCUUCGGAAACCACUGAAAGAGAAAAAUAUCAGAAACUAAGGUCUAAUAGAGUAACUUGUUGUGGGCAGGGGGAAAAGGCAACACAUUACUUACCAUCCUAAAGUUCACUGUUGUCUUUGACAAAGUGUAAAUAAAGAGCUUAAUUCCAAUCACUCGUUUCUUUCGCCUAACAAUCUUUCUUAGUUUCCUCACUUGACACUUGUUCACGAAUAUCACAUUGCCCCAUACGCAAAAGGGAUCGAAGCGUGGAUCAGUACCCCUCAUAUAUGUACCUACAAGCAACCAGUAAAUGCUAGAAGCUAAACUAAGAUUGCACAAAUGAUGUAAAAUAUAACUACCUAUGUUCCUAAGUACAGGUAUUUUUUUGAGAUUUCAAUACGAACUACAUACGGAUGUAUAUAGAAUUAUAGAUAUAGUUUAGAUUAGAAUCUAGAUUCACUCAUUUUACUCCUUAUGUAGUCUAUAUUGGAAUCUCUAAAAAUACUUACAAUUAGGAAUAGAUGGUGUAUAAGACAUGGGAUGCAGCUAACCUCGACGGCAAACAACAUCAUCGUCCAUUGUAGCCCUAUGUAUGUACAUGGAAAGCCAAUGUUAACUACAACAUGGUUAACAUCCACCAAAAAUAGCAAAUGGUAAUAAAACGACAGCAUCUAUAGUGAUAUCUUCAUUUUGAAAGAGUAGCACGGUAGCAAAGGGACGGAUUGAAAAUGGAUACAACUGUUAAUUGCAACAGGCUUAAUGGCAAUUGAAACCGGUACUGAUAAAAAUGCAAUUGGCAAAGUUAAACAUCACAGGGCAGGUGCUGCCAGAGCAGAUAAUGGCCCAGUUCUCUAUAAAAAAGGUAGGGAAAAUAGCUCAAACGUGUUAGGCAUGUUUACUACAACAUGCUUAAUACAUCGAUAGUACAAAACAUAGCCAUUAAUUGCAACUGGUAUUGGUAAGAUUGAACUGGUGGGUACAUACUUGGUAAGUCCUGAGAGGUAGUUGCUGGGGCACUUCAUCUUGGCCAUAGCCCGCCCAAAGUCAGCGGUGGCGGAGGCGAGCUGUUCCUCCGGGUCGAACCGUGGAUCAGUGCCACUGACAUGUGUACCUACAUGCAACCAGUAAAUGGUAGAAGUUAAACUGCAAUUGCACAAAUGAUGUGAACUAUUGUAAGACAUGGGAUGCAGCUAUCCUUGACGGCAAACAACAACAUCGACCGUUAUGACCCUGCGUAAGUACAUGGACAAGCAUGUUAAGUACAACAGGGUUAGCAUCCACAAAAAAGCAAAUGGGGCAACAUCUCUAGUAUAUCUUCAUUGCGGAGAGUAGCAUGGUAGCAAAUGGACAGAUUAAAAAAUGGAUACAACUGUUAAUUGCAACAGGCUUAACAACAUCAUAAGUCAUGUUUUGUAAGUUUGUAGCCAUUGAAAUGCAACUGUCUAAAAAUGGAUUCAACUUUUAAUUGCAACAGGCUUAAUAGACAUUGAAAUGGGUACUGAUAAAAAUGCAAUUGGCAUAGUUAAACAUCACAAGGCAGGUGCUGCCAGAGCAGAGAAUGGCCCAGAUGUCUAUAAAAAGGUAGUGAAAUAGCAAAACAUGUUAGGCAUGUUUACUAGAACAUGCUUAAUACAUUGACUGUACAGAACAUAGCCAUUAAUUGCAACUGGUAUUGCUAAGAUUGAACUGGUGAGUACAUACUUGGUAAGUCCUGAGAGGUAGUUGCUGGGCCACUUCAUAUUGGCCAGAGCUCGCCCAAAGUCAGCGACAGCGGAGGUGAUAUGUUCCUCCGGGUCGAACCGUGGAUCAGUGCCACUGACAUGUGUACCUACAUGCAACCAGUAAAUGGUAGAAGUUAAACUGCAAUUGCACAAAUUAUGUGAAAUACUGUAGGACAUGGGAUGUAGCUCACCUCGACGGCAAACAAAAGCAUUAGCCGUUAUGACCCUGCGUAAGUACAUGGACAUGCAUGUUAAGUGCAACAGGGUUAGCAUCCACUAAAAAUAGCAAAUUGGCAGCAUCUCUAGUGAUAUCCUGAGUCAUGUAUUGUAAGUUUGUUGCUGGUAUUAGUGAAAUUGAGCUGGACACGGUAAUAUUUGAACAUCACACAAUGUGUAGUACUGAAAUAAACAAGGCACGAACAUGCUUAAUACAUCAACCGUACAAAUCAUAGUCGUUACAAGUGGUAUCGGUAAGAUUUAGCUGGUCAAAUCUUACCUGUUAAGUCCUAGAGGGUAGUCGCUGGGGGACUUCAUCUUGGCCAGAGCCUGCACCAUGUCGGUGGCGGCAGCGAAGGCGAGGUGUUCCUCCGGGUCAACACGCGCAGCGGCCAUCGCGCCAUGGACCGCCAUUAGCUCCUGGCGGCAGGGGGGAUUUGGAGGCAUGAGGAUGUUUCACAGGCGCCAUUUAAGCAAUCAGGCGGGGACGUGAUAGAGAUUGGUGGGUCACCUGACUGGAUCCGAGCAGAACAUAGAUGUGGUUGAAGCCGUGGUUGCGGCGGCGGCGGUCUGAGAUGCCGGUAGGGGGAGGCGCGAGGGAGGGGGGAUACUGAGGGGAAGGGGAUGUGGUUGGAGGAAUAAAUUCUGAAAUCGCACGCCUAAUGAAAAUUUCGGUGCGAAAUUUGAAACUUUGGCGGGGGAAAUAUACAACGUAGACGAAGCGCGUAAAAUACUCGUGUGCGAGAAAAAAGAAAGUUGGCAGAUCCCGUCUCCAAAAAAAUGUACACAUGUACUUGAUUUUUUUGGUCAAUGGUAUGCCUGGUUUAUUAGAAAAUAUCGCACGGGUAACUGACUUAUGGGUCAUUAACGCAAAAAACGCAGAUGGGUACGGCAUAUUAACCGUGUGUUUUGUGAUCUUCUAAUGAUUAACGCAAAAAAACGCACACGGGCACACAUGCUAAUCAACGCCCAAAGACCACAAAGGAUGCUUUUACCGACAUUGUACGUUAAUACUACAAACUUAAAGUACUAUUGGUAAUUUUCUCUAAUACUACAAACUUAAACUACUUCUCACAUGCGGCCAUCAGGGCAUGCUGGCCAGACGCCGGCGUUCUCCAUCCCGGCCUUGUAGGCGGCAGCCCACCAUGCUUCGAUCUCAGCCAAGCUCUCCUCACCAUGGCGUGCAGCCUCUUUUUUCUUACGGCAGCGAGACUCUCUUUUCUUGACUGCUUUCUGCCUUUUCCGCUCCUUCUGUGCGGCUUUGGCUUCCUCUAGAUCCACCACCCAUUCGGCCAUGGCAGCGUCAAAGUCCGCCCAUGUAACUGUAUGGCCACCGAUGACGAUGAACUCGGCACGGCGAGAUGCCAUCACUUCCUUACCAUGUGUGCGGUCGCGGGCGGCGAGGAACGCGGCACAGGGGGGAUGCCAUCGCUUCCUUACCAGUUACUGUGCGCUGCGGUGCCAUGGACGUCUCCUGGUGAGAGCUCUGGGAUGGAGGGGCCGGGCAGCCGUACAGUGCGGUGGUAUUCAAGAGCUCAAAAACAAACAACAACAGAAAUUUGGGUUCCCUUACAAUUUUGCUCGUUCAUUAUAGCACACGGUUCAUCUUCGUCGCUUCCAGAAACAGUGUGCACUGAGCCUAUUGUGUGCUGCAUUAUGAUUGGACGGAACCCUAGCCACGCGGAUCGCGCGUGUGCAUCGUUGCAUGCGCCGCGAUCGAGCGGCAAUCCACGUCCCUCACAUCACACCCGUGCACCUGUAGCUGCAUUGGAUUUAUAUGCGCUAAAUGCCUAGAAAAUGCACAUAAUAUCCUAAAUAUGGUAAAUGAGCCCGGAAAAAUGCCAAAUUUGAACACGGUGAUUUGCUGGGUGUAUGUUCGCGUAGAAAAAAACUCCAGGGCAAAGAACGAAGAAAUUUUGGAUUCCCCUUCAAUCUUGAGGAUUUCCCUUUCGAAAGCAUGGAACUUCCUCGGUGAUGGUUCGAUUUAUGAAGGGCGUGCAUGACAACAUAAGCCAAACAUUCUCAAAUUUUUACCAAGGCAUGGUGUGGUCAUACCAUGGCACCAUGCCAGGCAUCAUGUUUUUUAAGCAUUUAUUUCAUUUUUUCUAUAGUUGAAAACCCAACAAACAGACAUUUGUGGUUGACUAUUUGUAACGCCCCGAGACCGAUGCACCAGGUGUCUUCCAGUUAUUCAUGUUGAGUGCCUUGUCAUAUCUUUACUUCUUGCACCAUGCUCAUCUCAUUUGGGUAUAUUGCUUUGUCAUGCCCAUCAUCAUCUUAUUGCAUUGCCUCUUGUCAUUUUGCAUGCUAAUCAUAUACCUUGUGGUAAUCUUCAUAUUGUUGCCAUGUGCAUUUCUUUCAUCCUUAUGUGGUGUGUUGUUGUUAUGAUGUGUGUGAGCAUCAUUCCUUGUCAUCUCUCUCAAGCCAUACCCAUGCAUCAUCACCUCUCACUUCCUUCUUCUUUCAUGUUUUUGCAAGUGACUUUAUUCCUCCUUCAUUAAUGUUCGUCCUUUCCCUAUAAAUCUUGCCUCUUUCCUACACCCUCUCUGUCAGAUUUCAUCCCAUUCAAAGUUGUUUUGGUCAGGUUCAAAAAUGAUUGAAGUUUGAGCAUAAUCCAAACUCUAAUUAUUUUUCUGAUUUCUAAAAAUGAAAGAGCAAUUUAUUAAAACCCUACAUAAAUCCAGGGUUCCAGAUAUAUAUUCAUAUAUCUCAUAUUCCUAACCAAAACCCGUGGACUUUCCCCUUUGUUGAUUGUUUAUUUAUAUAAAGAAAAAAAUAAAAUAAAGGAAAAGGCCCCUUACUUGUUCAGCUACUCACUGGGACUCCCAACUCCUACGCAGGCCACAAACCUGCAGCUCGGCCGACCUUUAGGCCCAACCGCCCCACCUACACCUAACCCUAGCCUCGACCGACCUAUCCCUCUCUCUCCCCUGCUCGUUCCCACCGCCGCCAGAAGCCAUCUCCCUCGACUCCUCCUCUAGCGCCGCCAGAGACAUGCACGCAGGCGCAGUCCUCUGCUUCGACCCGACCUCAUCCUUUCCCUUGUUCCCUUGUGUCGGCUCCCCCUCAUAUCGAUCUUUCCCUGUCCUCUCGCUCAAGCUAACCACCCCGCGGCCCCGCAAGCUCGCCUGCCCGCACGGCCAUGGCUUCGCCGCCCUCGACCCGGCUCACCCUUGACGCCCCCUUCGCUGGAGCCCUUCCUCCGCCUCUGCUUUGGCCUCCCGUGAUAGCCACGCCGCGCCCUCAAGCGCCUCACCUCCCACAGCCGGUCGAGGACCUCCUCGUCGCCUCCUCAUCUACCCGGCGCCACUGACUCGUCAGCUCCGUCGCCAGGGGAGGAGACCCUCAACCUGUCCCCUUCGGCCCUGACUCCGGCGAGUGCCGCCCUGUCGACUCUCCUCCGCGCGACGCCUCCCCUCUGCUGCCUUGUUCCUUUGCCUGCGACUGCCCUUUUCUUUCCCGCCUUGCCUCACGCGACCCACAUGGGCGCCGGCCAUGGAGGCCACCGUGCCGGCCUGCAGCUUUGCGCGUGCUGCCUUGCCUUCCUGCUACUUCGUCCGACUUCGGACGACCUCCAUCGAGCUCGCCCGGCCACCUUCAACCUCGGCGUGGCCCUGCCUCCACUAGCAGCCUCCUGGAGCCGGCCAUUUCCAUGGGUUCGGGGAGCCCCAAGUCUUGUCCGUGGCCUCGUUGGCUGUUGAUGUUACGCUGUUGGCUUUCUCCAUCGUCUCCCCGGGCUCGUCAAAUCCUGUACCAGGAGCCCAAGCCGGAAGACUCCAUGGAUGUGCAUCUCACUUGUGCCAUUUUGGAUCGUCAAGAACGUUUCGAGAUUCGCCAAGUACCAUUACGCCCGGAGACCACGGAUCCGUCAAGUUCCACUACCGUCGCCAUGGAUCCGACAAGUUCGCGAGUACGACCACUUACCACGACGACCUUGUACCACUACCGUCGAUGAAGACAUGUGCACCGCAAGCGUCAAGUUCAACUACCGUCGACGGCGAAGGGUUUGGAGUCAUCAGGCACCUCUCUGAACGAACGGGAACGACUAUCGUAGCCGAGAUCACGAGAACCUCUACCGACGACCUCGAAACGUGUACGAUGACCGUUGUCGAAGACACGUACCACUACUGCUUCCUGAACGUGUACCACGACUUCCAUGACUUCCGUGAACCGCUACUUCCACGACGGUCAUGAACGACUACUUCCCUCCAUGAACUCGAUACGCUUCGAAAACGUACGCUUCGAAGGUAUAGCCCCGAGACGACCGUCCGAGAAUGAUUGCUUGUGUUGUAUGAGAUGCACCGGUUGUCUGCACUGUGUCGGUAGUGUCUCUCGCUUCCAUGCUGUCGACAGUUGGGACACCCGGUAACCAGGAGGACCCCACCCUUUAUAUAUUUCAUAUUCCUAACCAAAACCCCUGGACUUUCCCCUUUGUUGAUUGUUUAUUUAUAUAAACCAAGAAAUAAAAGAAAGGAAAAGGCCCCUUACUUGCUCAGCUACUCACUAGGCCUCCCAACUCCUACGCAGGCCGCAAACCUGCAGCUGGGCCGGCCUUUAGGCCCAGCCGCCCCACCUACACCUAACCCUAGCCUCAACCGACCUCUCCCUCUCGAUCCCCUGCUCGUUCCUACCGCCACCAGAAGCCUUCUCCCUCGACUCCUCCUCUAGCGCCGCCAGAGACAUGCAUGCAGGUGUAGUCCUCUGCUUCUACCCAACCUCAUCCUUUCCCUUGUUCCCUUGCGCCGCCUCCCCCUCAUAUCGAUCUCUCCCUCUCCUCUCGCUCUAGCCAACCACCCCGCGGCCCCAUGAGCUCGCCUGCCCGCACGGCCAUGGCUUCGCCGCCCUCGACCCAACUCGCCCUCGACGUCCCCUUCACCAGAGUCCUUCCUCCGCCUCUUCUCCAGCCUCCCACGAUAGCCAUGCCCCGCCCUCAAGCGCCUCACCUCCCGCAGCCGGUCCAGGACCUCCUCGUCUAACCGGCGCCACUGACUCGUCAGCUCCAUCGCCAGGGGAGGAGCCCCUCGACCUGUCCCCUUCGGCCCCGACUCCGGCGAGCGCCACCCCAUCGACUCUCCUUCGCGCGACAGCUCCCCUCUGCUACCUCGUUCCUCUGCCUGCAAUUGUCCUUUGCUCUCCCGCCUUGCCUCACGUGACCCACAUGGGCGCCGGCCAUGGAGGCCACCGUGCUGGCCUGGAGCUUCACGCAUGCUGCCUUGCCUUGCUGCUGCUUUGUCCGACCGCGGACAACCUCCGUCGAGCUCGCCGGCCACCUUUGACCUCGGCGUGGCCUUGCCUCCACUAGCAGCCUCCUGGUGCUGGCCGUUUCCAUGGGUUCGGGGAGCCCCAAGUGUUGUCCGUGGCCUCGUUGGCUGUUGAUGUUAUGCUGUUGGCUUUCUCCAUCGUCUCCCUGGGCUAUUCAAAUCCUGUACCACGAGCCCAAGCCGAAAGACUCCAUGGAUGUGCAUCUCACUUGUGCCAUUUUGGAUCAUAAAGAACGUUUCGAGAUUCGCCAAGUACCAUUACGCUUGGAGACCACGGACCCGUGAAGUUCCACUACCGCCGCCAUGGAUCCGACAAGUUCGCGAGUAUGAUCACUUCCCACGAUGACCUUGUACCACUACCGUCGACGAAGACAUGUGCACCGCAAGCGUCAAGUUCAACUACCGUCGACCGCAAAGGGUUUGGAGUCAUCAAGCACCUCUCCGAAUGAACGGGAAUGACUAUCAUCGCCGAGAUCAUGAGAACCUCUACCGACGACCUCGGAACGUGUACGACGACCAUUGUCGAAGACCCGUACCUCUACCGCUUCCCGAACAUGUACCACGACUUCCACGACUUCUGUGAACCGCUACUUCCACGAUGGCCGUGAACGACUACUUCCCUCGACGAACUUGAUACACUAAAACGCAUGCUUCGAAGGUAUAACCCCGAGACGACCAUCUGAGAACGAUUGCUUGUGUUGUAUGCGAUGCACCCGUUGUCUGCACCGUGUCCGUAGUGUCUCUCGCUUCCAUGUUGUCUACACUUGGGACAGCCGGUAACCGAGAGGACCCCACCUUCUAUCGCAUGUCACACUCCCGUCACUUUUCCUUUUGCAUCGGUAUCUCCAUGAGCUAUCGGAACCGGAAUGAUGCCGUGGCACCAUUUCCGUUGUCAUUGUCGUGGCACCCCUUUAUUUCCACCAUGGUGACAAAUGUUUCAUAAUGCUCUUAUCAACAUUUUCAUAAAAUUGCAUAAACUUGCAUAUGCCAUCCGCAUCAUGAUAAUAACAUUAAAAAAUUUUAAAUUGUUGUUUGCAUUAAAAUGCUAAUGCAUAUGGGGAUUUACCGGUAUUGUUGUUUGUUAUUUCCGGCCUCAUUUAAACUUGCCUAAUGUUUAGUUUACUUAUGCUCCACCUCUUGCCAUGAUUAAACAACAUUUAAUUUUGUUGAGUAGUUUAAACGGGAGAGAACUAAAUAAUUAAAUGUGGUGUUUCGUCAAUAUGCAAGUCGUUGCAUAUUGAGCUCCACUUAACUUGUAGUUUUGCUUGUGCACUUUGCCAUGCCAUGCCUCAUUAAACCGUACAUGCAUCAUACUUGGUUGUGCAUCAUGCCAUGUUUAUGUGAUGGUUGUUUACCAUGUUGUUUGCUCCUUUCCAGUGUUGCUUCUUCUUGUUAGUUCCGGUAACGUCGCGUUUGUGAGGAUCCGUUCGACUAUGUCCGUUUGUCUUCUUCAUGGACUUGUUCUUCUUCCUCGCGGGAUCUCAGGCAAGAUGACCAUACCCUCAAAAUCACUUCUAUCUUUGCUUGCUAGUUGUUCGCUAUAUUGCUAUGCCGCGCUACCUACCACUUGCUAUAUCAUGCCUCCCAUAUUGCCAUGUUAAGCCUCUAACCCACUUUUCCUAGCAAACCGUUGUUUGGCUAUGUUACCGCUUUUGCUAAGCCCCUCUUAUAGUGUUGCUAGUUGCAGGUGAAGAUGAAGUUUGUUCCUUGUUGGAACAUGGAUAUUGUUGGGAUAUCAUUAUUAUAUCGUAUUUACUUUAAUGCAUCUAUAUACUUGGUAAAGGGUGGAAGGCUCGGCCUUAUGCCUGGUGUUUUGUUCCACUCUUGCUGCCCUAGUUUCCGUCAUACCAGUGUUAUAUUCCUUCAUUUUGCGUCCCUUACGCGGUUGGGUGUUAUGGGAACCCCCUGACAGUUCGCUUUGAAUAAAACUCCUCCAGCAAGGCCCAACCUUGGUUUUACAUUUGCCUAACAACCUAUCACCUUCCCUUGGGUUCUGCAGACCCGAGGGCCAUCUUUAUUUUACCCCCCCAUCCCCCGGGCCAGUGCUUCUCUAAGUGUUGGUCCGAACUAGAGCCCCUUGCAGCGCCACCUCGGGGAAACUUGAGGGCUACUUUUAGUUGUACAGAUUGAUCAUUUGGUGUUGCCCUGAGAACGAGAUAUGUGCAGCUCCUAUCGGGAUUGUCGGCACAUUGGGCGACUUUGCUGGUCUUGUUUUACCAUUGUCAAAACGUUUUGUAACCGAGAUUCUGAGAUUGAUCGGGUCUUCUCGGGAGAAGGAAUAUGUCAGGACCCCGACUCGAUGUCACAUCGAUCUAGCCGGUAACACUUCAUAUCACUUUGCGGCCUCACGCACGGUAUUCCCACGGGUGUCGCCUUACCUUUGCCCGGGACCGUUUGCGCCUUUUGGCUCACGUAUAUGAUAGUGUCGCUAGCAUCCAUAUGAUAAAGAGCCCGGGCUGACAUGACUAGUCGUAAACCCAAAGUGGCACAGACUUACAGGGACAGGCAUCCAUGACCCAGCUUCGAACGUGUCGGUCAUCAGCAAGUGGGUCCGGGCUGUAGCACUGGGCUAGCAGGACUCCGGUAAACCGGGCUGUAGCGGGCUAACAGGACUCCGGUACUCAAAGCGUGACAUUUCCCCGAAGGGACAGACACAGGAACGAAGAAGGACACAUGCCGGCCAGCCUAAGUGUUCCAGAGCAGUAGCAUGCUACCAUGGCUCAGCGGUAACACUAGGAGACAUUUCCCGGUAAGAGAGGCUACUAAAGAUAAACAACUAGGUAGUCAGAUCCCACACAUACCAAGCAUUUCAAUCAUACACACAAUAUGCUCGAUAUGUGCAAAUAUAACGAAGCAUCACAACAUGACUCUACGACACAAGUACUUUUAUUUAAGGCUCAGCGAGCCAUACAUAACAUACACACAAAGGUACGGGUCUCACGACCCAACAUACAAGUCAUACAGUCAUACAAGCCAACAGCGGAAGAAACUUGUCUGAGUACAGACAACUAGUAAAAUAAAAGAGGCUCGGAAGCCUAACUACACUAUGUGGUCCAUCACAAGCUCAGGGUCACCACCUGGGUCUUUAGCCUACUCGUUGAUGUCAACGUCUACAUAGAACCCAUCAGAAGGGGUUGCAGCGUCUUCUGUAAAAAUGUAGAUUAUAGCAACAUGAGUACAAAGGUACUCAGCAAGACUUACAUCAGAUCCUACAUACAUGCAUAGUAUCAAGAAGGGUUGGUGGAGUUAUUGCAGCAAGCCAGCUUUGACUCCUGGCUAGACUAUCCUACGAUACUCCAAUUUGAAAUGUUUUGCGCACACGAGUCCACUACUCACCACUUCAAUACACUACCGAGGAUCCACCUCCGUCUUCCUACGGAAGACCCAUCCUCGGCACUCACACUUAUCUUGAGGCUUUUAAUAGUUUCCAUUUACUUGUCUAUGAACUGUAUAGGCAACCAAGUAGUCCUUUACCGCGGACGCGGCUAUUCGAAUAGAUCAUGUUAACCCUGCAGGGGUGUACUUCUUCAUACACGCUCUCACCACUUAUCGUCGUUUACACGACAUGUACUCGGCAACCUUCAAGCGGAAGCCCAACGUGGGUGUCGGCCACGACCUACCUAAUCACCUAAGCCUCCAGUCCAGGUUUAUCGCCUAUUCAGGUUCCAUCCGCAGGGAGUCCGGCCGAGGUUUCCCAUACGGCCCCGAACGAUGUGAACAGGGUUCCCGAGAUACCUAACGGGUAUUCGGUACACCGUGCCACGUACCUACCGCAUCAUAGCCCACCCCUACGGUCAGCGCUGUCCACGGCCUCCAGUAGGCUACAAACACCAGAAACUACUUGCAACUCCUGGACGGAGAACUAGGGUGAAUAAGAAGUCGAGAGGGUCCAUUGGUUUCGGGCCCAAUGCAUGGUAGUAGCUGAUUCUUAAAUCACACAUACAGAUCUCAGUGCUUAAGGUCGGCUUCAAUGAAACAACCCACCAUGUACUCCUACAUGGCCUCUCAUCGAUACCUUUACCAAAUCGUGUUCACCACACUACUCUCAUUACUGACAUAAUCAUUUCACUCUAGCCCAUCACCCAGAUGAACCAGACCUGACUCAACUCUAAGCAUAGCAGGCAUAGCAAGGUAGGAACAACACAUACAUAUGGCUCAAUCAACUCCUACACAUGCUAGUGGGUUUCAUCUAGUUACUGUGGCAAUGACAGGUCAUGCAGAGGAAAUGGGUUCAACUACCGUAGCACACAGCAGUUUGAAUCGCGUUGUCUUAAUGCAGUAAAAGAGAGCAGGAGCGAGAACAUGGGAUUGUAUCGAUAUGAUCAAAUGGUUGGUUGCUUGCCUGAUGGUUCGUUGCACGGAUACGGUUCUUCGUUAGGGUAAUCACGGUACUCCUCGGGAACAGAUCCUGUCGCAAAGGACAUCGAUACACAAACAUCACCAAACAAUAUGCAACAAUAUGAUGCAUGCAUGAAACAUGGCAAUAUGAGUGUGUUGGGCUAAUGCAACUAAAACCAGAAGGGUUUGAACAAAUUUGAAUCAAAGAUUCAAAUUUCAAUUUCAAAUAUGGCCUUUUAAAGGGCCUUUCCUUGUUCUGAUUAAAACAUCAACUUAACUUGUUUGAUCAUGCAUGAAAAUGGUACAGAUGGAUAGAUUGGAUUUUUCUGAUCAUUUUUCAUAUAUUAUUUGUCCAAUUUGGAGUUACAGAAUAAAAGUUAUGAAUUUUUGAAGUUUAAAUAAUAUUCUGGAAUUUCCUGAUUUAAUUUAAAUCCAGAAAUAUCAUUUACUGCGUCAGCCUGACAUCAUAGUGACAUCAGCAGGUCAACAGGGCUGGCUCGGGUCAAACCUGACGUGUGGGGUCCACACGUCAGUGUCACAGGGGCUAAUCCCGCGUUGACCCCGGGCUGGUUAGCUUUGACUAAGCCCUGGGGCCCACUUGUCAGCGUCAGUAGGUGGUGGAUUAGUGGUUAAUUAGCUGGGCCACGUCAGCUCGCCGGAGUUCUGGCCGGCGGCGACCAACAGUGCGGCGGCGAUAGUGGUUUUGGUCGUUUCGGCCACCAAAUGGAACGUGGCGACCACCGGAGUGAAGCUGAGGACGACCCGCGGCUCUUGGCGGAGUCCGUUGGGGUCGGGGUGGCCGGAGUCGACGGCGGCGAGCUCAGCUGCGGCCGCCGGGGUUCGGUCGUGCACGGGAGUGGUGCUGGAGCUCGAAGUUGAGCAAAGUGAGGCGCUAGGGAGGCUCUACUGGGUUCUGUGAACGCGUUGGACUCGCCGGGGUGACCAAGUGGUCACCGGAGCUGCGUCGACGGCGAGCUCGGCGACGGCGGAGGUUCGGCCGAGGUGGGGAUGCAGCUACGGUGAGGGAACGAGGGAAAGAAGAGGGGGGAACGGUGGCGUAGCUCACCGCGGUUGCAGUGGGCGUCGAAGCGGGCUCGGGGACGCGCUGGAGACGGCGAAUUCGUCGGCGACGGUGGUCGGAGUCCGAAGAGGGGAACGGCGACGUGGCGGCGAUGCAGGGCUUCCGGGGACUCGUGGAGCGGUGGGGAGGAAGAGGGAGUCGAGGCGGAGCUUCUGAGCUACUCGGGGGAGCGAGGGGUGGCCGGAGUCAGUGGCUACGGCGAACGGCGGCGACGGUGGUGUUCGGCCGAGAGCGAGAGAGAGCGAGGGAGAAGCGGGGGAGAGUGAGAGGGAGCAGGGGGGAUCGGGACGGGCUGCGGGCGUCGUCCACGCGGCCAGGGGGGCGUCGGCAAGCAGGAGGUGGCCGCGCGGCCGCGCGCGCGCGAGCACGCAGCAGCUUCGGGGCGUGGGGAGGAAGACGACGGGGAGCUACAGUGCUGGGCUGGCUAGCUGGGCCGGCCAGCUGGCUGGGCCGCACAGGUAAGUUUCUCCUCUCUUUUCUGUUUUCUGUUUUAAUUAAUAAUUCUGCAACUUUGUUGAAUUAAAUAAAAUACCUAGGCAACUCCAAAAAUCACCAAACUACUCCUGGUCCAUAGUUGGAAUAUUUCCAACAUGAAACAUUUUAGUUUGGAGAUAUUUGAGCAUUAAAAUAUUUUAUAUUAUUUUAAAUGCCCAAAUUCAAAUAGUUAUGAUUUAACUCAAGAACCCUAGGAUGGCCUAGAAAAGUGUGCACCAUUUUUGGCAGAGGUUCUGAACCAAGGCAAAAAUGAUGGGCAUUUUAGAAGGGCAUUUCAGGUUCAUUGAAAAUUAUUUUAGUAAACCCUAGUUGGUUAUCAGAGGGGACUGGGGGUUCUGUCAUCCCCAUUUCAAGUUUCUGAUGCAAAAGUAAACAUGAUGCAACACUCUAAUGCAUGACUAGCUAGGGUGUGACAACUCACCCCCACUCAAAAGAAUCUCGUCCCGAGAUUUGGGUUCCUCCGAGAAGAAGGCGGGAUACUCGAGUCGAAGACGAUCCUCCCUUUCCCAAGUUGCUUCAUCUUCAGAAUGGUGCGACCAUUGAACCUUGAGAAACUUGAUGUUAUGACGUCGCGUGGUACGUUCGGCUUGAUCGAGGAUACGAAUGGGGUACUCUCGAUAUGUAAGAUUAUCUUGGAGAUCAAGCGUUUCGUGGUCCACUUCACGGAUAGGAUCCGAGAAGCAACGUCUGAGUUGAGAAACGUGGAAGACAUCGUGAACUCUGGAGAGGUGCGGAGGUAGUUCCAAUUGGUAGGCAACUUCUCCUCGUUUGGCAAGAAUGCGAAAAGGUCCAAUGUAACGAGGAGCCAAUUUGCCUUUGAUACCGAAGCGAUGGGUUCCCUUCAGAGGGGUGACCCGAAGAUAAGCCUUCUCGUCAACCUCGAAAGUCAUAGCCUUAUGUUUUCGGUCAUAUUGACUCUUUUGACGAGAUUGGGCGGUUUUCAACUUUUCACGAACGAUACGAACUUGUUCUUCUGCUUCCUGAAUCAUAUCCGGGCCAAAGAAUUGUCUUUCCCCGGUCUCUGACCAGUUAAGGGGUGUUCGACAUCGUCGUCCAUAGAGGACUUCAAAAGGGGCUUUACCCAAGCUAGAUUGAUAGCUGUUGUUGUAAGCGAAUUCGGCAAAUGGAAGGCACUUCUCCCAGUCCAUUCCGAAUGAGAUAACAGAGGCUCGAAGCAUGUCUUCUAGAAUUUGGUUGACGCGUUCCACUUGACCACUUGACUGAGGGUGGAAAGCGGUGCUAAAGGAGAGACGAGUUCCCAUAGCAUUUUGGAAACUUUCCCAAAAUCGAGAGGUGAAAAGACUUCCUCGAUCCGAAUUGAUUUCCAAAGGAACACCAUGGAGGGACACUAUUCGGGAGAUGUAUAAGUCUGCCAGCUGACUAGCGGUUAUACUCUCACGAACAGGUAGGAAAUGAGCUACUUUGGAAAGACGAUCGACCACGACGAAGAUAGCAUUAUUCCCUCUCUUGGUCCUGGGAAAACCGGUAAUGAAAUCCAUACCAAUUUUAUCCCAUUUCCAUUCAGGAAUAGCUAAGGGUUGAAGGGUGCCAGCAGGCCGUUGAUGCUCUGCUUUUACACGACGACAGACGUCGCAAUUGGCAAUAUACUGAGCAAUUUCUCUCUUCAUCCUAGUCCACCAGAACCUCUGGCGUAGGUCCUGAUACAUUUUAGUACUACCGGGAUGAAUGGUGAGAGGAGAUUCAUGGGCUUCCUUAAGGAUUAUAUGCCUUAGGUUGCGCACUUUGGGAACUACUAAUCGAUCCCCGAAGUACACGACUCCUUGAUCAUUAACGGAGAAACAAUUCGCAAUUCCUUUCUGAAUAUUCCUCUUGAUGCGGGAGAUUCCCGGAUCUACCUUCUGUGCUUUGAUGAUUUGAUCCGUAAGGGUAGGUUUUGCCACCAAGGUGGAGAGAAAACCUUGAGGUACAAUGUGAAGGUUAAGCUUCCGAAAUUCCUCAUGGAGAAGCGGUUGACUUUGUUGUAACAUCAGGUUGUUACAAUAAGAUUUACGACUUAGCGCAUCAGCCAUGACGUUGGCUUUCCCUGGGGUAUAGGUUAUCCCUAAGUCGAAGUCUGUGAUCAAUUCAACCCAACGUCUUUGCCUGAGAUUCAAAUCCGGUUGGGUGAAAAUGUACUUCAGGCUUUGGUGAUCAGUGAAUAUUUCGCAACGAUUACCGAGGAGGUAAUGUCGCCAGGUCUUAAGGGCAUAGACUACGGCUGCAAGUUCUAGAUCAUGAGUAGGAUAAUUCUCCUCAUGUGGGUGCAAUUGCCGUGAAGCGUAAGCAAUUACGUGUCGAUCUUGCAUAAGGAUGCAACCUAGUCCUUGUCACGAGGCGUCGCAGUAGAUAACAAAGUCUUUGGAGAAGUCUGGUGGUACCAGCACGGGAGCAGAAGUCAGGCGUCUUUUCAGUUCCUGAAAGCUGUGCUCACAUUGUGAGGUCCAUUCGAACUUCUUAUCUUUCUUGAGGAGUUCGGUUAGGGGUUUAGCAACUUUGGAGAAGUUCUCGACAAAGCGACGGCAAUAGCUCGCUAAGCCUAGAAAACUCCGAACUUGCUUGACCGAUUCGGGUGGAGUCCAGUCAAGGACAGCUUGAACUCGCUCAGGGUUAACAGCAAUACCUUUACCAGAUAUUACAUGACCCAGAUAGGUCACUUCUGGCAACCAGAAUUCACAUUUAGAAAAUUUGGCAUAAAGGCGAUGCUCUCGAAGUUUCUGCAACACUAGCCUUAGAUGUUCGGCAUGUUCUUCCUCGUUCUUGGAGUAUAUGAGUAUAUCAUCGAGAUAAACUACGACGAAUUUAUCCAAAUACUCCAUGAAGAUUGAGUUCAUUAACCGAGAAAAAGUGGCUGGAGCGUUGGUUAAACCGAAGGACAUGACGGUGUACUCGUAUUGGCCGUAACGAGUAACAAAGGCCGUUUUAGGAAUGUCCCCGUUUCUGAUUUUGAUUUGAUGGUAGCCCAACCUCAAAUCCAUCUUGGAGAAGACUGAGGAUCCAGCGAGCUGAUCAUACAGAUCGUUGAUCCUGGGAAGUGGAUAUUUGUUCUUGAUUGUGACCAGAUUGACAGGUCGGUAAUCUACAACCAUUCGGUCCGUACCAUCCUUUUUCUUAACGAAUAGGACGGGGCAAGCCCACGGAGAUGAACUAGGGCGGAUGAAACCCUUUUUCAAGGAUUCAUCGAGUUGCUUCUUAAGCUCGGCUAGUUCUAGGGGUGCCAUCUUAUAAGGCCUUCUAGCAAUCGGAACGGUUCCUGGAAUGAGGUCUAUUACGAACUCAACAUCCCUGUCAGGUGGAACCCCUGGCAAUUCCUCUGGAAAGACAUCCGGAAAAUCACGAACUACCGGAACGUCCUCAAGGUCUGGCAAAGGGCUGGCGUUAAGAGAAUAUAAUUGUCGCUUGGCUAUUCGAGUCAAAACAUUGACUAUCUUCCCCGAAGGAUGGGUGAGUUGAACGGUCCUAGAGAAGCAAUCAAUUUUGGCUUGAUGAGCUGACAUCCAGUCCAUACCCAAAAUGAUAUUAAUAUCUGAAGAUUUAAGGGCUAUCAAAGAUGCAAGAAAAACAAGUCUGUCGACUUGGAUUUCAUUUCCAUGGCUUACUCUAGAAGUUUGCCAUUUGGAUCCCAGAGUUUGAAUUACCAUGGAGGAUGGAAAGUCACAGAAUGCAACGUUAUGCAAACGAGCAUAAUUUUCAGAUAUAAAAGAAUGAGAGGCUCCUGUAUCGAAAAGAACAGAUGCCGGGUGGCAAUUAACAAGAAGCGUACCGAGAACGACGUUGGGAUCUUCUUGAGCUUCUUCGGCAGAGAUACAGUUGACAUGGCCACGUGAAGCGGUGACCGGUUUGGCAAGGAACACCUUCCCUGUCGGCUUGCCACGGCCAACAGCUUUAGCAGAUUGAUUGGGGUUGGUCUGGGGACACUCACGCAUAUAAUGACCAGAUUCCCCACACUUGAAACAAGUCACGGAACUGGUACGUGGAGGAGCAUUAUUGGAUGGACCCCCAUAGGGCUUGGCUGGUGCAGACUGUUGGAUAGGGCGAGGCGCCUGAAAAGAUGGCCUCGGUGUGAACCUGGGUGGCAGGGCGGUAUUGGGUACCCACACGCGGCGCUUCUGAGGACUAGCACCGGAUGAGGAACCCAUAUCACGUCCAUGCUUGCGUGUUGCGUCAUAGUCAGUCUGACCAGUUUCAGCACUGAUGGCUUUGUUGACAAGUUUCGAAAAAGAUGUACACUCAUGCAGACGGAGGUCGCGACGAAGCUCAGGACUAAGGCCCUUACGGAACCUUGCUUGCUUCUUGGCGUCAGUAGAAACUUCCUCGGUUGCAUAUCGUGCAAGGUUACCAAACUCCCUGCUAUAGACAUCCACAGAAAGUCGGCCUUGGGUGAAAUUGCAAAAUUCUUCACGCUUACGGUCCAUGAGACCCUCCGGAAUGUGGUGUUCACGGAAAGCCUCACUGAAUUCAGCCCAAGUUGUGACAUGGCCCGCUGGGCGCAUGGCUCCAUAAUUCUCCCACCAUAGACUGGCGGGGCCUUCAAGGUGAUAUGCAGCAAAGGUGACUUUGUCAGCCUCCGCUACCAGCGCGGAACGCAGUUUAUGAGAGAUACUGCAAAGCCAGUCAUCAGCGUCGAGAGGCUCGACGGAGUGGUGGAACGUGGGUGGAUGCAAUUUGAUAAAAUCACUGAGUGACACCACGUUAGCCCUCUGAUGGUGUGCUGUGUUCUGUUCAAUACGCUCCAACAAACGGUUUGUCUCCCGCUUGUUUCUCUCAGCUUCCAUCAUCACCUCGGCUAGUGAAGGAGGAUGAGGCAGAUGUUCAUUUCUGGCUUCACUGCCUUCGGCCUGCUCUUGGGAAGCAGGGUUGGCGCGCGUGUUGACCAUCCUAGGUAAACAAGGCAAUGAUUUAGUCAGAAUGAUAAAAUUCCGACAUAGGAUACAUAAUGCAAGGAAUAACUCGGAAUGCAAGAUGAUCAUCCGUAUGACAUGGUAGAUACAGAAACUGCUUCUUUAUUCCAUCGUCAUACACACCAUACAAGGUUUAGUACAAGACCAAACAAAGUACUAUUACGGUGAAAAAAAGGAUUACAUCUCAUCGGAGGCAUCUCAAGCUACUAUACAUUAUUUUUCUACACCUCCGGAAGGAGUACAAACUAGUCAUAUCCCACGAGUCACGCAGGACGAUAGACGACACAGCUAGUGCGAACUGGUGAUACUACUACUAACUCAGACCGAUCCGUAAUAGUCCUCGUAGAAGUCACCUCCAUAGCCCGGAAGUUCAACAUGAUCAUCCGGAAACAGACGGUCUCGCGGAGCUUGUGGACCAUAGGGGCUAGGAUGAGGUCUUGGACCAGCAAACGGUGGCCUGCGGGGACCGCGAGGUGGGGUGAUGCCUCCUACAUCACGCCAAACCAUCACGUCUGGCAGAGCAGAUCUCACAGGAUAGAGAUCGCGCAUAUCUGAAUAUCCAGCUUGCACCGCCGGUGCGAACCGAGUCAAAGUGGCCCAGUGGUCAGCACGGGUAUUGAAGAGCUCUAACCUUAAGGCCCGAUUUUCACGGUCCUUAUCCUCGAGCAUCUCAGCAGUGGUGCGAGUCCGUGAAUCCUCCUGAGUGGAGUCAGCAUAUAUAGCCUGAAAAUAUCCUUGUGCUCCCGGAAGUGAUCCUGGCAUAUACCGGAAAUCAGAGUCCCGAAAUAACCUAGAUCUGACUCGCAUAAUGGUCAUCAUAGAGUAGGCGGCAUCCUGCACAGCCAUCUCGAUAGAAACCCCGAGUCCAUAGGAGCAGUGAAGAGGCUCAGUGGAUCCAGGAUAAGAUGGAAAUAUCCUGACAGUGCAGAGAUACUGGCUUUGAUUAAAGUCUCGGAAUUGUUCUUCGACCGUGUACUCAGGAUACCAGCGGUAUCCAGCCUCAGUCAUUACCCUGACCAACUUAGCAGUAUGGCCGGGUACAUCUAGGCACCGAGUCAGGCGAACCACUUGAUUGAGGUCGCGAGUGGCCAUCUGAAAGCACAAUUAUAAUGCAAAGGCAUUAGAAUUUCUAGCAAAAUUUCGGCAGCAUAACAGCUGUAAAUGCUCAAAAAGGAUAUUGAGACAUUUGACAAAGGAUUUCGUACACACUCAACAUCAUCAUAUCAAGUCUUGAAACCAUUCUUACAACAUAAUGUGGUGGUAGAACUGAACUAGGCUUGUAACCAUCAAACUUAUAAGGUACUACUGAUUAGUAACUCGUGAUCCUGAUAGAGAGAGCAGAUCCUAAUUCCUUAACCCCCGGUGGAAGAAUGGACUGACUCAGAUCAGAAAGUCAUAGGAUAUAAGGAGUAAAAAGAGCCUUACGUUCCAACCCACAAACAAUUCCCCUACAUAUAACUAAAGAAUUUCUAGACUCAACAUCAACCAGUUUGGCUUGGAGAACCUACAGGCAGUCCGGCUCUGAUGCCAACGCUGUCAGGACCCCGACUCGAUGUCACAUCGAUCUAGCCGGUAACACUUCAUAUCACUUUGCGGCCUCACGCACGGUAUUCCCACGGGUGUCGCCUUACCUUUGCCCGGGACCGUUUGCGCCUUUUGGCUCACGUAUAUGAUAGUGUCGCUAGCAUCCAUAUGAUAAAGAGCCCGGGCUGACAUGACUAGUCGUAAACCCAAAGUGGCACAGACUUACAGGGACAGGCAUCCAUGACCCAGCUUCGAACGUGUCGGUCAUCAGCAAGUGGGUCCGGGCUGUAGCACUGGGCUAGCAGGACUCCGGUAAACCGGGCUGUAGCGGGCUAACAGGACUCCGGUACUCAAAGCGUGACAUUUCCCCGAAGGGACAGACACAGGAACGAAGAAGGACACAUGCCGGCCAGCCUAAGUGUUCCAGAGCAGUAGCAAGCUACCAUGGCUCAGCGGUAACACUAGGAGACAUUUCCCGGUAAGAGAGGCUACUAAAGAUAAACAACUAGAUAGUCAGAUCCCACACAUACCAAGCAUUUCAAUCACACACACAUUAUGCUCGAUAUGUGCAAAUACAACGAAGCAUCACAACAUGACUCUACGACACAAGUACUUUAUUUAAGGCUCAGGGAGCCAUACAUAAUAUACACACAAAGUUACGGGUCUCACGACCCAACAUACAAGUUAUACAAUCAUACAAGCCAACAGCGGAAGUAACUUGUCUGAGUACAGACAACUAGUAAAAUAAAAGAGGCUUGGAAAGCCUGGCUAUACUAUGUGGUCCUCCACAAGCUCAAGGUCACCACCUGGGUCUUUAGCCUACUCGUUGAUGUCAACGUCUACAUAGAACCCAUCAGAAGGGGUUGCAGCGUCUUCUGUAAAAUGUAGAUUAUAGCAACAUGAGUACAAAGGUACUCAGCAAGACUUACAUCAGAUCCUACAUACAUGCAUAGUAUCAAGAAAGGUUGGUGGAGUUAUUGCAGCAAGCCAGCUUUGACUCUUGGCUAGACUAUCCUACGAUACUCCAUUUGAAAUAGUUUUGCGCACACGAGUCCACUAUUCACCACUUCAAUACACUACCGAGGAUCCACCUCCGUCUUCCUACGGAAGAGCCAUCCUCGGCACUCACACUUAUCCUGAGGCUUUUAAUAGUUUCCAUUUACUUGUCUAUGAACUGUAUAGGCAACCAAGUAGUCCUUUACCGCGGACGCGGCUAUUCGAAUAGAUCAUGUUAACCCUGCAGGGGUGUACUUCUUCAUACACGCUCUCACCACUUAUCGUCGUUUACACGACAUGUACUCGGCAACCUUCAAGCGGAAGCCCAACGUGGGUGUCGGCCACGACCUACCUAAUCACCUAAGCUUCCAGUCCAGGUUUAUCGCCUAUUCAGGUUCCAUCCGCAGGGAGUCCGGCCGAGGUUUCCCAUACGGCCCCGAACGAUGUGAACAGGGUUCCCGAGAUACCUAACGGGUAUUUGGUACACCCGGCCACGUACCUACCGCAUCACAGCCCACCCCUACGGUCAGCGCUGUCCACGGCCUCCAGUAGGCUACAAACACCAGAAACUACUUGCAACUCCUGGACGGAGAACUAGGGUGAAUAAGAAGUCGAGAGGGUCCAUUGGUUUCGGGACCAAUGCAUGGUAGUAGCUGAUUCUUAAAUCACACAUACAGAUCUCAGUGCUUAAGGUCGGCUUCAAUGAAACAACCCACCAUGUACUCCUACAUGGCCUCUCAUCGAUACCUUUACCAAAUCGUGUUCACCACACCACUCCCAUUACUGACAUAAUCAUUUCACUCUAGCCCAUCACCCAGAUGAACCAGACCUGACGCAACUCUAAGCAUAGCAGGCAUAGCAAGGUAGGAACAACACAUACAUAUGGCUCAAUCAACUCCUACACAUGCUAGUGGGUUUCAUCUAGUUACUGUGGCAAUGACAGGUCAUGCAGAGGAAAUGGGUUCAACUACCGUAGCACACAGCAGUUUGAAUCGCGUUGUCUUAAUGCAGUAAAAGAGAGCAGGAGCGAGAACAUGGGAUUGUAUCGAUAUGAUCAAAUGGUUGGUUGCUUGCCUGAUGGUUCGUUGCACGGAUACGGUUCUUCGUUAGGGUAAUCACGGUACUCCUCGGGAACAGAUCCUGUCGCAAAGGACAUCGAUACACAAACAUCACCAAACAAUAUGCAACAAUAUGAUGCAUGCAUGAAACAUGGCAAUAUGAGUGUGUUGGGCUAAUGCAACUAAAACCAGAAGGGUUUGAACAAAUUUGAAUCAAAGAUUCAAAUUUCAAUUUCAAAUAUGGCCUUUUAAAGGGCCUUUCCUUGUUCUGAUUAAAACAUCAACUUAACUUGUUUGAUCAUGCAUGAAAAUGGUACAGAUGGAUAGAUUGGAUUUUUCUGAUCAUUUUUCAUAUAUUAUUUGUCCAAUUUGGAGUUACAGAAUAAAAGUUAUGAAUUUUUGAAGUUUAAAUAAUAUUCUGGAAUUUCCUGAUUUAAUUUAAAUCCAGAAAUAUCAUUUACUGCGUCAGCCUGACAUCAUAGUGACAUCAGCAGGUCAACAGGGCUGGCUCGGGUCAAACCUGACGUGUGGGGUCCACACGUCAGUGUCACAGGGGCUAAUCCCGCGUUGACCCCGGGCUGGUUAGCUUUGACUAAGCCCUGGGGCCCACUUGUCAGCGUCAGUAGGUGGUGGAUUAGUGGUUAAUUAGCUGGGCCACGUCAGCUCGCCGGAGUUCUGGCCGGCGGCGACCAACAGUGCGGCGGCGAUAGUGGUUUUGGUCGUUUCGGCCACCAAAUGGAACGUGGCGACCACCGGAGUGAAGCUGAGGACGACCCGCGGCUCUUGGCGGAGUCCGUUGGGGUCGGGGUGGCCGGAGUCGACGGCGGCGAGCUCAGCUGUGGCCGCCGGGGUUCGGUCGUGCACGGGAGUGGUGCUGGAGCUCGAAGUUGAGCAAAGUGAGGCGCUAGGGAGGCUCUACUGGGUUCUGUGAACGCGUUGGACUCGCCGGGGUGACCAAGUGGUCACCGGAGCUGCGUCGACGGCGAGCUCGGCGACGGCGGAGGUUCGGCCGAGGUGGGGAUGCAGCUACGGUGAGGGAACGAGGGAAAGAAGAGGGGGGAACGGUGGCGUAGCUCACCGCGGUUGCAGUGGGCGUCGAAGCGGGCUCGGGGACGCGCUGGAGACGGCGAAUUCGUCGGCGACGGUGGUCGGAGUCCGAAGAGGGGAACGGCGACGUGGCGGCGAUGCAGGGCUUCCGGGGACUCGUGGAGCGGUGGGGAGGAAGAGGGAGUCGAGGCGGAGCUUCUGAGCUACUCGGGGGAGCGAGGGGUGGCCGGAGUCAGUGGCUACGGCGAACGGCGGCGACGGUGGUGUUCGGCCGAGAGCGAGAGAGAGCGAGGGAGAAGCGGGGGAGAGUGAGAGGGAGCAGGGGGGAUCGGGACGGGCUGCGGGCGUCGUCCACGCGGCCAGGGGGGCGUCGGCAAGCAGGAGGUGGCCGCGCGGCCGCGCGCGCGCGAGCACGCAGCAGCUUCGGGGCGUGGGGAGGAAGACGACGGGGAGCUACAGUGCUGGGCUGGCUAGCUGGGCCGGCCAGCUGGCUGGGCCGCACAGGUAAGUUUCUCCUCUCUUUUCUGUUUUCUGUUUUAAUUAAUAAUUCUGCAACUUUGUUGAAUUAAAUAAAAUACCUAGGCAACUCCAAAAAUCACCAAACUACUCCUGGUCCAUAGUUGGAAUAUUUCCAACAUGAAACAUUUUAGUUUGGAGAUAUUUGAGCAUUAAAAUAUUUUAUAUUAUUUUAAAUGCCCAAAUUCAAAUAGUUAUGAUUUAACUCAAGAACCCUAGGAUGGCCUAGAAAAGUGUGCACCAUUUUUGGCAGAGGUUCUGAACCAAGGCAAAAAUGAUGGGCAUUUUAGAAGGGCAUUUCAGGUUCAUUGAAAAUUAUUUUAGUAAACCCUAGUUGGUUAUCAGAGGGGACUGGGGGUUCUGUCAUCCCCAUUUCAAGUUUCUGAUGCAAAAGUAAACAUGAUGCAACACUCUAAUGCAUGACUAGCUAGGGUGUGACAGAAUAUCCUUCGUUGACCGUGAGAGCUUGUGAUGGGCUAAGUUGGGACACCCCUGCAGGGUAUAAACUUUUGAGAGCCAUGCCCGCGGUUAUGGGCAGAUGGGAAUUUGUUAAUAUCCCAUUGUAGAGAACUUGACACUUAACUUAAUUAAAAUGAAUCAACCGCGUGUGUAGCCGUGAUGGUCUCUUUUCGGCAGAGUCCGCGAAGAGAACACGGUCUCGUGUUAUGCUUGAACGUAUGUAGUUUCAGGAUCACUUCUAGCUUCUUGACUGUGUGUUGCUUCUCUUCUCGCUCUUAUUUGCGCAUGUUAGCCACCAUAUAUGGUAGUGCUUGCUGCAGCUCCACCUCACUACCCUUUCCUACCCAUAAGCUUAAAUAGUCUUGAUCACGCGGGUGUGAGAUUGCUGAGUCCUCGUGACUCACAUAUACUUCCGAACAGUUGCAGGUGCCGAUGAUACCAUUGCAGAUGACACAAUUGAGCUCAAGUGGGAGCUCGAUGAAGAUCUUGGUCGUUGUUUCAUUUCGAUUUCGGAUGUUCAGUAGUGGAGCCCAGUUGGGACGAUCGGGGAUCUAGCAUUUGGGGUUGUCUUCUUUUAUUUUGGUUCCGUAGUCGGACCUUGAUUGUAUUCUGGAUGAUGUAUGUAUAACUUGUAUUUGUGUGAAGUGGCGAUUGUUAGCCAACUCUUUAUCCCAUUCUUAUUUAGUACAUGGGAUUGUGUGAAGAUUACCCCUCUUGCGACAAACCUACCAUGCGGCUAUGCCUCUAAGUCAUGCCCCAACACGUGGGAGAUAUAGCCGCAUUGUGGGUGUUACAAGUUGGUAAUCAGAGCCAUCCCCGACUUAGGAGCCCCCUGCUUGAUCGAAUCGCUGAUGUUGUUGAGUCUAGAACAAAAUGUUUUGAAUCUUAGGAUUAUAUAUAUCGGAGAGUAGGAUUCUUUUGACAACUCAGUCCCUUCGUCGCUCUGUUGAGGCCUCCUGACGUAGAGUUUUGACUCUUCUCUCCUCAAAUUUCACGAUUUUUUAGGAUCACGCGGGUAUCUUGGAAUCGUUCCGAUAGUCUUGUGAUAAUAACAUUGUUCUUGGUGCCUCCUGACAUUUAUGGGUUGUGGCCGUGUCCCGGGGAGUUGAGCUUCGAGGUGUUGUCGUCACAAUUUUAUCGUUGCAGUUCUGGAAUACCUGAGUUCGCCGACAUCGGAAAUCUCUUUUAUGCAGUUGUUGGUGAGAUAACCUCGACGCCGCCCAGUACUGGGGCGAGAGUUCAAGAGUAUUACCAUAACUCGUAUAACGGAUGCUUUUCGAAGGUUGAGGUAAAUGAUUUCCGAAGGUUUCUUGGUUAUGUGUUGAAGGAUGGAUACAGCUGGAUGUAGGAUUUGUUACUUUUGGGUGAGAUAUUAUGCUUCCCCUGUAUCCCCAACACCUGAUUGCAUAACCAGAAAGUUUUGGGAGUUUAUAAGUGGGAAUCCAAGUAGCUCCUAGAAUAAUCUUUCAACAGACACAUGAUAAGAUAUGGGAUCUAUCAUAUGUUUGUUUCCGGCUUAUUUUGCAAGCCAAUCCUUGCUUUGUUUUUGUUGUGAUAUUCGAGUUGCUUCAGUGUCAAGUGUUGAUUCCAUACCUUUCCUAAGCGAUAUUCUCACAUUUCUAUGUGAAUAUUAAUUCUUCAUGAUAAUCGAGAUUGUCAUGUCAAUACUUUUCAACCGGUGUGUUUCUCUUCAAGUGGAUCCGAUCAUUUUCAACAUUUGCAAGAUCAAUGCUCAGUUAUUCACAACGGUGUUUGUUUCAUCCGUCCUAAGUUGUCUUUGUUUUCCCGCCCUCCCACCCUUUUUCUUCAAGGACUCGGAUUUCUUAUUAAAGUAUCCUUUUAUUGUUGCGAAGCCUCUCCAUUCUUUUAAGUCAAUGUUGAAAGGAUCGAUAUGGUUGACUAGAGGGGGGGGUGAAUAGGCAACUAGCAAUUUUUAGCUUUGCUUUAACAAUUUAAACUUUGCAUUAAAGUAGGUUUUUUAGAUAUGCAACUAAGUGAGCAACCUAUAUGAUGCAACAAAGAUAGGAACACAAGCAAGCAAGAGAUAUAUCACAGAUAAGCUUGCACAAGUAAAGGCACGAGAUAACCAAGAGUGGAGCCGGUGGAGACGAGGAUGUGUUACCGAAGUUCCUUCCCUUUGAGGGGAAGUACGUCUCCGUUGGAGCGGUGUGGAGGCACAAUGCUCCCCAAGAAGCCACUAGGGCCACCGUAUUCUCCUCACGCCCUCACACAAUGCGAGAUGCCGUGAUUCCACUAUUGGUGCCCUUGGAGGCAGCGACCGAACCUUUACAAACAAGGUUGGGGCAAUAUCCACAACUCAAUUGGAGGCUCCCAACGACACCAUGAAGCUUCACCACAAUGGACUAUGGCUCCGCGGUGACCUAAACCGUCUAGGGUGCUCAAACACCCAAGAGUAACAAGAUCCGCAAGGGAUUAGUGAGGGAAUCAAAUUUCUCUUGGUGGAAGUGUAGAUGGGGGCCUUCUCAACCACACCCGAGCAAAUCAACAAGUUUGAUUGGCUAGGGAGUGAGAUCGGGCGAAAAUGGAGCUUGGAGCAACAAUGGAGCUUAGGGUUGGAAGAGGUGGUCAACUAGAGGAAGAAGACACCCCUUCUAUAGCUUAGGACAAAAAUCCAACUGUUAUCCACCUACCAGCCUGCGACCAGCGGUACUACCGCGCCAGACCAGCAGUACUACCGUAGGGCCACGCGUUACUUCUGCUUGCUGACAAGCGGUACUACCGCAAGGCCCCGCGGUACUACCGUGCGGACCCGUGGUACUACCGCAGCAGCAGCAGCUAGGGCAGACCUGUAGCACAAGAGCUGAGGGUGGUACUGCCGCGGGCGCGGUACUACUGCUCCCCCUUGUGGUACUACCGCAAGGCAGGAAAUCCCUAGCCUGGGAAGAGCGCGGAUAAAGAAACAUCCGUUCCUACUUCUGCUGGUAAAUGGAAGAAGCAAAAAUCCGACACAGUACUACCAUAGAGGAGCGGUACUACCACCUGGCAGCUGAUCCAGGCCGCGCACGGUACUACCGCACAAGGGAUGCGGUACUACUGCAGCAGUGCGGAUGUAAAAAAUUACAUCCGCCCCUACUACCGCGAAGGAGCGGUACUUGGCCUGGGGGCCACGGUACUGCGGCUCCAGAGGAGCGAUACUACCGUGGGCACCUGCGGUACUACCGCGCCGAAGUGGGGUACUACCGCUCAACAAGGAGCCGUACUACCGCAAGCACACCAACAACAGUCAGGACAAGGGAAAAGAGGAUCAAUGGACGAUGCUCCAAAGUGCAGGGGAAAGGAGGGGACAAGGAAGAAAACGUGUACGUGAUGAUUCCACCCAAACCUUUCUGAUGCGGACCCCCUCUUGAUAGUACGGCUUUCCUACGACUCAAAUCCACCAAAAAGAAAUGUAGAAAAGAUGCCUUCUUCAACAGUCUUUGAGGGGCACCAAACCGUCUUAUGCCUAGCGAUGAAACGUCUGGGAAACUCAAGGCACACGAUUAGUCCACAAAAGCAUUGUCAUCAAUCACCAAAACACCUUAGGGAUAAAUAUGCCAUUACAAAUGUUCUUAUCCGGUGAUUCUUAGGAAGAUACUAACAGAGCUUCAAGUUCAUCAUUCUUCGUUCUCUUUUCUUCUCCGUUGGAUUCAAUUCAAGCUUUCGGUGUUGAUCAUAUUCCAUUCCUUGUUUCAAAUGUGUUCUCAUGCCGGUGCACCUCUUAAUCAUCCACUCUUGCUAUUCUAUUGUUCCGGAGUGCUGAAGAUGCCUCAGAAGAAUCGUUUCCAUUCUUAAUCCAUUCAAGUUAUUUCAUGGUUGUUAUCUCAUUCAAGCCAUUUAAUUCAACCGGUGCAAUCUCUCUUUUCAAGCAAUCGCUUCAACGGUGUAUCUUUUGAGUGGGCCCUAACCCACAGGUCUUUUCCCAGGAUCUUACCUGACUCUUCUAAUUUUCCAGAGUUAUUUUCAAAAUCAUUUCAAAGUUUGACGUAAGAAUGAAUUUUCAUCAGUCAAAUGCCUUUCUCCAAGAUCUUUCAAAGUCUUUUCAUCGUUGGUUCAACCUUUCUAAUUUUCAUCCCGGAGUAUCUCAACAAUUCAUGGUGGUAUUUCUCAUCGUCAUUCUCACGUUUCUGAAGUUCGAAGAAGAGUUCCUCUUAAACUCUUACCCUUUCUUCCAAAGAUGGGAAGUUCAAGCUUGAUGCCAUCCUUUCAUAAUUGUUUUCGAUUGCGAGAAUCCUUUUCACCCUUCUGGAGCAUUUCAGGAGUUGUUUUCGUUUUUCUUGAUCAUCCAAAGGCCAUCAUUUCAGAAGAUUUAUUCAUUCUCAGCUUUCAGCUCUCAUUCUCCAAAUCUUACUGGUGCAUCUUUCAAGUGUUCUCUAAUCAGUUCAUGAUAUCUUUGUUCUCUUGUAUCUAAAUUCCAUCAAGUAUUUUCAUUCGUUUCUAAUUCUUCCCGAUGAAUUCCUCCUUUGCUUCGCUCUUUUCCAAUUCUUACGGUGGUUUGUUCAAAGAUUCUUCUUCCUUCGUUAUCAUAUCAAUUCAUUCAUUGUUUCAAUCCUUCCGGUGGUUCGUUGAAGACCUUCUCAAGUUUGCGCUAUAUCUAUCUUAAUCCUUUCUACGAGAAUAAGUAGUAUGCCAAAUCCGUUGCUUGAUAUCAAUUUAAGUUGAUGAAGGAUACGCAUAACAUAAUUCUUAUUCUUAUUAUUGUUUCUUCCAAGUGGUCUAGUUUCUUCUUUACAGAGUUGUUCAUCAUGUCACAUUUCUCGGUUCGAGAUACUUCAUCUUUUUUUAUUCCGGAGUUCCAAGCUCUCUCAAUUAUAUCAUCGCGAAACUCCAUCUAAAUCAUCGCAAGGCUCCACCUUCUGUUUUCAACUUCUUUUUCCUUCAAUCAUCCUUUUAUUACCGGAGUUCUUCAUGGAGGCUCUACAUGGUGGUUCGUCAGGGUUCAUUUCAUUCUUCAAUUGUUCUUCAAGAUUUUUCUCAAAGUUGUAAUCCGCCAAGCUAUACUCUAUAAUAAACAUGGUGUUCAACACAUGUUUAGUUUUGAGGAGUUCAAGUAUUCUUCGUCUUGCAUUUCAAAGUGGAAUUCGUUCUCUCUUGUCUUUUGAGGUGGUGUUAUGUCACUCUUGACAAUUUCCCUUUGUGUUUCAUGAUUCACAAGUUGUCCGGAAUGACAUAUUUUAAACCCAUCCUUUUCAUUUCGUUCAUGAGAUCCUUUGCAAGCCAUCAAUCUCUUCAUUUGACUUAUCUUGGGUUAUAUUUCACCUAAAGCUUUCCCUAAGGAUUGUGCUAUUUAUGGUGCUUAUAAAUGACCCAAGUUCUUCAUUUAUCCUUCCGGUGAAAUAAGCUUCUCGUCUCCUUGUUGAUAUCAAUCCAAUCUAUUGUUUUCAUUAGUCGCAGAAUUUCAUCUCAGUUUUGAGAUGUUGUCCAUAAGCCCACGACAAGCUUAUCCUUUCGUUGUUGAUAAUUUUGAGUUGUGAAGACCAUGUUCUUUCCUUUGAUUAUCCAUUCAACCGGAGUGUUAUGUCAUCCCUUCAAAUUUUUUUCAUCUUAUCAAGUUGUCUUCUCUUUUUCUACCAGAGUGAUGUCCAAAUUAUAUCAUUCUUAUGCCUUCUCUAUCUUGUUUUAACCGGAGUGUUGUGUCAUCUGCUCAAGUUCUUUUCGUCUUAUCAAGUCUUGCAUCUUGUUUCAAUCAGAGUGCUUGCAUCUACUCCCCGUCCAUAGCAACCAUUUUCUUAUGUCUUUCAACCUACAAGGUUCUAGUAAUGUUCCUUGUUCCUUUUUUCUAACGGAGUGUUUUCAACUUUGUUCAUCUUCGCUGUUUUCUUCUUUAAAUUUGUUCAACCUCGCAAGGUUCUUUGGUUUCACUCGUUUGUCAAAGAAGCAACUUUGGUUUACCUCUUCAUCUUCUAUUUUCCCUCCGGUGCCAUCCUAGAUCUCGGGAAGAGAUCCUCUUGUGGUGGUGGAGUGUUGUAACGCCCCGAGACCGAUGCACCAGGUGUCUUCCAGUUAUUCAUGUGGAGUGCCUUGUCAUAUCUUUGCUUCUUGCACCAUGCUCAUCUCAUUUGGGUAUAUUGCUUUGUCAUGCCCAUCAUCGUCUUAUUGCAUUGCCUCUUGUCAUUUUGCAUGCUAAUCAUAUACCUUGUGGUAAUCUUCAUAUUGUUGCCAUGUGCAUUUCAUUCAUCCUUAUGUGGUGUGUUGUUGUUAUGAUGUGUGUGAGCAUCAUUCCUUGUCAUCUCUCUCUCAAGCCAUACCCAUGCAUCAUCACCUCUCACUUCCUUCUUCUUUCAUGUUUUUGCAAGUGACUUUAUUCCUCCUCCAUUAAUGUUCGUCCUUUCCCUAUAAAUCAUGCCUCUUUCCUACACCCUCUCUGUCAGAUUUCAUCCCAUUCAAAGUUGUUUUGGUCAGGUUCAAAAAUGAUUGAAGUUUGAGAAUAAUCCAAACUCUAAUUAUUUUUCUGAUUUCUAAAAAUGCCAGAGCAAUUUAUUCAAACCCUACAUAAAUCCAGGGUUCCAGAUAUAUAUUUAUAUAUCUCAUUUUCCUAACCAAAACCCAUGGACUUUCCCCUUUGUUGAUUGUUUAUUUAUAUAAACAAAAAAAUAAAAUAAAGGAAAAGGCCCCUUACUUGUUCAGCUACUCACUGGGCCUCCCAACUCCUACGCAGGCCACAAACCUGCAGCUGGGCCGGCCUUUAGGCCCAACUGCCCCACCUACACCUAACACUAGCCUCGACCGACCUAUCCCUCUCGCUCCCCUGCUCGUUCCCACCGCCGCCAGAAGCCAUCUCCCUCGACUCCUCUAGCGCCGCCAGAGACAUGCACGCAGGCGCAGUCCUCUGCUUCGACCCAACCUCAUCCUUUCCCUCGUUCCCUUGUGCCGCCUCCCCCUCAUAUCGAUCUCUCCCUGUCCUCUCGCUCAAGCUAACCACCCCGCGGCCCCGCGAUCUCGCCUGCCCGCACGGCCAUGGCUUAGCCGCCCUCGACCCGGCUCGCCCUCGACGUCCCCUUCGCUGGAGCCCUUCCUCCGCCUCUGCUUUGGCCACCCACAACAGCCAUGCCGCGCCCUCAAGCGCCUCACCUCCCACAGCCGGUCCAGGACCUCCUCGUCGCCUCCUCGUCUACCCGGCGCCACUGACUCGUCAGCUCUGUCGCCAGGGGAGGAGACCCUCGCCAUGUCCCCUUCGGCCCCGACUCCGGCGAGCGCCGCCCUGUCGACUCUCCUCUGCGCGACACCUCCCCUCUGCUGCCUCGUUCCUUUUCCUGCGAUUGCCGUUUUCUUUCCCGCCUUGCCUCACGCGACCCACAUGGGCGCCGCCAUGGAGGCCACCGUGCCGACCUGCAGCUUCGUGCGUGCUGCCUUGCCUUCCUGCUACUUCGUCCGACUUCGGACGACCUCCAUCGAGCUCGCCCGGCCACCUUCGACCUCGGCGUGACCCUGCCUCCACUAGCAGCCUCCUGGAGCCGGCCAUUUCCAUGGGUUCGGGGAGCCCCAAGUCUUGUCCAUGGCCUCGUUGGCUGUUGAUGUUACGCUGUUGGCUUUCUCCAUCGUCUCCCUGGGCUCGUCAAAUCCUGUACCAGGAGCCCAAGCCGGAAGACUCCGUGGAUGUGCAUCUCACUUGUGCCAUUUUGGGUCGUCAAGAACGUUUCGAGAUUCGCCAAGUACCAUUAUGCCCGGAGACCACGGAUCCGUGAAGUUCCACUACCGUCGCCAUGGAUCCGACAAGUUUGUGAGUACGACCACUUACCAUGACGACCUUGUACCACUACCGUCGAUGAAGACAUGUGCACCGCAAGCGUCAAGUUCAACUAUUGUUGACGGUGAAGGGUUUGGAGUCAUCAGGCACCUCUUUGAACGAACAGGAACGACUAUCGUAGCCGAGAUCGCGAGAACCUCUACCGACGACCUCGGAACGUGUACGACGACCGUCGUCGAAGACCCGUACCUCUACCGCUUCCUAAACAUGUACCACGACUUCCAUGACUUUCGUGAACCGCUACUGCCACUACGGUCGUGAACGACUACUUCUGUCGACGAACUCGAUACGCUUCGAAAACGCACGCUUCGAAGGUAUAGCCCCGAGACAACCGUCCGAGAAUGAUUGCUUGUGUUGUAUGAGAUGCACCGGUUGUCUGCACUGUGUCGGUAGUGUCUCUCGCUUCCAUGCUGUCGACACUUGGGACACCCAGUAACCGGGAGGACCCCACCUUCUAUCGCAUGUUACGCUCCCGUCACUUUUCCUUUUGCACCGGUAUCUCCGUGAGCUAUCGGAACCGGAAUGUUGCCGUGGCACCAUUUCCGUCAUUGUCAUGGCACCCCAUUAUUUCCACCACGGUGACAAAUGUUUCAUAAUUCUCUUAUCAACAUUUUCAUAAAAUUGAUUAAACUUGCAUAUGCCAUUCGCAUCAUGAUAAUAACAUUUAAAAUGUUUAAAAUUGUUGUUUGCAUUAAAUUGCUAAUGCAUAUAGGGAUUUACUGGAAUUGUUGUUUGUUGUUUCCGGCCUCAUUUAAACUUGCCUAAAUGUUUAGUUUACUUAGGCUCCACCUCUUACCAUGUUUAAACAACAUUUAAUUUUGUUGAGUAGUUUAAACGGGAGAGAACUAAAUAAUUAAAUGUGGUGUUGUCGGUGUCAAAACCGGCGGAUCUCGGGUAGGGGGUCUCGAAUUGUGCGUCUAAGGCGGAUGGUAACAGGAGGCAGGGGACACGAUGUUUUACCCAGUUCGGGCCCUCUUGAUGGAGGUAAAACCCUACGUCCUGCUUGAUUUAUUCUUGAUAAUAUGUGUAGUACAAGAGUUGAUCUACCACGAGAUCAGAGAGGCUAAACCCUAGAAGCUAGCCUAUGGUAUGAUUAUAUGUUGUCCUACGGACUAAAACCCUCUGGUUUAUAUAGACACCGGAGGGGGCUAGGGUUACACAAGGUCGGUUAUAAAGGAGGAGAUAUCCAUAUCCGUAUUGCCUAGCUUGCCUUCCAUGCCAAGUAGAGUCCCAUCCGGACACGAGACGAAGUCUUCAAUCUUGUAUCUUCAUAGUCCAACAGUCCGGACAAAGGAUAUAGUCCGGCUGCCCGGAGACCCCCUAAUCCAGGACUCCCUCAGUAGCCCCUGAACCAGGCUUCAAUGACGAUGAGUCCGGCGCGCAGUUAUUGUCUUCGGCAUUGCAAGGCGGGUUCCUCCUCCGAAUACACCACAGAAGAAUUUGAAUACAAGGAUAGUGUCCAACCCUGCAAAAUAAGUUCCACAUACCACCGUAGAGAGAAUAAUAUUACCACAAAUCUAAUCUGCUGACGCGUUUUGGCAACAUGACAUCAUUCCAUGGCCCGGUGAUUAUUCGAACCUUUUUUCUUUAACCAGCCCCGCACAUAAUGCGAGGCGGUUUCUUGACACGUCUUGUCAAAGCAGAGAUCGUGUCCCCCUCAUUAUGGGAUUCUCAUCAAUACGGGCGUGGGUAACCCAAUCGCGCCACCAAUUAUGGCGCUUGGGGGAUAAGCGAGUUUUACCAGGCUAGUGGGGACGCAUAGUUUCGUCCGCCCUUAUAAAGGGAUAAGGUUUAACCUUCUUCUACCCACACCUUCUUCCUCCUUGCUCAUCCAUUCGCGUGCACUCGAGCUCCAACGCCCAAGUCCACAUCCUUCUCCUCAACCUUCUUCAAACAUGUCCGGAGCGGGAGGCAAGUGGAUGGCUUCCUCCGUUACGGAGGGACACAUCAAAAAGCUGCGCGGGGCCGGAUACUUAGCCGCGGAUAUCGCGCAUCGGCUGCCCGCUGCGGGGCAGAUCGUCCCUACCCCGGAACCUCACGAGAGGGUAGUUUUCCUCCACCACUUCCUCCGCGGACUGGGGUUUCCCCUCCAUCCAUUCGUCCACGGUCUUAUGUUCUACUACGGGCUGGACUUCCAUGAUCUGGCCCCGAAUUUCAUCCGCAACAUUUCAGCAUUCAUCGUCGUGUGUGAGGCUAUCCUCCGCAUCCGUCCCCACUUCGGCCUGUGGCUGAAAACCUUCAAUAUCAGCCGAAGGUGGUGGGCGGCCAGCAAGCGGAAUGCGGCGGAGCCAUGGUGGGCAAGAUGACUAACGUUAUAUGGCUCGAGGGCUCCUUCGUGGAGACCAUAAAGGGGUGGCAAUCGGCGUGGUUCUACAUCACCGAGCCGCGCGACACCAACUGGGUGGCGGUCCCUGAGUUUCGAUCCGGAAUCCCCAUGCGGCUCACUUCCUGGAAGGAGAAGGGCAUGUCCUGGGGUUCAUCGGUGGAGCUGGACGGACUCUAGAAAUGUAUCCGGAACAUGGCAAGCAAGAAACUUAAGCUUGUCAACAUAGUCCAAGUCAUGCUCUUCCGCCGGAUCCUCCCGUGUCAACAAUGGGAUUUCAACUUAUGGGAGUUUGACACGGCCCGGCACCAGACUCUAAGCGAGCUCUUCGACACGAUGCACAAAGACGUCUGGAGGGUGAUGUUCAAGGGCACCGAGGUCCCUCCCUCUCUCAUCGAGGAACGCGGUCUAAGCGCGAAGCGCCCUACGAAUCCGGUAAGUUCUGUACAUCUGGUAGGAUAUUUACUUCCCAUUGCUUAACCACGUGCAGGGUCUAAGCUCCCAUGCCUUUGACAGGACUGGGUGGAGGCAUCGGAGCAGAUCGACUGUCCGGCCCCUCCGCCCAAAGAUACUGCGAAUGCUCUCCUGACGGAGAUGCUGACUCCGGCUCCAUAUAAGGUGCCGAAGAAGACUAAGAAGAAGGCCAAGGGAACCCGAAAGAGUCCCCGGCGCCAGGUGGUAUCGGACUCAUCGUCCGAUGACUCCGCGACGCACUCCUCCCAUGAAGACGAGGAGGAAGAUGAAGAUGCUCCCCCUUCAGCUGGGGGAGACAAGAAAAGGAAGGCCGCCCCAACCGGGGUGGGGGGGGUGGGCGAAGGGUCCAAGAAGGGAAGGACUCUCCUUCCGGACUGCUCCACCACCGCCGCCGAUGGCGAAGACGAGUGGCUGCUCAGGGUCAAUCCCCUGGCGAAGUCGUAAGUAUUCGGAUACUAGAGUAACUCAUAGCAUACCUCUGUUGCACUGCUUCUCCUAAUGUCGAAUAUUAUUAUGCAGACCGCCCCAAGCCCGUAUCGACGUAUCCUCGUCGGACUGCUCCUUGGACUCGUCGGAUAUGGAUAGUGAUCCACUCCCGACCGCCACCUCCCCUUGCCCUACGGACAAUGCCGAGGUAUUGUCUCAAGAGGCACCAGGUCGAGGGGAGACAGUCCCGGAGGCACCCCAAGGCGACCUUCCGGACUCCGGGAGCAAAGGGAGUAAGGCUCCCGAGGGCUCCGAGUUCGGCCUUCAGCCGAACACUGCGCCAGAACCUCCAGUGGUUCCGGACUCGGGCAGGUGGCCUCCUUCCAACAGGGGCAAGACGCCCGUGCCGGUGACCUCUGUCCAUCCAGAGGCACCGGACAACCUUCUGGGAGCGCUUUGCGGUGCUUCCAUCGAUGAAGAGCCCCGCACUAUUAUGAGUGCGGUGAUCAAGAAGGUUCAGUCUGCUAAGAGCGGACUGACUGAAGCCUAUGCCAGCCUUCUAACAGGCUUUGAGGUAAGUAUUUAAAAUAUAGGAAAAAUAUUACCGCAUAGACAGUAGCCCCAGAUGCUCUGUUUGGUGUUCACAAAGAAAAGCCGAAUAGAGGAUCAAAUAACAUCUGCAGGAGUCUAAUAUAAGUAUGUCUAUAUGCGUAUGCAGGCUUCGCUGCUGACCUCUGCCGCACUGACUGCGGAGGUCGCCGCACUGAAGCAGGACCUCGAGGGGUCCGAGAAAGAGCUCGGCCUUGCUAAGAGGCAGCUCGAGGAGAACAAAGGUAAGUAAUACCUAGUCUAUAUAUAUAUAUAUAUAUAUAUAUAGAGAGAGAGAGAGAGAGUGACACUAUUCUAAUCCCAGCAUCAAAAUAACUAUUUGGAUCACGGCUGGCCCUAUAUAGGCCCGACGGGGUGUUUCCGAACUCCCGAAAAAUAAAAGAACCGGCCCACACAGUUGUCCUCCACCUCCCGUUCCCCACAUCUCCCACGGACGCAGAUCCACCCCGCGCGCCCCCACACCCGGACCGCUGGCGAACCACCGCCCCCGGCACAUCGCGCCUCCCGGCCGCCUCCUCCCGCAACCGCCGCAGCGGUUGCCUCCAUUCUCAACCGCCGCUCGGGCACCUUGUUCGGGAUCCCGCCGCCACCCUGUGCACCGAUGAGCUACAGGACCCCGCUGCCACACCGCGCGUCGUCGGCCUCCCGAAACUCGCCGCCACCUCGUGCGUCGCCGGCCUCCUGAAACCCGCCGCCACCCAGUGCGUCGCCCUAUGUCGCCACCACAUCCCCGUGAUGCGCCAUGCAUAGCUUCGUGCACUGCUUCCCUUUCCUCCCCCACAACUUGGCUGCAGCUUCCCCACCCUCGGCGUGCGGAGUCGUCCUCUCGCCUCUAUCAACCAAAUUCCACUAUCACCAUGGUGUGAUACCCUGUGUUGCCAUUAUCGCGUGGUCGCUUCAUCAAACUGACGUCCACCAUGCCGACCUGUUUUGACACGUCGACUGACGUGGGGGCUUCAUUGUCACGAUGCCGAACUACUCUGUUUCCUCAGCUGGACCGGGGGCUUCCCCUCGGCACUUUGGCACCGUCAUGCUAUCACUUUGUCAAGCCGAGCUCUUCGCUCGGGUACGUCAAGACUAGUUUGGGGGUUGGGACCUUGAGCCGCUACAAGCUCGGCCCACGUCACACCAAGCACAUUAACCAGCUAAGUCGCUUUCAUGCUCAAAAAAAUUUAAGUUUUAAAUAUUUUUUUCGGUUCGACCAAGCAUUAUACUUUUUGGACAAAAAGUCGUUUGCGAAAAACUUUCUUUGUCAAAACCUUGUUUGUUACAAACAAAUUCAAUUAAAAUACCCCGUUUAUUUGGGGGAUUCUUUUAUGAAGCCUCUCCUCUUGCAUAUGAUUAUACUUGUAUGGCUUCGUUCCUUAUUCGUGUAUUACGCCACAAUAUGCACCAUGUUGACUUAUGUGUUCCGCAAGCUGGGUUGCCUUGCUCCUGUGUUUACCCCUACGUUCCCAAUUGUUCGGCUGGGGAGUAAAGGGAGCACCUCUGCGAUUGUCACGAUCGGGUCAUCCGAGCUCGGACCUCAGACUGGGUGAAGCCGAAAGCUAGUGCUCUUAUUGUUUUCAACCAUGGUCGGCACACAACGGAACUCAUGAAUACAAAAAAUCUAUUGCACAAGUCUCAUAGUAACAAUGAGCAACCGAAGAAAGGUACCGAUGGAGGUACUAUUUUCUUCGAAGAUGCUUCUUACACUUCAUCAGUAAUAUAGCAUAAGUUCCCUGAGCGCGCUUUGUCUGUUAUAGCCUUAUGGCCUGAUUGCCUGGUUAUCGGAAACACCGUCGAUAUUCUCGACAGGUGGAGUACAUAACACUUUUCGGCCCUUGUCCAAAGAGGGAGAAGCCGACGGUCGGUUAAGACGCAUUUAAAGUUUGGAUGAACACAUAUAUGAUAUAAGUACUUCGGUACAUACAAUCAUUAUACAUAAAAUUCUUUUACCCAAAUCACUUGGGGGCUCUUAAAUUAGUAUGAGUAGUUUUGUAAUAGAUGUUUUCUUUUUAGUCGUUGCAAAAUCUUUUUCUACCACUCCUUUAUCGACUCAAGUGUAUGAUCAAUAGCCGGGUAGCCUGGUUUCUCUCUAAAGCCGCUCGUGUUUAGUUCGCUAAACUGGCCUGAGAAACACUCCGCCUUCGGGAUAGGGAGGUUGAAGCCGAGGGCUGACCCACUUGAAGUCUAGAGAUCAAAUGUGUCAUGUCAAAGCAUGACGGAAGUACAAUUUUAAGACCAAUUUCUUAUUGGCACCAAAACAGCUUGAUUCAAUCUAGACGCAAAGUUUUUUACGCAUGUUUUUAGCCUUUGGGCUUAUAACAUCUUUUCACCUAUUUUAUGUUUUCCUUUCAGGAAGCAGGACAUUCUCUUGGUUGAGGUUUUCGGCAUGAAACUCUUUUCUAAAACUACAGUUCGACAUCUUUUCUGCCGAACCCCACCUCGGUAUUGUCAAAACAUACAUGACAGUUGAACUAGUUCCCGAGGAGCUACGAUCCUAGGGUCGGCCAUGUUGCCCAACCCAAUUCUCGGGGGGGGGGGGCUACUGCAUUGGCAAUCCAAUGCAGAAAAUUUAAGUGCAAUAUAGUUUUCGAGGAGAUUAUGAUCCUCAGGUUGGUCGGCCGCACCCAACCCGAGUCUCGAGGACUUUGCACACUACUUUUUGUGUCCCGAAGUAUUCUGCCGAGCUAAGAGUUGAUCCUCAGGCCGAUUUUGCGAAUCAACCUGAGUCUCAGGGGCUACUGGGAUCAGCGGUCUUAUGUCAUCCUUCAGGUGCAUCUCGGGUUUUAGACCGAUACACACCUUGAGGGCUACUGGCUAUAUAUCUCGGGAGAGUAUAAAUUGCACCAAUCAAAAAUAUUAACAAAAAAUCGGCCCGCAGUCGGGGUGGUGCACCACCUCGGAAGCAGUCCGGCAUAAAGCUCGGGCGCCAGUGGCUGGCUCCAUAAAGGGCAUUUCCGGCAUUAAGCUCGGCUAAACUCCUUCAACUUUUUUUGAACCAAGGUGAUCUAUGGCACAUCGGACACAGUCCAGCGUUGGAGCUUGGACACAGUCCGACAUUGGAGCUUGGACACAGUCCGACGUUGGAGCUCAGAUAAAGCCCGGCGUUGGAGCUUGGACAUAGUCCAGCGUUGGAGCUUGGGUGCAUUCCGACGUUGGUGCUCGGGUGCAAAAGAUACCUCGAAUGUAGUUCGGCGUUGGAGCUCAGAGGCUGCCGCCCGGGAACAACUUCAAACCCAAGGUGUGGCAUAAAAAUAAAAAGGCAUUGAUAAAGGCCGCAAACUUAAAGGGGCUCCUUGGAUACCCGACGUGUAAACUCUUCGGAUGCACUUCGGCGAUGCUCAAGAUCGAAGAUGAUAAGAUUUGUUGAACUAGUUUUCAAGACCAAUGACCGAAGAUGAAGAACAGUUUGGAAGAAUCGAGGUGCGUCCCCAACUUGAAGACCAGUUCAGGGGGCUACUGACGGUGUCCUGGACUAGGGGGGGUACUCACCACGUCGUCUCCCGACCAGUGGGUCGGGCCGAGGACCCCCAUGGCGGUUCACUAUUGGGCCAGUUCGGACAGCCCAUGUCGUAUACAAGGGAGAUCCCACAAAGACUUGGCGCUCAAGACGAGGACUCUCCUAAACCCUAGGCAUCUGGUGUGUUAUAUAAACCGAGGCUAGGCUAGUCAAUAGACAUCUCAUAUUCAUUACUACAAUCUCGUGGUAGAUACUUGUAUUAUGUACUAUCCCCAUAUGAAUACAAUCAAAAGAAGGAUGUAGGGUUUUACCUCCAUCAAGAGGGCCCGAACCUGGGUAAAACCCCAUGUCCGUGUUACCAUUGCUCCAAGACGCCUAGCUUAGGACCCCUACUACGAGAUAUGCCGGAUAUAGAAUCGACAUAGCCCAUGCUCACUUUUUGCUCAUCAUGACUGGAAAAUACAAAUACACAUGUCCAGAACAGUAUGACCGAAUCAUCUCCGUUGAGCUCCCUAACAAGCACAAGUACCCAGAGUUAUACAAAAUGGUAAUCAAACAUAUGAUGCAUGAUCCUUGCGGUGCAUUGAAUAAAUUUUUUCCAUGCACAAAGAAUCGUCCGUCAUGCAAGAACAAUUAUCCAAGGCCAUUUAAUGAAACUACAAUCCAAGGAAAGGACUCCUGCCCACUGUAUAGGAGACGCAAUGAUGGUCGAACUGAAACGGUACGAAAAUGCCAACUGGAUAAUAGGUGGGUGGUUCCUUACAACCCAUAUCUUUUGCGGAUGUUCAACUACCACAUAAAUGUUGAGAUAUGCUCGAGCAUUAAAGCCGUUAAGUACUUGUUCAAAUACAUCUAUAAGGGACAUGACCGAGCAUCUGUAUCUGUAACUGACAAAGUGGACGAAGUUGAAAUUGACGAGAUUAAACAGUAUAGAGAUGCGCGGUGGGUGACACCUCCGGAAGCACUAUGGAGAAUAUAUGGCUACGAAUUAAGCAAAAUACACCCACCAGUCUUGCAACUGCAGCUACAUCUUCCAAAUUUGCACAUGGUUUCAUACCAUGGCAUGGAAAAAAUAAAGAAUAUUAUCGACCGUGAUGGCACAUAAAGAUCAAUGUUGACCGCGUACUUUGAAGCAAACAACUUACAUGAGAAAGCACAAGGCAUACUAUACAGAGACUUUCUGGAAUAUUAUACUUGGAAAAUACAAGGGAAGUUUUGGCAGGAGAGGAAACGAGGCACUGUCUUCCAGGUUGGCAGGAUGGUCUCGGCACACCCGGCUGAAGGAGAACAAUAUUAUCUUCGAGUACUCCUAAACCACAUUCCAGGCGCCACCAGCUAUGAAGACCUACGAAUAGUCAACAGACAAGUAAUGCCAACCUUCCGUGAAGCUGCAGAAAAACGGGGGCUCAUCGAGGCAGACAACACACUAGAUGACUGCAUGACAGAAGCAGAGUUGUUUCGAAUGCCAUCAUCACUACAAAGGAUAUUCGCGACAAUCUUGGUUUUCUGCGAACCCAGUGACGUACGUGGCCUAUGGAACAAACACCUUGAUGCAAUGUCAGAAGACUACAGCAGAAACUGCAAAUGCAAGCACACAAUCGAACAGAUGGUGCUGAGAAAUAUCAGGGAUAUGUUGCACUCAAUGGGAAAAGACAUAGAAUCAUUUCCUCUUCCAGAGAUCGACAAACGACAUGAGACGACCAACGACAUACCUAGGGAGAUCGUUGAGGAGACCUCCAUCGAGGUUGACCCUGAGGACGUAUCGUUGCAUAAAAACCUAAACAUCGAGCAGAGGAAGGCCUACGAUGAAAUCCUAGCCACAGUUGACCGCCAAAGAGGAGGUAUAUUCUUUGUCGAUGGGACGGGAGGCACAGGAAAAACUUUUCUUUAUAGGGUGCUCUUGGCCACAAUACGCGGACAAGGCAAGAUUGUCGUGGCAACGACCACUUCCGGUGUUGCUGCUUCCAUAAUGCCUGGAGGGAGGACCGCACACUCGAGGUUCAAGAUUCCACUAAAAAUAGAUGAUGGAGCUAUUUGUAGCUUCACAAAACAGAGUGGGACAGCAAAGCUACUCCAAGCAGCAUCACUAAUAAUCUGGGAUGAAGCAUCUAUGACAAAGAGACAGGCAGUGGAGGCGCUAGACAAAAGCAUGCGGGACAUAAUGGAUAGACUAGAUCUUCCAUUUGGUGGAAAAACGAUCGUAUUUGGGGGAGAUUUUAGACAAGUGCUACCUAUUGUCUGAAAGGGAACAAGAGCCCAUAUAGUAGAUGCAUCACUACGCAGGUCGGAGCUCUGGAAUUACAUGCGUCAAUUGAAGCUUGUGCACAACAUGAGGGCUCAAACGACCCAUGGUUCGUAGAAUACCCACUACGCAUUGGAAACGGAACCGAGAAGACAAAUGAUGAUGGUGAAAUACUUCUACCUACAAGUAUAUGUGUGCCAAAUAAGACGGAUGAUACCGGCCUGGAUAGACUUAUUGAUAGUAUCUACCAAACGGGAAAUGCUUACCUAAAAGAUCGAAAGUACAUCACGUCAAGAGCAAUUUUAUCCGCAAGGAAUGACUGCGUAGACAAGAUCAACCUAAAUAUGAUUGAUCGCUUCCAGGGGAGGAGAUGGUGUACCACAGCUUCGAUUCUGUAGAAGACGACCCACAUAACUACUAUCCACCAUAAUUCCUAAACACCCUAACCCCAAAUGGACUGCCUCCACAUAUGCUGAAGCUAAAAAAAUUUGUCCAAUCAUACUACUCAGGAACAUCGACCCUGCUAAUGGGCUCUGCAACGGCACCAGACUGGUCGUACAUGGAUUUCAGAAAAAUGCAAUUGAUGCAGAGAUUGUGGUAGGCAGCACUCUGGAAUGCGAGUUUUCUUGCCUCGGAUACCAUUAUGCCCAUCUGACGAUGACAUGUUCCCGUUCAGUUUCAAGAGAAAACAGUUUCCAGUCAGACUCAGUUUUGCAAUGACAAUAAACAAAUCACAAGGCCAGACAAUACCAACUGUCGUCGUCUAUGUGCCUAAGCUUGUUUUCUCACAUGGUCAAUUAUAUGUCACGCUUUCUAGAGCAACCGCGACAUCAGACAUAAAGGUACUAACAGGUACACAUGAUGUGAACAAGGGGACAAAUAAAAAAAAUAAAGGGGACACAUACCCAAAGGAGAAGAAGAAAAGGAAGAAUAGGAUCAGUACAAGCAGUACAUACACAAAGAAUAUUGUCUACACAGAAGUCUUGACCAAAUAAGUAAUGCAAUUUUUCAAUUUUGUGUUUAUAAAUUCAGUUUCAACUUAGUACAUUCAUUCACGACCAACUUAAUAAUUAGUAUUACACAUUGAAUCUCUAAUUUUCUAACCUUAAAAUUACUUCUUGCAUUCUUCAGGACAAUCAAGCUAUCAACUUCGGAGUUAGAAUUCAGAACUACUUGAUUGUCUUGAAGGAGGAUGUCUUCAUGUUCUGAACCACUAACUUAUUCAUUGAUAUUUAUUUAUAUAAUAUGUCCAAUAAAUUAUUAAUUUUUAUUCAAAUAUUUGAUCACUUUGAUGAUCUCUAUUAUGGUUAUGCAAUCUAUAUAUGUAAAUUUACCAACGAUGGGUAGCUAAGGUGAAAUUGAGACUUACCAGUCAAUACAGAGACAUAUUUCUCGCCUUGGAGCUGAUGUUGUUGCACUGAUUUUUCUAAACAUCGCUUUAUCUAAGUCCAAGAAACCUGAAAAAUAUCUGACACAUUGUAAGAAAAUACAUAUCAAUUUCACAUUGUAAGAAAAUAUCUGACAAUUUCAUAAUGGAUUGAAACCCUGCAUAGUGUAGCGUUGCAUAUUUUUGAGGAAAUUGUGAUGCUCUGUUUCAUCAGGAUUAAGAUGCUUGAACAUGUAAGUAGUGUACUAGCGGCCAAUAGAUAUAUUUCUCAUGCUGACUACGUGCUAUCAAUUGUGCCAUACACAUUAUUUAGUAACUAAACAAAAAGUGUCAAAAGCUAGCCACCAAAGCAAAUCUGAAUCUGCUACUAUGCUACUACUGCCACAACUAACCAAGGUUGGAGCAUAGGGAAUAAGCUGCUCCUCCACCAACCGCAUAUAGGGGGUGACGGGGUGGGACUGAAGGAGAUUGGGAGAUCCGGAGAGGAAGUAAAGAGAGAAGAAGGGAAAUGGCACGCAUUACCUUUACAAUAUUGGAGGCAACGUCACGGAAGCAGGCAGAGGCGGAGGGCAGCCAGGCGGGGCGGAGAAUGAAGAGGCAAGCGGCGGCUGUCGGGACGCUCGCCGGGAUGGCAACAAGGUGGCGGUGCACUUGCGAGGUCGGCCAGGAGGACGAUCAGUGCAAACAUCUAGAAGGAGGAAGCCGGUGCUAUUCUCCAUCGAGAAACGAAGGCUGCAGUACCACACCCCAGCGACGGCGAGCCCCAUCGGUGGACGGCGGCGGCGGGAUAGCCCUAGACGAGUCUGCUGCGUGUGUUAUUUUAGGGGUAUGCUGCAUGUGGUGCUGUGGAAGUGGGGAGGUGCAAGAGGAAGUGCUCAUGGGCUGGAAUGGCCAGAUGGAUUCAGUUUGGCCUUUUCAUUUUCUCCACUCACUAUUGAAACAUCCCGGGCAGACCAAAGUGGGCCUACCAAAUGUACAUAUGGCAUCGAGCCAUUGUUUUCUUCGUUUUCCAAAAAGAAGUAAUUCCCCGGACACGGAUAUUUGACUCUGGGAGCAUAUUCUCUGUAAUGAACAGGAAAAUCAAAAUAAAAUUUAAAAAUCCUAAAUUUUUACUACAUGUUCAUAUUAGCAUGCUUGACAAUUUUCAUGCCAUAUGGGAUAAUAGUGCUUCGUCGGUGAAAAAAAUAAAAUUAAGUGUAACAUUUGGCGUUUGACUUUUUUCCCACAAGUCAACAUGCUUAAGUUUUCCCCUGUAAGUUUUGCAUGUACCAUUUGGGUGUGACAAUGAACCUAUCUAUUUUUUCAUAUUUUUUUAUAUUUGUAAAUUUUAUUUUUUGGCAUGCUAGAUCAUGUGCUAACUAGAGCCAGAAUGAAUUUUCGGAAUUCCCCACCUACUUAUCCUCAUGGGAUGAAAGUGCAGAGCCAAAAACAUACUAACAAACGAUGUUAGAGAGACUUUUACUGAAAAGUGAUAGUUGAGGACCCAUGUUCACUGAAGUUGGUCAAAAUUGAAUAUAAUAAGUGUUGAAAAGGACUGAGUACUAUUAAAUUUAUCGCCCGUUGCAACGCACGGGCAUUUGUACUAGUUGGUUUCUACAUAUUCUACGAAGAUCUUUAUCGGUUAAACCGCAUAACAACAUACGUUGUUCCCUUUGUCAUCGGUAUGUUACUUGCCCGAUAUUCGAUUGUCGGUAUCAUAAUACCUAGUUCAGUCUCGUCACCGACAAGUCUUUUUACUCGUUCCGUAAUGCAUCAUCCCGUGACUAAUUCACUAGUCACAUUGCUUGCAAGGCUCAUGGUGAUGUGCAUUACCGAGAGGGCCCAGAGAUACCUCUUCGAUACACGAAGUGAAAAAUCCUAAUCUCGAUUUAUGCCAACUCAACAAACACCAUUGGAGACACUUGUAGAGCAUCUUUAUAAUCACCCAGUUAGGUUGUGAUGUUUGAUAGGACACUAAGUCUUCCUCCAGUAUUCGGGAGUUGCAUAAUCUCAUAGUCAUAGGAACAUGUAUAAGUUAUAGAGAAAGCAAUAGCAAUAAACUAAAUGAUCAAAGUGCUAAGCUAAUGGAUGGGUCAUGUCAAUCACAUCAUUCUCUAAUGAUGUGAUCCCGUUCAUCAAAUGACAACUGAUGUCUAUGGCUAGGAAACUUAACCAUCUUUGGUUAACGGGCUAGUCAAGUAGAGGCAUACUAGUGACACUCUGUUUGUCUAUGUAUUUACACAUGUACUAAGUUUCCGGUUAAUUCUAGCAUGAAUAAUAAACAUUUAUCAUGACAUAAGGAAAUAUAAAUAACAACUUUAUUAUUGCCUUUAGGGCAUAUUUCCUUUAGUCUCCCACUUGCACUAGAGUCAAUAAUCUAGAUUACAUUGUAAUGAUUCUAACACCCAUGGAGUCUUGGUGCUGAUCAUGUUUUGCUCAUGAGAGAGGCUUAGUCAGUGGGUCUGCAACAUUCAGAUCCGUAUGUAUCUUGCAAAUUUCUAUGUCUCCCUCCUUGACUUGAUCGCGGCUGGAAUUGAAGCGUCUCUUGAUGUGCUUGGUUCUCUUGUGAAAUCUGGAUUCCUUUGCCAAGGCAAUUGCACCAGUAUUGUCACAAAAGAUUUUCAUUAGACCCGAUGCACUAGGUAUAACACCUACAUCGGAUAUGAACUCCUUCAUUUGCUGCUUCCGAAGCAGCUAUGUACUCCGCUCCACACGUAGACCCCGCCACGACGCUCUGCUUGGAACUGCACCAACUGACAGCUCAACCAUUCAAUACAAAUAUGUAUCCGGUUUGUGACAUCUUUGUCACAUCCAUAAACAAGAAACAUAUCCUUAGUCCUUUUCAGGUAUUUCAGGAUAUUCUUGACCGUUGUCCAGUGAUCCACUAAUGGAUUACUUUAGUACCUCCCUGCUAAAGUAAUAGCAAGGCACACAUCAGUUCUGGUACACAGCAUUGCAUACAUGAUAGAACCUAUGGCCGAAGCAUAGGGAAUGACUUUAAUUUUCUCUCUAUCUUUUGCAAUGGUCGGGCAUUGAGUCUGACUCAACUUCACACCUUGUAACACAGGUAAGGACCCUUUCUUUGCUUGAUCCAUUUUGAACUUCUUCAAAACUUUAUCAAGGUAUGUGCUUUGUGAAAGUCCAAUUAAGCGUCUUGAUCUAUCUCUAUAGAUCUUGAUGCCCAAUAUAUAAGAAGCUUCACCGAGGUCUUUCAUUGAAAAAUUCUUAUUCAAGUAUCCUUUUAUGCUACUCAGAAAUUCAGUAUCAUUUCCAAUCAACAAUAUGUCAUUCACAUAUAAUAUCAGAAAUGCUACAGAGCUCCCACUCACUUUUUUGUAAAUACAGGCUUCUCCAAAAGUCUGUAUAAAACCGUUUGCUUUGAUCACACUAUCAAAGUGUAGAUUCCAACUCCGAGAUGCUUGCACCAGUCCAUAAAUGGAUCGUUGGAGCUUACACACUUUGUUAGCACCUUUUGGAUCGACAAAACCUUCUGGUUGCAUCAUAUACACCUCUUCUUUAAGAUAUCCAUUAAGGAAUGCAGUUUUGACAUCCAUUUGCCAAAUUUCAUAAUUAUAAAAUGCGGCAAUUGCUAACAUGGUUCUGACGGACUUAAGCAUCGCUACGGGUGAGAAGGUCUCAUCCUAGUCAACUCCUUGAACUUUUCGAAAAUCUUUUGCAACAAGUCGAGCUUUGUAGACAGAAAUAUUACCGUCAGCGUGAGUCUUCUUCUUAAAGAUCUAUUUAUUCUCUAUGGCUUGCCGAUCAUCAGGAAAGUCAACCGAAGUCCAUACUUUGUUCUCAUACAUGGAUCCCAUCUCAGAUUUCAUGGCCUCAAGUCAUUUCACGGAAUCUGGGCUCAUCAUCGCUUCCACAUAGUUUGAAGGUUUGUCAUGGUCAAGUAACAUGACCUCCAGAAUAGGAUUACCGUACCUCUCUGGUGCGGAUCUUACUCUGGUUGACCUACGAGGUUCGGUAGUAACUUGAUCAGAAGUUUCAUGAUCAUCAUCAUUAGCUUCCUCACUAAUUGGUGUAGGAAUCACUGGAACUGAUUUCUGUGACGAACUACUUUCCAAUAAGGGAGCAGGUACAAUUACCUCAUCAAGUUCUACCUUCCUCCCACUCACUUAUUUCGAAAAAACUCCUUCUCUAGAAAGGAUCCAUUCUUAGCAACGAUUUUUUUGCCUUCGAAUCUAUGAUAGAAGGUGUACCCAACAGUCUCCUUUGGGUAUCCUAUGAAGACACAUUUCUCCGAUUUGGGUUCGAGCUUAUCAGGUUGAAACUUUUUCACAUAAGCAUUGCAGCCCCAAACUUUAAGAAACGACAACUUGGGUUUCUUGCCAAACCAUAGUUCAUAUGGUGUCGUCUCAAUGGAUUUAGAUGGUGCUCUAUUUAACGUGAAUUCAGUCGUCUCUAAAGCAUAACCCCAAAACAAUAGCGGUAAAUCAGUAGGAGACAUCAUAGAUCGCACCAUAUCUAAUAAAGUGCGGUUACGAUGUUUGGACACACCAUUACGUUGUGGUGUUCCAGGUGGCGUGAGUUGCGAAACUAUUCCGCAUUGUUUCAAAUGAAGACCAAACUCAUAACUCAAAUAUUCACCUCCACGAUCACAUCGUAGAAACUUAAUUUUCUUGUUACAAUGAUUUUCCACUUCACUCUGAAAUUCUUUGAACUUUUCAAAUGUUUCAAACUUAUGUUUCAUCAAGUAGACAUACCCAUAUCUGCUCAAAUCAUCUGUGAAGGUCAGAAAAUAACGAUACCCUCCGCGAGCAUCAACACUCAUCGAACUGCAUACAUCAGUAUGUAUUAUUUCCAACAAGUCUAUUGCUCUCUCCAUUGUACCGGAGAAUGGAGUCCUAGUCAUCUUGCCCAUGAGGCAUGGUUCGCAAGCAUCAAGUGAUUCCAAAAGCCCAUCAGCAUGGAGUUUCUUCAUGCGCUUUACACCAAUAUGACCUAAACGACAGUGCCAUAUAUAAGUUGCACUAUCAUUAUUAAACUUAUAUCUUUUGGCUUCAAUACUAUGAAUAUGUGUAUCACUACUAUCAUGAUUUAGUAAAAAUAGACCACUCAUUAAGGGUGCAUGACCAUAAAAGAUAUUACUCAUAUAAAUAGAACAACCAUUAUUCUCUGAUUUAAAUGAACAUCCGUUUCGCAUUAAACAAGAUCCAGAUAUAAUGUUCAUGCUUAAUGAUGGCACCAAAUAACAAUUAUUUAGGUCUAAAACUAAUCCCGAAGAUAGAUGUAGAGGUAGCGUGCUGACGACGAUCACAUCGACUUUGGAAGCAUUUCCCACGCACAUCGUCACCUCGUCCUUAGCCAAUCUUCGCUUAAUCUAUAGCCCCUGUUUUGAGUUGCAAAUAUUAGCAACAGAACCAGUAUCAAAUACCUAGGUGCUACUGCGAGCAUUAGUAAGGUACACAUUAAUAACAUGUAUAUCGAAUAUACCUUUCACUUUGCCAUCCUUCUUAUCCGCCAAAUACUUGGGGCAGUUCCACUUCCAGUGACCAGUCCCUUUGCAGUAAAAGCACUCAGUCUCUGGCUUAGGUCCAGACUUGGGCUUCUUCACUUGAGCAGCAACUUGUUUGCCAUUCUUAUUGAAGUUCCCCUUCUUCCCUUUUCCCUUCUUCUUGAAACUGGUGGUAUUGUUGACCAUCAACACUUGAUGCUCCUUCUUGAUUUCUACCUCCACAGCCUUUAGCAUCGCGAAGAGCUCGGGAAUUGUCUUAUCCAUCCCUUGCAUAUUAUAGUUCAUCACAAAGCUUUUGUAGGUUGGUGGCAGUGAUUGAAGAACUCUGUCAAUGACACUAUCAACCAGAAGAUUAACUCCCAGCUGAGUCAAGUGAUUGUGAUACCCAGACAUUCCGAGUAUGUGUUCACUGACAGAACUAUUCUCCUCCAUUUUGCAGCUGUAGAACUUAUUGGAGACUUCAUAUCUCUCAAUCUGGGCAUUUGCUUGAAAUAUUUACUUCAACUCCUGGAACAUCUCAUAUGCUCCAUCAUGUUUAAGACGUCGUUGAAGUCCCGGUUCUAAGCCGUAAAGCAUGGCACACUGAACUAUCGAGUAGUCACCAGCUUUGCUCUGCCAGGUGUUCAUAACAUUUGGAGUUGCUCCUGCAGCGGGUUUGGCACCUAGCGGUACAUCCAUGACGUAAUUCUUCUGUGCAGAAAUGAGGAUAAUCCUCAAGUUAUGGUCCCAAUUCGUGUAGUUGCGACCAUCAUCUUUCAACUUAGCUUUCUCUAGAAACACAAUAAAAUUCAACGAAACAACAACACAUGCCAUUUACCUACAAUAACAUAGACAUGCAAAAUACUAUCAGGUACUAAGUUCAUGAUAAAUUAAAGUUCAAUUAAUCAUAUUACUUAAGAACUCCCACUUAGAUAGACAUCCCUCUAAUCAUCUAAGUGAUCACGUGAUCCAUAUCAACUAAACCAUGUCCGAUCAUCACAUGAGAUGGAGUAGUUUUCAAUGGUGGACAUCACUAUGUUGAUCAUAUCUACUGUCACAGGUGCGCGUCGGUGCUAAAGAAACGGGUUUUUACCCCUUUCUGCAACGACAUUUAGAACCGCCGCCAAGUGAGUGUAUGUGAUAGGGUGUCCUUCCCACACGACCCAGAAAUUGCCGGGGAUGGUGAUACGUCUCCAACGUAUCUAUAAUUUUUGAUUGCUCCAUGCUAUAUUAUCUACUGUUUUGGACUAUAUUGGGCUUUAUUUUCCACUUUUAUAUUAUUUUUGGGACUAACCUAUUAACCGGAGGCCCAGCCCAGAAUUGCCGUUUUUUCCUAUUUCAGUGUUGAGGAGAAACAAAAUAUCAAACGGAGUCCAAAUGGAAUGAAACCUUCGGAAACGUGAUUUUCUCAUCAGAUAAGAUCCAGGAGACUUGGACCCUCCAUCAAGAAAGCCACGAGGCGGUCACGAGGGUGGAGGGCGCGCCCCCUGCCUCGUGGGCCCCUCGAAGCUCCACCGACGUACUCCUUCCUCCUAUAUAUACCUACGUACCCCAAACGAUCGGGGACGGAGCCAAAAACCUAAUUCCACCGCCGCAACUUUCUGUAUCCACGAGAUCCCAUCUUGGGGGCUGUUCCGGAGCUCCGCCGGAGGGGGCAUCGAUCGCGGAGGACUUCUACAUCAUCAUCCAAGCCCCUCCGAUGAAGUGUGAGUAGUUUACUUCAGACCUGCGGGUCCAUAGUUAGUAGCUAGAUGGCUUCUUCUCUCUUUUUGGAUCUCAAUACAAUUUUCUCCCCCUCUCUUGUGGAAAUCUAUUCGAUGUAAUCUUCUUUUUGCGGUUUGUUUGUUGAGACCGAUGAAUUGUGGGUUUAUGAUCCAGUCUAUCUAUGAAUAAUAUUUGAAUCUUCUCUAAAUUCUUUUAUGUAUGAUUGGUUAUCUUUGCAAGUCUCUUUGAAUUAUCAGUUUGGUUUGGGCUACUAGAUUGGUUUUUCUUGCCAUGGGAGAAGUGCUUAGCUUUGGGUUCGAUCUUGCGGUGUCCUUUCCUAGUCACAAAAGGGGCAGCAAGGCACGUAUUGUAUCGUUUCCAUCGAGGAUAACAAGAUGGUUUUUUUUAUCAUAUUGCAUGAAACUAUCCCUCUACAUCAUGUCAUCUUGCUUAAGGCGUUACUUUGUUUUUAACUUAAUACUCUAGAUGCAUGCUGGAUAGCGGUCGAUGAGUGGAGUAAUAGUAGUAUAUGCAGACAUGUGUCGCUCUACUUGUCUCGGACGUGAUGCCUAUAUACAUGAUCAUACCUAGAUAUUCUCAUAACUAUGCUCAAUUCUGUCAAUUGCUCAACAGUAAUUUGUUCACCCACCGUAGAAUACUUAUGCUCUUGAGAGAAGCCACUAGUGAAACCUAUGGCCCCUGGGUCUCUUUCUCAUCAUAUCAAUCUCCAUCACUUUAUUAUUGCUUUGCUUUUACUUUGCUUUCACUUUUUACAUUGCAUCUCUAUACCAAAAAUACCAAAAAUAUUAUUUAUCAUCUCUAUCAGAUCACACUUUCGUAAGUGACCAUGAAGGGAUUGACAACCCCUAAGCGCGUUGAUUGCGUUGAGCUGUUGUUUUUGUGUAGGUAUGAGGGACUCGCGCGUAGCCUCCUACUGGAUUGAUACAUUGGUUCUCAAAAACUGAGGGAAAUACUUACGCUACUUUGCUGCAUCAUCCUCUCCUCUUCGGGGAAAUCCAACGUAGUGCUCAAGAGGUAGCAAGAAGAAUUUCUAGCGCCGUUGCCGGGGAUUCUGCGCAAAAGUCAACAUACCAAGUACCCAUCACAAUCCCUAUCUCCCGCAUUACAUUAUUUGCCAUUUGCCUCUCGUUUUCCUCUCGCCCACUUCACCCUUGCCAUUUUAUUCACCCUCUCUCUCUAUCCUCCCUCUCUAUUUGCCUCUUUUUGCCCGUUUGCUUUUUGUUUGCUUGUGUAUUAGUUUGCUAGCUUGUCGUUAUGUCAAUUCCUUUAUCUUCUGCCUCUAUGUCUGAAAUUGGGGAAAUUAUUGUCGAUAUGGACAGUAAUAAUAUCAUGAAAAAUUCUGAUGCUCCUGCUAAAGAACCUACCAUCUUUCAUACAAAAAAAUCCGUGUCGGUAGUGAUAAUAUUAUUGGAAAAGGAGUUAUUCAAGAUUUCUUUACUUGUGCCGGUGCUUUACCUUCUAUGGGUAGUUCUAUCCUUCACAGAACUAGUAUUCUUGCGGACGCUAUUGCCAUGCUUGUAGUUGAACUUGAAAGACAAUUCAUGCACAUGCAUCCUUCCAUACAAAGGAUUUUUCUGGAAUUUUCUAAUAUUGAGCAUUCUUCUGUUAAGCGUGCCGCUACUAUGUUUUUGGCUCAUGAGUUUAGAUUCAUAAUAAAAGAAGCCAAAGAAAUCUUUGCGCAUUAUAGGGUGGACGCUUGUCGUCCUCCCAUAGAGGCUAUCCUCUUUGAUCAAGAAGAAAUAAUGCGUUUUCAAUCUCUAGACUAUGUUGCUUUCAAUGAAAAUCUUAGAAAAAGGGUUCCUACCAAUGUUUUAGUUGAUAGAAUUUCUGAACUUAAUGAUGAUUUGGCUAUUCGAAAUAAUGAACUAGGAUAUUCUCUUGAAUAUAGGCUCACAAAGUUCUGGCAAAAGAAUGCUUAUAAUGAUGAAUUGGUUGUGCAUUAUGAAGGACCAAAGGAGGAACCUAUACCUCCCAAGGUUGAUCUUGGGGACUUUUGUCCCGUUAAAUUUAGGCCUUUUAUUAAUUUUGCUUGCCUCAAAGAAAACUUGCUGCCGAACGUAGAUAAUAUGAAAUGAGUUUUAAUAAUCUAUCUUACUAUUAUGGCAAUACCUAGAUCUAUUCUUGCUUGUUAUGCCUAGCUAGGGGCGUUAAACGAUAGCGCUUGUUGGGAGGCAACCCAAUUUUAUUUUUAUUCCUUGCUUUUUGCUCCUGUUUAGUAAUAAAUAAAUUAUUUAUCCUGUGUUUUGGUUGUGUUUUUUUGUUUAAUUAGUGUUUGUGCCAAGUAGAACCGUUGGGAAGACUUGGGGAAAGUCUUGUUGAACUUGCUGUAAAAAACAGAAACUUUAGAGCUCACGAGAACUGCUGUCAUUUUUAUUUGGAAAGUGCUACUUAGUUAAUUCUUGUUGAAUAUGAUUAAUAGAUAAAUUCCUCACGUCCAGAAAUUUAUUUUAGAAUUUUUGGGGUUCCAUAUCUUGCGCUAGCUACAGAUUACUACAGACUGUUCUGUUUUUGACAGAUUCUGUUUUUUGUGUGUUGUUUGCUUAUUUUGAUGAAUCUAUGGCUAGUAAAAUAGUUUAUAAUCCAUAGGGAAGUUGGAAUACAGUAGGUUUAACACCAAUAUAAAUAAAGAAUGAGUUCAUUACAGUACCUUGAAGUGGUCUUUUGUUUUCUUUCGCUAACGGAGCUCACGAGAUUUUCUACUUUAAGUUUUGUGUUGUGAAGUUUUCAAGUUUUGGGUAAAGAUUUGAUGGAUUAUGGAACAAGGAGUGGCAAGAGCCUAAGCUUGGGGAUGCCCAUGGCACCCCCAAGAUAAUCUAAGGACACCUAAAAGCCAAAGCUUGGGGAUGCCCCGGAAGGCAUCCCCUCUUCCGUCUACUUCUAUCAGUAACUUUACUUGGAGCUAUAUUUUUAUUCACCACAUGAUAUGUGUUUUGCUUGGAGCAUCUUUUAUGAUUUGAGUCUUUGUUUGUUAGUCUACCACAAUCAUCCUUGCUGUACACACCUUUUGAGAGAGCCAUACAUGACUUGGAAUUUGAUAGAAUACUCUAUGUGCUUCACUUAUAUCUUUUAGAGCACGAUGGUGGAUUUGUUUUAUAGAAACUAUUGAUCUCUCAUGCUUCACUUAGAUUAUUUCGAGAGUCUUAAUAGCAUGGUAAUUUGCUCAAAAUCCUCAUAUGCUUGGUAUGCAAGAUUAAUAAUAAAACUUUCUUAUGAGUGUGUUGAAUACUAAGAAAAGUUUGAUGCUUGAUGAUUGUUUUGAGAUAUGGAGGUAAUAAUAUCAAAGUCAUGCUAGUUGAGUAUUUGUGAAAUUGAGAAAUACUUGUGUUGCAGUUUGCAAAUCCCGUAGCAUGCACGUAUGGUAAACGUUAUGCAACAAAUUUGAAACAUGAGGUGUUAUUUGAUUGUCUUCCUUAUGAGUGGCGGUCGGGGACGAGCGAUGGUCUUUUCCUACCAAUCUAUCCCCCUAGGAGCAUGCACGUAGUGCCGAGGUUUUUGAUGACUUGUAGAUUUUUGCAAUAAGUAUGUGAGUUCUUUAUGACUAAUGUUGAGUCCAUGGAGUAUACGCACUCUCACCCUUCCAUCCUUGCUAGCCUCUUCGGUACCGUGCAUUGCCCUUUCUCACAUUGAGAGUUGGCGCAAACUUCGCCGGUGCAUCCAAACCCCGUGAUAUGAUACGCUCUUUCACACAUAAACCUCCUUAUAUCUUCCUCAAAACAGCCACCAUACCUACCUAUUAUGGCAUUUCCAUAGCCAUUCCAAGAUAUAUUGCCAUGCAACUUUCCAUCAUUCCGUUCAUCAUGACACAUUCAUCAUUGUCAUAUUGCUUAGCAUGAUCAUGUAGUUGACAUAGUAUUUGUGGCAAAGCCACCGUUCAUAAUUCUUUCAUACAUGUCACUCUUGGUUCAUUGCAUAUCCCGGUACACCGCCGGAGCCAUUCAUAUAGAGUCAUCUUUGUUCUAGUAUCGAGUUGUAAUCAUUGAGUUGUAAAUAAAUAGAAGUGUGAUGAUCAUCAUUAUUAGAGCAUUGUCCCAAGUGAGAAAAAAAAAGAAAGGCCAUAAAUAAAAGAAGGCCCAAAAAAAGAGAAAGGCCAUUAAAAAAAACAAAAGACCAAAAAAAUGAGAGAAAAAGAGAGAAGGGACAAUUUUACUAUCCUUUUACCACACUUGUGCUUCAAAGUAGCACCAUGAUCUUCAUAGUAGAGAGUCUCUCAUGUUAUCACUUUCAUAUACUAGUGGGAAUUUUUCAUUAUAGAACUUGGCUUGUAUAUUCCAACAAUGGGCCUCCUCAAGUGCCCUAGGUCUUCGUGAGCAAGCAAGUUGGAUGCACACCCACUAGUUUCUUUUGUUGAGCUUUCAUGCAUUUAUAGCUCUAGCGCAUCCGUUGCAUGGCAAUCCCUACUCCUUGCAUUAACAUCAAUCGGUGGGCAUCUCCAUAGCCCAUUGAUUAGCCUCGUUGAUGUGAGACUUUCUCCUUUUUUUGUCUUCUCCACAUAACCCCCCUCAUUAUAUUCUAUUCCACCCAUAGUGCUAUGUCCAUGGCUCGCGCUUAUAUAUUGCGUGAAGGUUUAUAGGUUUGAGAUUACUAAAGUAUGAAACAAUUGCUUGGCUUGUCAUCGGGGUUGUGCAUGAUGAGAGCAUUCUUGUGUGAUGAAAGUGAAACAUGACUAAACUAUAUGAUUUUGUAGGGAUGAACUUUCUUUGGCCAUGUUAUUUUGAGAAGACAUAAUUUCUUAGUUAGUAUGCUUGAAGUAUUAUCAUUUUUAUGUCAAUAUGAACUUUUGUCUUGAAUUUUUUGGAUCUGAAUAUUCAUACCACAAUUAAGAAGAAUUACAUUAAAAUUAUGCCAAGUAGCACUCCGCAUCAAAAAUUCUGUUUUCAUCAUUUACCUACUUGAGGACGAGCAGGAAUUAAGCUUGGGUGUCGGUGUCAAAACCGGCGGAUCUCGGGUAGGGGGUCCCGAACUGUGCGUCUAAGGCAGAUGGUAACAGGAGGCAGGGGACACAAUGUUUUACCCAGGUUCGGGCCCUCUUGAUGGAGGUAAAACCCUACGUCCUGCUUGAUUUAUAUUGAUGAUAUGGGUACUACAAGAGUAGAUCUACCACGAGAUCAAAGAGGCUAAACCCUAGAAGCUAGCCUAUGGUAUAAUUGUUGUUGUAUAUCAUCUAUCGACUAGCUUGGCCUCGGUUUAUAUAAUGCACGAGAGGCCUAGGAUAACAAGAGUCCUAGCCGAAUACGCCGGUGGGGAGGAGGCCUUGUCUUGAUCACCAAGUCUUGUAGAAUCUUCCAUGUAUGCGGCAACUGUCCGAACUGGCCCAUGAGUAUACGGCCAUGGGGGUCCUCAGCCCAAUCUAACAGAUCGGGAGAUGACGUGGUGAGUACCCCCUAUCCAGGACACCGUCAGUAGCCCCCUGAACCGGUCUUCAAGUUAGAGACGCUCCUCGAUUCUUCUGGACUGUUCUUCAUCUUCGGUUGUCGGUCUUGGAAACUGGUUCAACAAAUCUUCCCAUCUUCGAUCUUGAGGAUUGCCGAAAUGCAUUCGACGAGUUUACACAUCGGGUAUCCGAGGAGCCCCUUUAAGUGUCCGGCCUUUAUCAAUGCCUUGUUAUUUUUAGGCCACACCUCGGGUUUGAAGUUGUUCCCGGGAGGCAGUGUCCUCUUGCGUCCGAGCUCUAACGCCGGAUAGCAUUUGAGGUAUCUUUUGCAGCCGAGCACUAAUGCCGGACUGCUUCCGAGCUCUAACGCCGAAAUGUAUCCAAGCUCCAACGCCGGACUGUGUCCAAGCUCCAACGCCGGACUAUAUCCAAGAUGUCAUAGAUCAUCUUGGUCCAAAAAAGUUGAAGGAGUUUAGCCGAGCUUAAUGCUGGAAAUGCCCUCUAUGGAGCCAGCCACUAGCGCCCGAGCUUUAUGCCGGACUACUUCCGAGGUGGUGCACCACCCUGACUGUGGGUCGAUUUUUUGUCAAUAUUUUUGAUUGGUGCAAUUUAUUCUCUACCGAGAUAUAUAUCCAGUAACCCUCAAGGUUUGUAUCGGUCUAAAACCCGAGAUGCACCUGAAGGAUGACAUAAGACCGCUGAUCCCAGUAGCUGCUGAGACUCGGGUUGAUUUGCAAAAUUGGCCUAAGGAUCAAGUCCUAGCUCGGCAGAUUACUUCGGGAUACAAAAAGCGGUGUGCUCAGUCCUCGAGACUCAGGUUGGGUGCGGCCGACCAACCUGAGGAUCAUAAUCUCCUCGGAAAUUGUAUUGCACUUAAAAUUUUCUGCAUUGGACAGGCAAUGCAGUAGCCCCCGAGACACUGGUCGGGUGGCAACACCAGAUCAGGGGUUCGAUGUGCCCCUUUAAUAUUUGUAAAUAAUAAGCCCGAAGCCCAGUAGCCCCCGAGCCUUAAUGCGGGCACGGGUGGCCGAAUUAAGGAUCGAUAUCCAUAUCAAAAUCACAAAUUAUGUGUAAUGACUCUAUGUAUCCAAGUACUUUACGUCAUUUAAUGCUCGGAUCCGCAUUGUACAAAACUUUGUUGACCGACCAUCGGCUUCCACCUCCUCGGCCAAUAGCCGAGGAGUGUUUGUCUUACUUUAUAAAGCCUUUAUGAGGGCAAGAAAAACAAGGCAAUCUGGCCAUACGGUUUUAUAAACAAAGGUACGCAGAGAGAUAUGUUAUAUUACUGUUUUAACAUAAGAAAUGUCUUCCAAAGAAAAUAGUCCCGCUAUCUGUUCCUUUCUUUGGGUUGUCAUGCUAAGCAUGAUCAUGAGACCUUAGCUCUAAUGUAAGAGCAAAAUAUUGAGGAUUUUAGUUUGGGAGGCCAGUUAAUAGCCCCCGGUAGUGUUCGGCGACAGUCAAGGUCAAGCCAUAAACACUUCGGCCAUUGUUAUGAAUGGCCCGUCAUUUAACAUAGUCAUCGGAUCGCUGACCAGUUUACGCUUAUUGUGACAGUCAGUUUCAGUUUUCUCCACUAAGGUGCUUAAUCAUGUGAGCUGGAAGCACAAUCGCAGUGGUUCUCCCUUUGCACGCCUAGCCGAACAAAGAGGAAUGUAGGAAGCAAGUGCAGGAGCCGGGCAACCCAACUAUUGACCGAAGACACAAUUCGAAACCGAUGCAUAUAUAGCAAUAUCCGAGAAUGUUUUUGCUGGAUACCUAAAGGUGUCCGGCGUUGCACUGCAAGACUUGUGCUGAAAACACACAAAUAGUUUAAAAGUGCCAAAAGCUUGGAAAACCAAAAAAAGUCAGUAAAAACUUAAUGUUCGAACAAGAUUAAGUGUUCGGUGCCAAUCCGAAAAUUGGUCUUAGAAAAAAAAGAGUGCUUUUUCCGUGCUUUAACAUGUCACAUCCUAUCUCAAGACUUCAAGCGGGUCAGCCUACGGCUUCAACCUCCUAUCCCGAAGGCGGAGUACUUCUCAUUAGGCCAGUUUAGCAAACUAAACUCUAGCGGCUUUGAGAGAGAAAUUAGGCUCCCCGGCUAGUGACCACACACUCAUGUCGGAAAAAGGAGUGAUGGAAAAAGACUUUGCAAUGACCAAGAAGAAAACACAUUUAGUAUAAAAUAUCUCAUAUAAAUUUUAAGAGCCCCCAAGUGACUUGGGAAAAGAAUUUUAUGCAUAAUGAUUGUAUGUACCGAAGAACUUAUAUCAUAUCUUUGUUCAACCAAACUUUAAACGCGUCUUAACCGACCGUCGGCUUCUCGCUCUUCGGCCAAGGACCAAAAAGUGUUAUGUACUCCACUUGUCGAGAAUAUCGACAGUGUUUCCGAUAACCAGGCAACCGGGCCAUAAGACUGUAACAGACAAAGCGCGCUCAGGGAACUUAUGCUAUAUUACAAACGAAGUGUAAGAAGCAUCUUCGAAGAAAAUAGUGCCCCCACUGAUACCUUUCUUCGGUGCUCAUUAUUACUAUGAGACUUGUGCAAUAGAUUUUUUGUACUCAUGAGUUCAGUUGUGUGCCGACCAUGAUUGAAAACAAUAAGAGCGCUAGCUUUCGGCUUCACCCAGUCUGAGGUCAGAGCUCGGAGGACCCGGUCGUGACAAUCGCAGAGGUGCUCCCUUUACUCCCUAGCCGAACAAUCAGGAAUGUAGGGGUAAGAACAGGAGCCAGGCAACCCAGCUUGCAAAUCGCUUAAAUCAAUAUGGUGCAUAUUGUGGCAUAAUACACGAACAAGGAACGAAGCCAUACAAGUAUAAUCAUAUGCAAGAGGAAAAGGUUCAUAAAGGAAGCCCCAAAUAAACGGGGUAUUUGAAUUUGUGUGUCACAAACAAAGUUUGGACAAGAAAAUUUAUACAAGCAACUUUUUUCCAAAAAAGUAUAAUGCUUGGUCGAACCGAACACAAGUUAAAAAUUUAAAACUUGGAGCAUGAAGGCAACUUGGCUGGUUAAUGUGUUCGGUAUUGACGACGCGGUCUGAGCUUGAUGCAGGACAAGGUUCCAUCCCCCAAGCCGGUCCCGAGGUGGUGGAGCAAAGAGGUCGGCACUCCGAAGUGGUGACAUGGCACGGUCAAUGCAGGCCGGCAGAGUGAUGCCGAAGUCCCCGGCAUGGGGUAAUGAAGUGUUGACGAAGCCCCCCGUCCAGCCGAGGUGACGUGGUAUGUUAGUACGCCGAGUUGACGAUACUGCCCAACCCGGAUAAUUUCCCUGUGCACAAAAAAAUAGUGCAAACCGGAGAUAAUAGUAAUGAUAAUAAUAAAAAAUGUUGCAUAAUAAAUAAUUUAUGCAAAGUGGGUAAUAAAAGAAAUAUGGCCUGGCGCCAAAGUCAAUGUCGAUGCAGGGCGUCGGCGUGGUGCGGUAAAGGUGUGGCAAAGCCUGAAUUCACAGGUCGGUCCCAGUUCCGGAUGCGGCGUUUGCCGGACUAUGUACGGAAACUGACCAAACCACCACGCGACCGUCGUUAAUGCGACCAUCAUUUUAUAGACCUGUCUACAGAUGAUGGACAAACCAGAGUAAUAAUUCCUUGGGAAAAAUAAACCCAAACAAGCAAAAAAUACUAGGAUUAAUAGCACCUGGUUUAUUUGUUGUAGCAGUCCUAAAAAAGGUGAUUCCCAGAAUUGGGACUCGAUCCACACACCCAUUGCCUAAUGGGCGAUAAAGCGAAGGCAUGGCAAUGCUGGCAAAGGUCGGCUUGCCGAGGCAAAGCCCUCGGCCCAGCUAAUCGUGACGAAGCUGGUCGGCUGGUGACGCCAAAGUCACCGGAGUAGGUUGAUGAAGAGAUGAUGAAGCCCCCGAUCCAGCCGAGAUGUUGAAGCCUCGAUGUCAGCCGAUGAGUCGAAGUAGGUUGGCGUGAUGGACACCAGCUUGAAGAAGCAACAGUGCAGCCCUGCCGAUGCAGGACGUGACGUGGUCGAUGCCGGCUUGAUGAAGUGACCGUGCGGCGAUGCCGGUAUGCCCACUCCGUGUAAUCCAUGGGGCGGCGAUGUUGGUGAUGAUUUAUCCUUCGCGAUGCCGGACUCUUGCUCGGCUUGCCGAGAUGAUGAUCCGAAGAAGUUGAGCUCGGCUCAACAAAGUGAUGACGUGUCUAGCGCAGGUCGGCAGCCGUGGAGCAAUAUUGCCAAACUGGUUUGACACCAGCAUGAUGUUGAAGAUCAUGUUCAAAAGAUCUUAAAGUUGGUGGGAUAUGUUCGGGAACAAAACACAAUACCCCAUACAACACUUCCUUCAAAAGGGAUGUCCGAAAUCCCGUUCAUAAAAAAGACGAAUUCGGGUCGGAUUCGUUUUCGCGCAGAAAACAGAUCCGAAAAGUGAUGCACUAAUCGGAAGGUUCCCGGCGUUUGGACGGUCGGAUCGAGCUGAAAUUUUGAGAGGUGGUAGAUAUAGGAAUUCCGCAGCAGAUCAACAGUUGGAUUUUCCAAAGGAUGUCCGAGCUAGAUGCUGGACACCACGCCCUAAACUCGUCCAGAUUCCCGUCCAGAUUUGACAGGGCUCCGGUAUAUAGUGGAUUGCCAGAGAUUCCUCCAUCGGAACUUGAGGAAAUUUUCCAGGGUCGUUGUAGACUCAAUUCCACACAAUUCCACCGAAGCAAUCGUUAAAGAGACACUUGAGGAGGCGGUGGCGGUGGACACAAGUUUGCUGUCUAGAAAAACAGCACGGUCGCCCGAGGACAAUGUUGACGUUGAGCCCCCAGGCUCCCUGGAUGAUUCCUCCAUGAUCUUGAUAGACAUCAGAGUUGAUGUUUAUAAAGGCCCUCAUCCGAACAUGACGAUCGGAGGUAGGGCGCAGUCCUUGGUCGAACCAAGGUGACCAGUCAAGCUGGUGACGAAAAUGCCGAAGUCGCAGUUGAUCUGCAGGCGAGCCAUCAACCUUUUGCCGAACACACAACGGAACUCUCAAUGAAAGCACCAAUGUCGGUGUCAAAACCGGCAGAUCUCGGGUAGGGGGUCCCGAACUAUGCGUCUAAGGCAGAUGGUAACAGGAGGCAGGGGACACAAUGUUUUACCCAGGUUCGGGCCCUCUUGAUGGAAGUAAAACCCUACGUCCUGCUUGAUUGAUAUUGAUGAUAUGGGUACUACAAGAGUAGAUCUACCAUGAGAUCAGAGAGGCUAAACCCUAGAAGCUAGCCUAUGGUAUAAUUGUUGUUGUAUAUCAUCUAUCGACUAGCCUGACCUCGGUUUAGAUAAUGCACCAGAGGCCUAGGAUAACAAGAGUCCUAGCCGAAUACGCCGGUGGGGAGGAGUCCUUGUCUUGAUCACCAAGUCUUGUAGAAUCUUCCAUGUAUGCGGCAGCUGUCCGAACUAGCCCAUGAGUAUACGGCCAUGGGGGUCCUCGGCCCAAUCUAACAGAACGGGAGAUGAUGUGGUGAGUACCCCCUAGUCCAGGACACCGUCGUUGGGGAUGCUUGAUACGUCUCCAACGUAUCUAUAAUUUUUGAUUGCUCCAUGCUAUAUUAUCUACUAUUUUGGACUAUAUUGGGCUUUAUUUUCCACUUUUAUAUUAUUUUUGGGACUAACCUAUUAACUGGAGGCCCAGCCCAGAAUUGCUGUUUUUGCCUAUUUCAGUGUUUCAGAGAAACAGAAUAUCAAACAGACUCCAAACGGAAUGAGGUGGUCACGAGGGUGGAGGGCGCGCCCCUGCCUCGUGGCCCCCUUGAAGAUCCACCGACGUACUCCUUCCUCCUAUAUAUACCUACGUACCCCCAAACGAUCGGGGACGGAUCCAAAAACCUAAUUCCAUCGCUGCAACUUUCUGUAUCCACGAGAUCCCAUCUUGGGGCCUGUUCCGGAGCUCCGCCGGAGGGGGCAUCGAUCACGGAGGGCUUCUACAUAAUCAUCCAAGCCCCUCUGAUGAAGUGUGAUUAGUUUAGUUCAUACCUACUGGUCCAUAGUUAGUAGCUAGAUGGCUUCUCCUCUCUUUUUGGAUCUCAAUACAAUGUUCUCCCCCUCUCUUGUGGAGAUCUAUUCGAUGUAAUCUUCUUUUUGCGGUGUGUUUGUUGAGACCGAUGAAUUGUGGGUUUAUGAUCCAGUCUAUCUAUGAAUAAUAUUUGAAUCUUCUCUGAAUUAUUUUAUGUAUGAUUGGUUAUCUUUGCAAGUCUCUUCGAAUUAUCAGUUUGGUUUGGCCUACUAGAUUGGUUUUUCUUGUCAUGGGAGAAGUGCUUAGCUUUGGGUUUGAUCUUGCGGUGUCCUUUCCCAGUGACAGAAGGGGCAACAAGGCACGUAUUGUAUCGUUGCCAUCGAGGAUAACAAGAUGGGGUUUUUAUCAUAUUGCAUGAAACUAUCCCUCUACAUCAUGUCAUCUUGCUUAAGGCGUUACUCUGUUUUUAACUUAAUACUCUAGAUGCAUGCUGGAUAGCGGUCGAUGAGUGGAGUAAUUGUAGUAGAUGCAGGCAGGAGUCGGUCUACUUGUCUCGGACGUGAUGCCUAUAUACAUGAUCAUACCUAGAUAUUCUCAUAACUAUGCUCAAUUCUGUCAAUUGCUCAACAGUAAUUUGUUCACCCACCGUAGAAUACUUAUGCUCUUGAGAGAAGCUACUAGUGAAUCCUAUGGCCCCCGGGUCUCUUUAUCAUCGUAUCAAUCUCCAUCACUUUAUUAUUGCUUUGCUUUUACUUUGCUUUUACUUUUACUUUGCAUCUCUAUACCAAAAAUACCAAAAAUAUUAUUUAUCAUCUCUAUCAGAUCUCACUUUCGUAAGUGACCGUGAAGGGAUUGACUACCCCUAAGCGCGUUGGUUGCGUUGAGCUAUUGUUUUUUGGUAGGUACGAGGGACUCGCGUGUAGCCUCCUACUGGAUUGAUACCUUGGUUCUCAAAAACUGAGGGAAAUACUUACGCUACUUUGUUGCAUCAUCCUCUCCUCUUCGAGGAAAUUCAACACAGUGCUCAAGAGGUAGCAGAUGGACCCUCCUGGGACCCAGGCUGGGGCUGCGUGCGAUCGGGCGAGGCAUCCAAACCCAAUCAUUUCAGUAGGUAUGUACAUCCCACACGGUAAUCCGAGAAAAUCAUUUAUGUAGGUAUGUACAUCCCACACGGUAAUCCGAGAAAAUCAUUUCCGUAGGUAUGUACAUCCCACACGGUGAAUCUCAAAAAAACAUUUCUGUUCGUAUGUAAAGCAGACACAGUCAAUCCAAGGAAUACAUUUCCGUUCUUAUGUACAUCCCACACAGUCAAUCCAGGGAAAACGUUUCUGUUCGGUCGUACAUCCCACAUGGUUUUAUGUAUACGCUCGUGUGUGAAAGGUGUAACUAUCACACACGCUCUGCCUUGGUUAACUGUUUACUUUCAUUAACUACAUCACACACAAUUUGAUGUAGAAAACUGUGUGACAUUGGGCUAUCCAUCGCAAGUGCUUUUACUGCUAGAACCGUUUGCAAAGGUCCAUGACUGUCUGUUCUAUUUUUAUUUUUGCGUGUAAUUUAUUAUUCUAAUUGAAAAUUUUGAAAUACCAAACGUGCAAUUCAAAUUCUCAGCACAAUGGUUCAACAACGAAUCCAGAAAUAAAAUUGACAGUACAAUAUGUUCAGUAAUUACAGGAUUAGGCAGCAAUUAACUAUGAGGAACCGCAGUAUUUAAAGGCGGUAAAGGUGAAGAGACAAGUGUAAACCAUUUUGACUGCCGAUGGUGUUGAAGAAGAGGAAUGCCCAUAAUGUGCCUUCCUGCAUGCCAUAGGCACGAACCACUUUUGUCCAACCCCUUGUGAUGAUCGCCCGCCCAUCCUUCACCGCCUUCAGGAAGACUUCUAGAGCAUUAUCAUGGUAGCAUGAAUUAUAUACUUUAACCUUAGUUGCCUCCACUCCGUUCAUGUAGUUUGUAAGGUAAUCAUCAGUAAAUAGCUUCGGAAACCACUGAAAGAGAAAAAUAUCACAAACUAAGGUCUAAUAGAGUAACUUGUUGUGGGCAGGGGGAAAAGGCAACACAUUACUUACCAUCCUAAAGUUCACUGUUGUCUUUGAUAAAGUGUAAAUAAAGAGCUUAAUUCCAAUCACUCGUUUCUUUCGCCUAACAAUCUUUCUUAGUUUCCUCACUUGACGCUUGUUCAUGAAUAUCUCAUUGCCCCAUACGCAAAAGGGAUCGAAGCGUGGAUCAGUACCCCUCAUAUAUGUACCUACAAGCAACCAGUAAAUGCUAGAAGCUAAACUAAGAUUGCACAAAUGAUGUAAAAUAUAACUACCUAUGUUCCUAAGUACAGGUUUUUUUGAGAUUCCAAUACGAACUACAUACGGAUGUAUAUAGAAUUAUAGAUAUAGUUUAGAUUAGAAUCUAGAUUCACUCAUUUUACUCCUUAUGUAGUCUAUAUUGGAAUCUCUAAAAAUACUUACAAUUAGGAAUAGAUGGUGUAUAAGACAUGGGAUGCAGCUAACCUCGACGGCAAACAACAUCAUAGUCCGUUGUAGCCCUAUGUAAGUACAUGGAAAGCCAAUGUUAACUACAACAUGGUUAACAUCCACCAAAAAUAGCAAAUGGUAAUAAAACGACAGCAUCUAUAGUGAUAUCUUCAUUUUGGAAGAGUAGCACGGUAGCAAAGGGACGGAUUGAAAAUGGAUACAACUGUUAAUUGCAACAGGCUUAAUGGCCAUUGAAACCGGUACUGAUAAAAUGCAAUUGGCAAAGUUAAACAUCACAGGGCAGGUGCUGCCAGAGCAGAUAAUGGUCCAGUUCUCUAUAAAAAAGGUAGGGAAAAUAGCUCAAACGUGUUAGGCAUGUUUACUACAACAUUCUUAAUACAUCGAUAGUACAAAACAUAGCCAUUAAUUGCAACUGGUAUUGGUAAGAUUGAACUGGUGGGUACAUACUUGGUAAGUCCUGAGAGGUAGUUGCUGGGGCACUUCAUCUUGGCCAGAGCCCGCCCAAAGUCAGCGGUGGCGGAGGCGAGCUAUUCCUUCGGGUCGAACCGUGGAUCAGUGCCACUGACAUGUGUACCUACAUGCAACCAGUAAAUGGUAGAAGUUAAACUGCAAUUGCACAAAUGAUGUGAACUAUUGUAAGACAUGGGAUGCAGCUAACCUUGACGGCAAAUAACAACAUCGACCGUUAUGACCCUGCGUAAGUACAUGGACAAGCAUGUUAAGUACAACAGGGUUAGCAUCCACAAAAAAGCAAAUGGGACAACAUCUCUAGUAUAUCUUCAUUGCGGAGAGUAGCAUUGUAGCAAAUGGACAGAUUAAAAAAUGGAUACAACUGUUAAUUGCAACAGGCUUAACAACAUCAUAAGUCAUGUUUUGUAAGUUUGUAGCCAUUGAAAUGCAACUGUUUAAAAAUGGAUUCAACUGUUAAUUGCAACAGGCUUAAUAGACAUUGAAACGGGUACUGAUAAAAAUGCAAUUGGCAUAGUUAAACAUCACAAGGCAGGUGCUGCCAGAGCAGAGAAUGGCCCAGAUGUCUAUAAAAAGGUAGUGAAAAUAGCAAAAUGUGUUAGGCAUGUUUACUAGAACAUGCUUAAUACAUUGACUGUACAGAACAUAGCCAUUAAUUGCAACCGGUAUUGGUAAGAUUGAACUGGUGAGUACAUACUUGGUAUGUCCUGAGAGGUAGUUGCUGGGGCACUUCAUAUUGGCCAGAGCUCAACCAAAGUCAGCGACGGCGGAGGUGAGCUGUUCCUCCGGGUCGAAGCGUGGAUCAGUGCCACUGACAUGUGUACCUACAGGAAACCAGUAAAUGGGUAGAAGUUAAACUGCAAUUGCACAAAUUAUGUGAAAUACUGUAAGACAUGGGAUGUCGCUCACCUCGACGGCAAACAAAAGCAUCGGCCGUUAUGACCCUGCGUAAGUACAUGGACAUGCAUGUUAAGUGCAACAGGGUUAGCAUCCACUAAAAAUAGCAAAUGGGCAGCAUCUCUAGUGAUAUCCUGAGUCAUGUAUUGUAAGUUUGUUGCUGGUAUUGGUGAAAUUGAGCUGGACACGGUAAUAUUUGAACAUCACACAAUGUGUAGUACUGAAAUAAACAAGGCACGAACAUGCUUAAUACAUCAACCGUACAAAUCAUAGUCGUUACAAGUGGUAUCGGUAAGAUUUAGCUGGUCAGAUCUUACCUGUUAAGUCCUGGAGGGUAGUCGCUGGGGGACUUCAUCUUGGCCAGAGCCUGCACCAUGUCGGCGGCGGCGGCGAAGGCGAGGUGUUCUUCCGGGUCAACAUGCGCAGCGGCCAUCGCGCCAUGGACCGCCAUUAGCUCCUGGCGGCGGGGGGGAGGGUAUUUGGAGGCAUGAGGAUGUUUCGCAGGCGCCAUUUAAGAAAUCAGGCGGGGACGUGAUAGAGAUCGAUGGGUCACCUGACUGGAUCUUUGCAGAACAUAGAUGUGGUUGAAGCCGUGGUUGCGGCGGCGGCGGUCUGAGAUGCUGGUAGGGGGAGGCGCGAGGGAGGGGGGAUACUGAGGGGAAUGGGAUGUGGUUGGAGGAAUAAAUUCUGAAAUCGCACGCCUAAUGAAAAUUUCGGUGCGAAAUUUGAAACUUGGGCGAGGGAAAUACACAACAUAGACGAAGCGCGUAAAAUACUCGUGUGCGAGAAAAAAGAAAGUUGGCAGAUCCCGUCUCCAAAAAAAUGUACACAUGUACUUGAUUUUUUUGGUCAAUGGUACGCCUGGUUUAUUAGAAAAUAUCGCACAGGUAACUGACUUAUGGGUCAUUAACGCAAAAAACGCGGACGGGUACGACAUAUUAACUGUGUGUUUUGUGAUCUUCUAAUGAUUAACGCAAAAAAACGCACACGGGCACACAUGCUAAUCAACUCCCAAAGACCACAAAGGAUGCUUUUACCCACAUUGUACGUUAAUACUACAAACUUAAAGUACUAGUGGUAAUUUGCUCUAAUACUACAAACUUAAACUACUUCUCACAUGCGGCCAUCACGGCAUGCUGGCCAGACGCCGUCGUUCUCCUUCCCGGCCUUGUAGGCGGCAGCCCACCAUGCUUCAAUCUCAGCCAAGCUCUCCUCACCAUGGCGUGCGGCCUCUUUUUUCUUGCGGCAGCGAGACUCUCUUUUCUUGACUGCUUUCUGCCUUUUCCGCUCCUUCUGUGCGGCUUUGGCUGCCUCUAGAUCCACCACCCGUUCGGCCAUGGUAGCCUCAAAAUCCGCCCAUGUAACUGUAUGGCCACCAGCGACGAUGAACUCGGCACGGCGAGAUGCCAUCACUUCCUUACCAUGUGUGCGGUCGCGGGCGGCGAGGAACGCGGCACGGGGGGAUGCCAUCGCUUCCUUACCAGUUACUGUGCGCCGCGGUGCCAUGGACGACUCCUGGCGAGAGCUUUGGGAUGGAGGGGCCGGGCAGCCGUACCGUGCGGUGGUAUUCAAGAGCUCAACCACAAACGACAACAGAAAUUUGGGUUCCCUUACAAUUUUGCUCGUUCAUUAUAGCACACGGUUCAUCUUCGUCGCUUCCGAAAACAGUGUGCAUUGAGCCUAUUGUGUGUUGCGUUAUGAUUGGCUGGAACCCCAGCCACGCGGAUCGCGCGUGUGCAUCGUUGCAUGCACCGCGAUCGAGCGACAAUCUACGUCCCUCACAUCACACCCGUGCACCUGUAGCUGCAUUGGAUUUAUAUGCGCAAAAUGCCAAAUUUGAACACGGUGAUUUGCAGGGUGUAUGUUCGUUGUAGAAAAAAACUCCAGGGCAAAGAACGAAGAAAAUUUGGAUUCCCCUUCAAUCUUGAGGAUUUCCCUUUCGAAAGCAUGGAACUUCCUCGGUGAUGGUUCGAUUUAUGAAGGGCGUGCAUGACAACAUAAGCCAAACAUUCUCAAAUUUUUACCAAGGCAUGGUGUGGUCAUACCAUGGCACCAUGCCAGGCAUCAUGUUUUUUAAGCAUUUAUUUCAUUUUUUUUCUAUAGUUCAAAACCCAACAAACAGACAUUUGUGGUUGACUAUUUGUAACGUCCCGAGACUGAUGCACCAGGUGUCUUCCAGUUAUUCACGUUGAGUGCCUUGUCAUAUCUUUGCUUCUUGCACCAUGCUCAUCUCAUUUGGGUAUAUUGCUUUGUCAUGCCCAUCAUCGUCUUAUUGCAUUGUCUCUUGUCAUUUUGCAUGCUAAUCAUAUACCUUGUAGUAAUCUUCAUAUUGUUGCCAUGUGCAUUUCAUUCAUCCUUAUGUGGUGUGUUGUUGUUAUGAUGUGUGUGAGAAUCAUUCCUUUUCAUCUCUCUCUCAAGCCAUACCCAUGCAUCAUCACCUCUCACUUCCUUCUUCUUUCAUGUUUUUGCAAGUGACUUUAUUCCUCCUCCAUUAAUGUUCGUCCUUUCCCUAUAAAUCUUGCCUCUUUCCUACACCCUCUUUGCCAGAUUUCAUCCCAUUCAAAGUUGUUUUGGUCAGGUUCAAAAAUGAUUGAAGUUUGAGAAUAAUCCAAACUCUAAUUAUUUUUCUGAUUUCUAAAAAUGCCACAGCAAUUUAUUCAAACCCUACAUAAAUCCAGGGUUCCAGAUAUAUAUUUAUAUAUCUCAUAUUCCUAACCAAAACCCGUGGACUUUCCCCUUUGUUGAUUGUUUAUUUAUAUAAACAAAAAAAUAAAAUAAAGGAAAAGGCCCCUUACUUGUUCAGCUACUCACUGGGCCUCCCAACUCCUACGCAGGCCACAAACCUGCAGCUGGGCCGGCCUUUAGGCCCAACCGCCCCACCUACACCUAACCCUAGACUCGACCGACCUAUCCCUCUCGCUCCCCUGCUCGUUCCCACCGCCGCCAGAAGCCAUCUCCCUCGACUCCUCCUCUAGCGCCGCCAGAGACAUGCACGCAAGCGCAGUCCUCUGCUUCGACCCGACCUCAUCCUUUCCCUCGUUCCCUUGUGCCGCCUCCCCCUCAUAUCGAUCUCUCCCUGUCCUCUCGCUCAAGCUAACCACCUCGCGGCCCCGCGAGCUCGCCUGCCCACACGGCCAUGGCUUCGCCGCCCUCGACCCGGCUCGCCCUCGACGCCCCCUUCGCUGGAGCCCUUCCUCCGCCUCUGCUUUGGCCUCCCACGACAGCUACGCCGCGCCCUCAAGCGCCUCACCUCCCACAGCCGGUCCAGGACCUCCUCGUCGCCUCCUCGUCUACCCGGCGCCACUGACUCGUCAGCUCUGUCGCCAGGGGAGGAGACCCUCGACCUGUCCCCUUCGGCCCCGACUCCGGCGAGCGCCGCCCUGUUGACUCUCCUCCGCGCGACGCCUCCCCUCUGCUGCCUUAUUACUUUGCCUACGACUGCCCUUUUCUUUCCCGCCUUGCCUCACGCGACCCACAUGGGCGCCGGCCAUGGAGGCCACCGUGCCGGCCUGCAGCUUCGCGCGUGCUGCCUUGCCUUCCUGCUACUUCGUUCGACUUCGGACGACCUCCAUCGAGCUCGCCCGGCCACCUUCGACCUUGGGGUGGCCCUGCCUCCUCUAGUAGCCUCCUGGAGCCGGCCAUUUCCAUGGGUUCGGGGAGCCCCAAGUCUUGUCCGUGGCCUCGUUGGCUGUUGAUGUUACGUUGUUGGCUUUCUCCAUCGUCUCGCUGGGCUCGCCAAAUCCUGUACCAGGAGCCCAAGCCGGAAGACUCCGUGGAUGUGCAUCUCACUUGUGCCAUUUUGGAUCGUCAAGAACGUUUCGAGAUUCGCCAAGUACCAUUACGCCCGGAGACCACGGAUCCGUGAAGUUCCACUACCGUCGCCAUGGAUCCGACAAGUUCGCGAGUACGACCACUUACCACGACGACCUUGUACCACUAUCAUCGACGAAGACAUGUGCAUCGCAAGCGUCAAGUUCAACUACCGUCGAUGGCGAAGGGUUUGGAGUCAUCAGGCACCUCUCUGAACGAACGGGAACGACUAUCAUAGCCGAGAUCGCGAGAACCUCUACCGACGACUUCGGAACGUGUACGAUGACCAUUGUCGAAGACCCGUACCUCUACCGCUUCCUGAACAUGUACCACGACUUCCAUGACUUCCGUGAACCGCUACUUCCACAACGGUCGUGAACGACUACUUCCCUCGACGAACUCGAUACGCUUCGAAAAUGCACGCUUCGAAGGUAUAGCCCUGAGACGACCGUCCGAGAAUGAUUGCUUGUGUUGUAUGAGAUGCACCGGUUGUCUGCACUAUGUCGGUAGUUUCUCUCGCUUCCAUGCUGUCGACACUUGGGACACCCGGUAACCGGGAGGACCCCACCCUUUAUAUAUUUCAUAUUCCUAACCAAAACCCCUGGACUUUCCCCUUUGUUGAUUGUUUAUUUAUAUAAACAAAGAAAUAAAAGAAAGGAAAAGGCCCCUUACUUGCUCAGCUACUCACUGGGCCUCCCAACUCCUACGCAGGCUGCAAACCUGCAGCUGGGCUGGCCUUUAGGCCCAGCCGCCCCACCUACACCUAACCCUAGCCUCAACCGACCUCUCCCUCUCGGUCCCCUGCUCGUUCCGCCACCAGAAGCCUUCUCCCUCGACUCCUCUAGCGCCGCUAGAGACAUGCACGCAGGUGUAGUCCUCUGCUUCUACCCGACCUCAUCCUUUCCCUCGUUCCCUUGCGCCGCCUCCCCCUCAUAUCGAUCUCUCCCUCUCCUCUCGCUCAAGCCAACCACCCCGCGGCCCCGCGAGCUCGCCUGCCCGCACGGCCAUGGCUUCACCGCCCUCGACCCGGCUCGCCCUUGACGUCCCCUUCACCGGAGUCCUUCCUUCGCCUCUGCUCCGGCCUCCCACGACAGCCACGCCCCGCCCUCAAGCGCCCCACCUCCCGCGGCCGGUCCAGGACCUCCUUGUCUACCCGGCGCCACUGACUCGUUAGCUCCGUCGCCAGGGGAGGAGCCCCUCGACCUGUCCCCUUCUGCCCCGACUCCGGCGAGCGCCGCCCCAUCGACUCUCCUUUGCGUGACGCCUCCCCUCUGCUACCUCGUUCCUCUGCCUGUGAUUGUCCUUUGCUCUCCCGCCUUGCCUCACGUGACCCACAUGGGCGCCGGCCAUGGAGGCCACCGUGCUGGCCUGGAGCUUCGCGCGUGCUGCCUUGCCUUGCUGCUGCUUCGUCCGACCGCGGACGACGUCCGUCGAGCUCGCCGGCCACCUUCGACCUCAGCGUGGCCUUGCCUCCACUAGAAGCCUCCUGGUGCCGUCCGUUUCCGUGUGUUCGGGGAGCCCCAAGUCAUGUCCAUGGCCUCAUUGGUUGUUGAUGUUACGUUGUUGGCUUUCUCCAUCAUCUCCCUGGGCUAUUCAAAUCCUGUACCACGAGCCCAAGCCGGAAGACUCCGUGGAUGUGCAUCUCACUUGUGCCAUUUUGGAUCGUCAAGCACGUUUCGAGAUUCGCCAAGUACCAUUACGCCCGGAGACCACGGAUCCGUGAAGUUCCACUACCGUCGCCAUGGAUCCGACAAGUUCGCGAGUACGACCACUUACCACGACGACCUUGUACCACUAUCGUCGACGAAGACAUGUGCACCGCAAGCGUCAAGUUCAACUACCGUCGAUGGCGAAGGGUUUGGAGUCAUCAGGCACCUCUCUGAACGAACGGGAACGACUAUCGUAGCCGAGAUCGCGAGAACCUCUACCGACGACCUCGGAACGUGUACGAUGACCAUUGUCGAAGACCCGUACCUCUACCGCUUCCUGAACAUGUACCACGACUUCCAUGACUUCCGUGAACCGCUACUUCCACGACGGUCGUGAACGACUACUUCCCUCGACGAACUCGGUACGCUUCGAAAACGCACGCUUCGAAGGUAUAGCCCCGAGACGACCGUCCGAGAAUAAUUGCUUGUGUUGUAUGAGAUGCACCGGUUGUCUGCACUGUGUCGGUAGUUUCUCUCGCUUCCAUGCUGUCGACACUUGGGACACCCGGUAACCGGAAGGACCCCACCUUUUAUAUAUUUCAUAUUCCUAACCAAAACCCCUGGACUUUCCCCUUUGUUGAUUGUUUAUUUAUAUAAACAAAGAAAUAAAAGAAAGGAAAAGGCCCCUUACUUGCUCAGCUACUCACUGGGCCUCCCAACUCCUACGCAGGCUGCAAACCUGCAGCUGGGCUGGCCUUUAGGCCCAGCCGCCCCACCUACACCUAACCCUAGCCUCAACCGACCUCUCCCUCUCGGUCCCCUGCUCGUUCCCACCGCCACCAGAAGCCUUCUCCCUCGACUCCUCUUCUAGUGCCGCUAGAGACAUGCACGUAGGUGUAGUCCUCUGCUUCUACCCGACCUCAUCCUUUCCCUCGUUCCCUUGCGCCGCCUCCCCCUCAUAUCGAUCUCUCCCUCUCCUCUCGCUCAAGCCAACCAGCCCCGCGGCCCCGCGAGCUUGCCUGCCCGCACGGCCAUGGCUUCACCGCCCUCGACCCGGCUCACCCUUGACGUCCCCUUCACCGGAGUCCUUCCUCCGCCUUUGCUCCGGCCUCCCACGACAGCCACGCCCCGCCCUCAAGCGCCUCACCUCCCGCAGCCAGUCCAGGACCUCCUCGUCUACCUGGCGCCACCGACUCGUUAGCUCCGUCGCCAGGGGAGGAGCCCCUCGACCUGUCCCCUUCUGCCCCGACUCCGGCGAGCGCCGCCCCAUCGACUCUCCUUUGCGUGACGCCUCCCCUCUGCUACCUCGUUCCUCUGCCUGUGAUUGUCCUUUGCUCUCCCGCCUUGCCUCACAUGACCCACAUGGGCGCCGGCCAUGGAGGCCACCGUGCUGGCCUGGAGCUUCGUGCAUGCUGCCUUGCCUUGCUGCUGCUUCGUCCGACUGCGGACGACCUCCGUCGAGCUUGCCGGCCACCUUCGACCUCAGCGUGGCCUUGCCUCCACUAGCAGCCUCCUGGUGCCGGCCGUUACCAUGUGUUCGGGGAGCCCCAAGUCUUGUCCAUGGCCUCGUUGGUUGUUGAUGUUACGUUGUUGGCUUUCUCCAUCAUCUCCCUGGGCUAUUCAAAUCCUGUACCACGAGCCCAAGCCGGAAGACUCCGUGGAUGUGCAUCUCACUUGUGCCAUUCUGGAUCGUCAAGAACGUUUCGAGAUUCGCCAAGUACCAUUACGCCUAGAGACCACGGACCCGUGAAGUUCCACUACCGCCGCCAUGGAUCCGACAAGUUCGCGAGUACGACCACUUCCCACGACGACCUUGUACCACUACCGUCGACGAAGACAUGUGCACCGCAAGCGUCAAGUUCAACUACCGUUGACCGCAAAGGGUUUGGAGUCAUCAAGCACCUCUCCGAACGAACGGGAACGACUAUCGUCGCCGAGAUCGAGAGAACCUCUACCGACGACCUCGGAACAUGUACGACGACCGUUGUCGAAGACCCGUACCUCUACCGCUUCCCGAACAUGUACCAUGACUUCCACGAUUUCCGUGAACUGCUACUUCCACGAUGGCCAUGAACGACUACUUCCCUCGACGAACUUGAUACACUAAAACACACGCUUCGAGGGUAUAACCCCGAGACGACCGUCCCAGAAGGAUUGCUUGUGUUGUAUGAGAUGCACCCGUUGUCUGCACCAUGUCCGUAUUGUCUCUCGCUUCCAUGUUGUCUACACUUGGGACACCCGCUAACCGAGAGGACCCUACCUUCUAUCGCAUGUCACGCUCCCGUCACUUUUCCUUUUGCAUCGGUAUCUCCGUGAGCUAUCGGAACCGGAAUGUUGCCGUGGCACCAUUUCCGUUGUCAUUGUCAUGGCACCCCUUUAUUUCCACCACGGUGACAAAUGUUUCAUAAUGCUCUUAUCAACAUUUUCAUAAAAUUGCAUAAACUUGCAUAUGCCAUCCGCAUCAUGAUAAUAACAUUAAAUUUUUUUAAAUUGUUGUUUGCAUUAAAAUGCUAAUGCAUAUGGGGAUUUACCGGUAUUGUUGUUUGUUAUUUCCGGCCUCAUUUAAACUUGCCUAAUGUUUAGUUUACUUAUGCUCCACCUCUUGCCAUGUUUAAACAACAUUUAAUUUUGUUGAGCAGUUUAAACAGGAGAGAACUAAAUAAUUAAAUGUGGUGUUUCGUCAAUAUGCAAGUCGUUGCAUAUUGAGCUCCACUUAACUUGUACUUUUGCUUGUGCACUUUGCCAUGCCAUGCCUCAUUAAACCGUACAUGCAUCAUACUUGGUUGUGCAUCAUGCCAUGUUUAUGUGAUGGUUUUUUACCAUGUUGUUUGCUCCUUUCCAGUGUUGCUUCUUCUUGUUAGUUCCGGUAACGUGCGUUUGUGAGGAUCCGUUUGACUAUGUCCGUUUGUCUUCUUCAUGGACUUGUUCUUCUUCCUCGCGGGAUCUCAGGCAAGAUGACCAUACCCUCGAAAUCACUUCUAUCUUUGCUUGCUAGUUGUUCACUCUAUUGCUAUGCCGCGCUACCUACCACUUGCUAUAUCAUGCCUCCCAUAUUGCCAUGUUAAGCCUCUAACCCACUUUUCCUAGCAAAUCGUUGUUUGGCUAUGUUACUGCUUUUGCUAAGCCCCUCUUAUAGUGUUGCUAGUUGCAGGUGAAGAUGAAGUUUGUUCCUUGUUGGAACAUGGAUAUUGUUGGGAUAUUAUUAUUAUAUCGUAUUUACUUUAAUGCAUCUAUAUACUUGGUAAAGGGUGGAAGGCUCGGCCUUAUGCCUGGUGUUUUGUUCCACUCUUGCUGCCCUAGUUUCCGUCAUACCAGUGUUAUAUUCCUUCAUUUUGCGUCCCUUACGUGGUUGGGUGUUAUGGGAACCCCUUGACAGUUUGCUUUGAAUAAAACUCCUCCAGCAAGGCCCAACCUUGGUUUUACAUUUGCCUAACAACCUAUCACCUUCCCUUGGGUUCUGCAGACCCGAGGGCCAUCUUUAUUUUACCCCCACCCCCUGGGCCAGUGCUUCUCUAAGUGUUGGUCCGAACUAGAGCCCCUUGCAGCGCCACCUCGGGGAAACUUGAGGGCUGCUUUUAGUUGUACAGAUUGCUCAUUUGGUGUUGCCCUGAGAACGAGAUAUGUGCAGCUCCUAUCGGGAUUGUCGGCACAUUGGGCGACUUUGCUGGUCUUGUUUUACCAUUGUCAAAAUGUUUUGUAACCGAGAUUCCGAGAUUGAUCGGGUCUUCUCGGGAGAAGGAAUAUCCUUCGUUGACCGUGAGAGCUUGUGAUGGGCUAAGUUGGGACACCCCUGCAGGGUAUAAACUUUUGAGAGCCGUGCCCGCGGUUAUGGGCAGAUGGGAAUUUGUUAAUAUCCCGUUGUAGAGAACUUGACACUUAACUUAAUUAAAAUGAAUCAACCGCGUGUGUAGCCGUGAUGGUCUCUUUUCGGCGGAGUCCGGGAAGAGAACACGGUCUCGUGUUAUGCUUGAACGUAAGUAGUUUCAGAAUCACUUCUUGAUCACUUCUAGCUUCUCGACUGUGUGUUGCUUCUCUUCUCGCUCUUAUUUGCGUAUGUUAGCCACCAUAUAUGGUAGUGCUUGCUGCAGCUCCACCUCACUACCCUUUCCUACCCAUAAGCUUAAAUAGUCUUGAUCACGCGGGUGUGAGAUUGCUGAGUCCUCGUGACUCACAGAUACUUCCGAACAGUUCCAGGUGCCGAUGAUACCAUUGCAGAUGACACAACUGAGCUCAAGUGGGAGCUUGAUGAAGAUCUUGGUCGUUGUUUCGUUUCAAUUUCGGAUGUUCAGUAGUGGAGCCGAGUUGGGACGAUCGGGGAUCUAGCAUUUGGGGUUGUCUUCUUUUAUUUUGGUUCCGUAGUCGGACCUUGAUUGUAUUCUGGAUGAUGUAUGUAGAACUUGUAUUUGUGUGAAGUGGCGAUUGUAAGCCAACUCUUUAUCCCAUUCUUAUUUAGUACAUGGGAUUGUGUGAAGAUUACCCCUCUUGCGACAAACCUACCAUGCGGCUAUGCCUCUAAGUCAUGCCCCAACACGUGGGAGAUAUAGCCGCAUUGUGGGUGUUACAAGUUGGUAAUCAGAGCCAUCCCCGACUUAGGAGCCCCCUGCUUGAUCGAAUCGCUGAUGUUGUUGAGUCUAGAACAAAAUGUUUUGAGUCUUAGGAUUAUAUAUAUCGGAGAGUAGGAUUCUUUUGACAACUCAGUCCCUUCGUCGCUCUGUUGAGGCCUCCUAACAUAGAGUUUUGACUCUUCUCUCCUCAAAUUUCAUGAUUUUUUAGGAUCACGCGGGUAUCUUGGAAUCGUUCUAAUAGUCUUGUGAUAAUAACAUUGUUCUUGGUGCCUCCUGACAUUUAUGGGUUGUGGCAGUGUCCCGGGGAGUUGAGCUUCGAGGUGUUGUCGUCACAAUUUUAUCGUUGCAGUUCUAGAAUACCUGAGUUCGCCGACAUCAGAAAUCUCUUUUAUGAAGUUGUUGGUGAGAUAACCUCGACGCCACCCAGUACUGGGGCGGGAGUUCAAGAGUAUUACCAUAACUCGUAUAACGGAUGCUUUUCGAAGGUUGAGGUAAAUGAUUUCCGAAGGUUUCUUGGUUAUGUGUUGAAGGAUGGAUACAGCUAGAUGUAGGAUUUGUUACUUUUGGGUGAGAUAUUAUGCUUCUGUCACAUCCCUAGUCUGGUAUGACUUAGACUAGCUAGCCAUUUGUGCAUCAUAUUUAAAUUUCAUUUAAAUUUGAAAUGAGGAUUGGUGGAACCCUCAGAAUCAUUUUUGAAAAUGACCCAAAUAAAAAUUUCUCCAAAAAGGGUCCAAGAAAAUGCUCAUGAUGCCCUCUGAAAAUAUUGGACAGAGAUAAAAAUCAAAACAAUAUUUUUAGGAGCUCAUGGAUAUUUAUUUUGGCCAUUUGGAUUAAUUCGAUAAAUAUUUGCAUUGGAAAUAUAUUUCUAUAUAUAUGAAAUAUGGUCCAAAAAUUAUGCCAUUUAUAAAGGAGCUCUGGAAUAAUAUAUCUAGCUCCUGCAAAAAUUGGCAUAAGGUAAUAAAUUGAUUUAGUAUUUUAUUAAAUCAAACAAUGUCAGAAAAAUUAGAAAACAAAAAUAAAAAGAAGGAGGGGCUUACCUGGGGCUCCCCCCUGUGCAGCCCAGCCGCAGCAGGCCGGCCCAGCCAGCAGGCGGCCCAGCCCACCUGNNNNNNNNNNNNNNNNNNNNNNNNNNNNNNNNNNNNNNNNNNNNNNNNNCCCCGAUUCUUCCUCUCCUCUCCCUCGCUCUCUCUCUCCCGUGUCCGAACGCGUCGGUCGCCGCCGUUCGCCAUAGCCAUCGCCACCGGCCUCCCCUCGCCUCCCCGACACGCUUCCGAGCUCCGCCACAACCCCCUCCACCUCCUCGUCGAGCCACGAACCUCCGGACGCCCUGUGUAGCCGCCGUCGCCAUCGUCUUCCUCCUCGGACGCCGUCGACCGCCGACUCCGAUUCGCCGUCUCCAACGCGUCCCCGGCCACAACGAGCAGCCCUGGAGGUCCGCGGUGAGCUCCGCCGCUGUUCCCCUCUCUUCUCCCCCUCAUUUCCGCGCCGUAGCGCCGUUCCCCACCACGGCCGAAGCCUCUCGCCGCCGUCCAUGUCGCCGUCGCCGUCUCGGCCCGCCUCCGCCCAAACAAAGCCUUCCAUCGCGCUCCCAGUGCCACGAGGGUGCCGCCGAGCCCCUCAGGUGGCCUCCCCGUGCCCCGCAGCCCGUUCCCGCUCGAAGCCGAGCUCCGGCCGCCGCCGCGAGCUUUGCUCCGGCGAGCUCCGGCCUUCCCCGCUCCUCCCACCUGCCCUACCAGAUGCGCGAGAGCCCGGGCUACGCCCCGGUGCUCUCAGACGCCGUCCCCGUGGCCUGUGGUGCGGACUCCGCCGCGUCCAGAGGUCGCUGGCGGCGAGCCCCGUUGCCUGAGCCCUGCCAUGUGGGCCCGGCCCGUCAGGUGAUUAGCUUAGUGCUAAUCACCGCUUAAUUAACCCCCCUGACACUGACAGUGGGCCCCAGCGCCACUAACUUCUAAUUAGGAUUAAAUUAACCCCUGUUUAACCCCCCUGUCACUGACGUGUGGGCCCCACAUGUCAGGUUUGACCCGGACCAGCCCAGUUGACUGCUGACGUCAUGCUUACUCAAUGCUGACGUAAUAUAUGAAUUCUGGAUUUAAAUUUAAUCAGAAAAUUCCAGAAAUUGUUUUAAACUUCAAAAAUUCAUAUCAAUUCAACCGUAGCUCAGAUUAAAAUAAUUUAUAUAUGAAAAAUUAUCAGAAAAAUGCAAUCUUUCCAUCUGUACUAGUUUCAUGCAUGACAAACCAACUUAUACAUGCUGAAUAUGAGAAACACAUUAUGGCAUAUAUAAGAGACUUAAUUUAGUAAUGCAUUUGAACCUUUGGUUCAAAUGGACUUCAAACCAAAUGUUUACUAGUUGCAUUAGCUCAAACAGCAUCACAUCUACAUGCCAUGUUCAUGCAUCAUAUUGUUGCAUAUGAUUGUGUAUUGAUUGCCGGCACCGUUCCUUCUCGAUAGGUCCUGCUCCGGAGACGUUCUAGAGUACCUGUCUGUGAAGCAGUGCCUCCCUUGUUGAUUUACCAGGCAAGCAAACCCCCUUGUUCAUUUCGAUAAAACCCUACUCUCCCGCUCCUGCUCUUAGUUAUUGCAUUAGGACAACAACGGUUCAUCUGCUACUUUGUGCUGCGGUAGUUGAACCCAUUCCUCUGCAUGACCUGUCAUUGCCACAGUAAAUAGUUGAAACCCACUAGCAUGUGUAGGAGUUGAUUGAAGCCAUUGUUGUGUUCCUACCAUGCUAUGCCUGCUAUUGCUUAGAGUUGUGUCAGGUCUGGUUCAUUGGGAAUGAAUUGGAGUGUUACGAUAUGUUCUGAUACUGAGAGUGAAGUGUGUGAACACGAUUUGGUAAAGGUAGCGGUGAGAGGCCAUGUAGGAGUACAUGGUGGGUUGUCUCACUGGAACCAUCCUUAAGCACUGAGUUCUAUGUAUGUUGUCCAAUGACUCGAUACUACCACACAUUGGGUUCCGGUAACUCGACCCCUCUCGACUUAUUAACCAACUUGGUCUCUGUCCAGGAGUCGCAACUAGUUUCUGGUGUUUGUAGGUAGUGCUAUUUUUCUACCAAGUGGCACCCGGCAGGGUGGGCUUGGGACAGACUAGGCACACGUGGCCUGGUGUACCGAGUGGCACCCGGAUGGUGGGCUCGGGAACCCUGUACACAUCGUUUGGGGCCGUAAGCGACACCCCGGCCGGAUCUCCUUGCGGAUGGAACCCGAAUAGGCGAUAAACCUGGACUAGAGUCUUGUGUGGUUAGUCAGGUCGUGGCCGACACCCUCGCCAGGCUUCCGCUUGAAGGUUGCCGAGAUACAUGACGUGUACAUGGCAGUAAGUGGCGAGAGCGUGUGUGAAGAAGUACACCCCUGCAGGGUUAACAUGAUCUAUUCGAAUAGCCGGGUCCGCGGUUAUGGACUUCUUGGAUGCUUACAUGGUACAUAGACAACUUGAAGUGGAUACUCUAAAAUGCUCAAGACAUGUGUGAGUGCUAUGGAUGGCCUUCUCGUAGGGAGACGGGGAUGAAUCCAUAGUAGUGUAUUGUGUGGUGCUUAGUGGACUCGUGUACGUUGUUUCACCUCCAGAGUUUCUGGUAGUCGUAGAACAGGAUAGCCACAGAGUCAAAGCUGGCUUGCUGCAACUAAACCCCACAUUACCCUCUUGAUACAAAUGCAUGUAUGAUAGGAUCUGAUGUAAGUCUUGCUGAGUACCUUUGUACUCAUGUUGCUUUAAUUAUGUUUUUGCAGCGGAGACUUCGGUCUUACUAGUGUUCUCGUGGACUUCGACUAGUAGCUAGUACCUCAGCUACGAUCUUGAUCGGAUGUUGUAGAUAGUCAGGCUCUUCGGCCUUUUUCAUUUGUAGAUGUCUGUACCCAGACAUGUAAUGCUUCCGCUUGUUACCUGUAUGCUCUGUAUGAUGGGUUUUGUGACCCCUGUUUGCAAUAAAUGCUAUGAUGGCUCUUCUGAGCCUUUAUCUAUAUGAUUGUUGAGUUAUGCUGUGAUGCCAUGUUGUACAGCACAUACUUGCAUGUUAUGCGUACGUGUAAUGUGUAUUGCUAUGUGUGGGAUCUGACUAUCUAGUUGUUUAUUCUUAGUAGCCUCUCUUACCGGGAAAUGUCUCCUAGUGCUUCCACUGAGCCCUGGUAGCUUGCUACUGCUCUGGAACACUUAGGCAGGCCGGCAUGUGUCCUUCUUCAAUCCUGUGUCUGUCCCUUCGGGGAAAUGUCACGCGAUGAAUACUGGAGUCCUGCUAGCCCGCUACAGCCCGGUUCGCCGGAGUCCUGUUAGCCCAGUGCUACAGCCUGGAUUCACUCGCUGAUGACCGACACGUUCGAUGCUGGGUCAUGGAUGCCUGUCCCUGUAAGUUAGUGCCACUUUGGGUUUACGACUAGCCAUGUCAGCCCGGGCUCUUUAUCAUAUGGAUGCUAGCGACACCAUCAUAUACGUGUGCCAAAAGGCGCAAACGGUCCCGGGCAAAGGUAAGGCGACACCCGUGGGGAUACCGUGCGUGAGGCCGCAAAGUGAUAUGAGGUGUUACAUGCUAGAUCGAUGUGGCAUUGAGUCGGGGUCCUGACAGCGCUGGUAUCAGAGCCUGACUGCCUGUAGGUUUACCAAGCCAUACUGGUCGAAGUUGAGUCUAGAAAUUCUUUAGUUAUGUAAGGGAAUUGAUUGUGGGAAGGAACGUAAGGCUCUUUUUACUCCUUUACCUCAUGGACUUCUGAUCUGAGUCAUCCUAUCUUUCCGACGGGAUUAAGGAACUAGGCUUUCUCUUCCGUCUAUUAGGAUCACGUGUUACUACUCCGUAGUCCCAUAGGAUUGGUUGAUCAGAGUCAUAUCCCAGUUUUGAGUAUUUCCGGUGUAGUCUGCUUAGUAUGAUCUCAGAACCUUGAGUAAUGCUGAUGAGUAUGUUACCACCCCAUUUUUAGUAGGAUGUCUCAUUCUGAGCAUUUUACUGCCGUUAUGCUGCCGGAAUUUUUCCUAGGAGUUCGAGAGAUACUAAUUCCUUGUCCUACAUUCUAUAGCCUAUAGUUAAUGUUGACUCCGUCCCUGGUUUCGUUUCUCAGGAUGUCAUCAAGUUCUGUUGCUCGUAGCCAGAACCAUGGAUAUGGUAGGGAUGAGGAUCCUCCCGAACCACCUUCGUUGACAGAGUUCAUGUUAGAAAUGGAGAGGAACAAGCGUGAGUCUAACCGUUUGUUGGCACGCAUCGAGGAGAACACCGCACAUCAGUUCAAAGGGUCUGCUACCAUUCAUGAUUUCAUUCGCUUGCACCCACCUACCUUUCAUCAUUCCAUCGAGCCACUCGAUGCAGAUGACUGGCUCCGUAGCAUCACUCAUAAGCUGCGUUCCGCGAGCGUAGCUGAAGAUGACAAGGUCACUUAUGCUGCAUACCACCUGGAAGGUCCUGCUAGUCUUUGGUGGCAGAACUAUGAGGCUAUGCUUCCAGCUAGCCAGAUUCCUACUUGGAUGGAUUUCACUGAGGCUUUUCGUGAGCAUCACAUUCCCCAGGCACUCAUUGAUCGCAAGAGAGAAGAGUUCUGCAGUUUCACCCAGAGUAAGAUGGCUGUUGAUGCUUAUAGCAGAGAGUUCGAGAACCUUGCCCGCUAUGCCACCGAAGAAGUGUCCACGGACGCCAAGAAGCAAGCUAGGUUCCGGAAGGGUCUCAACCCCAAAUUGCGUCGUGAUCUCCACCUGCAUCAUUGUGAUACAUUCCAAGCCCUUGUGAACAAGGCCAUCAAUGCAGAGACAGCUCAACUCACUUACGAGGAGUCUCGUAAGCACACCCGUGAUUUGGGAUCUCCCUCUGGCUCUAGUUCCCAGAAACGCCGGAUCUGGGUUCCAAACUCCGCUCUUCCUUCCGGAUAUGCACCGAGGCCAUCCUAUGUGGUGCCUUCCCCAGCUCAGUCGUGUGUUCCACCCUUGCCUACUGGUAGACCGCUUGUCCGUGCGGGUCCCCGUCCAACCUCAGGGACUUGCUUCACAUGCGGGAAGCCAGGACACUAUGCACGUGAUUGCUCUCAAACUAGUUAUGCUCCACCCCAGCCCGAGAAGACUGUUGGCUGUAUUAAGCCAUCACACAAGAUGAUCAGUGUCAAGUCAGCCCCCACUGAACGUGGACGUGUGCAUCACGUCUCAGCUAAAGACGCUCAUGAUGAUCCAGAUGUCGUUCUUGGUACACUCCUUGUCAAUUGUCACCCAGCAUCAGUUCUAUUCGAUACUGGGGCAUCUCACUCCUUCAUUUCUGAAGGCUAUGCUCGUUUGCACGACAUGUCAUUUUGCGAUAUGCCAACUCCCCUUGAAAUCCAAACUCCAGGGUCUAGAUGGCAGACCACCAGAAUCAGCCAUGGUAACGAAAUCCUUGUUGAUAGACUUGUAUUCCUUGCAUCACUUGUAGCCCUCAAGUCCUCAGAUAUUAACAUCAUCUUGGGAAUGGAUUGGAUGACAGCUCAUCAUGCCAAGAUUGAUUGUUACACAAGAUCUGUUCAGCUUACACACCCAUCUGGCAAGAUAGUCACUGUCCCCACUAGAGUUGCAAAGCGUCAGCUCUAUUCUCUUAAUGCCAGCCCUCUUCCAGACCUUGAAGAUAUACCGGUAGUCCGUGACUUUCCGGAUGUCUUUCCAGAGGAACUGCCAGGUGUUCCACCUGACACAGAUGUAGAGUUUGUCAUAGAUCUUAUCCCCGGAACAGCUCCAAUCUCCCGGAGACCUUACAAGAUGGCACCCUUAGAACUAGCCGAGCUUAAGAAACAACUUGAUGAGUCCUUGCAAAAGGGUUUCAUCCGUCCUAGUUCUUCUCCUUGGGCUUGUCCCGUCCUCUUCGUCAAAAAGAAGGAUGGUACGGACCGGAUGGUUGUAGAUUAUCGUCCCGUUAAUUUGGUCACGAUAAAGAACAAGUAUCCGCUCCCCAGGAUCAACGACCUGUAUGAUCAGCUCGCUGGAUCCUCAGCCUUCUCCAAGAUGGAUUUAAGGUUAGGAUACCACCAAAUUAAGAUCAGAAAUGGGGACAUUCCUAAGACAGCUUUUGUCACUCGUUAUGGUCAGUAUGAGUACACCGUCAUGUCCUUUGGCCUAACCAACGCCCCAGCCACAUUCUCCCGCUUGAUGAACUCGAUCUUCAUGGAGUACUUGGAUAAGUUCGUCGUGGUUUACCUCGAUGAUAUUCUUAUUUACUCGAAGAACGAGGAAGAGCAUGCCGAACAUCUUAGACUUGUUUUAGAAAAACUCAGAGAGCACCGCCUUUAUGCCAAGUUCUCCAAGUGUGAAUUUUGGUUGCCAGAAGUGACCUACUUAGGCCACGUAAUCUCUGGUAAGGGCAUUGCUGUCAAUCCCGAGAGAGUUCAAGCCGUUCUCGAUUGGACCCCACCUGAGACCGUUAAACAAGUUAGGAGUUUCCUUGGUCUAGCCAGCUAUUGUCGCCGCUUUGUUGAAAACUUCUCCAAAGUAGCCAAACCCCUCACGGAACUUCUCAAGAAAGAUAAAAAGUUCGAGUGGUCCCCACAGUGUGAGUACAGUUUUCAGGAACUGAAAAGACGCCUGACUUCUGCUCCCAUACUUGUGCCACCGGAUUUCACUAAAGACUUUAUUAUCUACUGCGACGCCUCACGACAGGGACUAGGUUGCAUUCUUAUGCAGGAUCGUCAUGUGAUUGCCUAUGCAUCCCGACAGUUGCAUCCACAUGAGGAGAAUUAUCCUACACAUGAUCUAGAGCUUGCAGCCGUAGUCUAUGCACUCAAGACCUGGCGACAUUACCUCCUUGGUAAACGUUGCGAGAUUUACACCGACCACCAGAGUCUCAAGUAUAUCUUCACCCAACCAGAUUUGAACCUUAGGCAAAGACGUUGGUUGGAGUUGAUUACAGAUUAUGAUCUAGGAAUUACCUACACCCCAGGCAAAGCCAAUGUCAUGGCUGAUGCUCUAAGCCGUAAAUCCUAUUGCAACAAUCUCAUGUUGCAGCAAGGCCAACCACUUCUCCAUGAGGAAUUCUGUAAGCUUAAUAUUCACAUAGCUCCUCGCGGAUUUCUUUCUACCUUGGUGGCGAAACCUACCCUUGUGGAUCUUAUCAUAGAAGCCCAGAAGCAUGAUACGGGGAUUACCCGGAUCAAGAGAAACAUUAAGAAGGGAGUUGGUGGAUGUUUAUCUAUGGAUGAUCGUGGUGUUGUUUUCUUUGAGAAUCGCUUGGUGGUUCCCAAGAAGCAACAUCUUCGUCAGUUGAUUCUUAAGGAGGCACAUGAAUCUCCUCUCACGAUUCAUCCCGGUAGCACUAAGAUGUAUCAGGACCUACGCCAGAGGUUCUGGUGGACUAGGAUGAAGAGAGAAAUCGCAGAGUUCAUUGCUAAAUGUGACGUUUGUCGUCGCGUUAAGGCAGAGCAUCAGAGACCUGCUGGCACCCUUCAGCCUUUAGCUAUUCCUGAAUGGAAAUGGGAUAAAGUUGGUAUGGACUUCAUCACCGGCUUUCCCAGGACCAAGAGAGGGAAUAACGCUAUCUUCGUAGUCGUUGAUCGUCUUUCCAAAGUGGCUCACUUCCUUCCUGUUCGAGAAAAUAUCACUGCUAGUCAGCUCGCUGACUUAUAUAUUUCUCGAAUAGUAUCACUCCAUGGUGUUCCACUAGAGAUCAAUUCAGACCGUGGCAGUCUUUUCACUUCUCAUUUCUGGGAGAGUUUCCAAACUGCCAUGGGAACCCAUCUUUCCUUCAGUACCGCUUUCCACCCUCAGUCGAGUGGUCAGGUGGAACGGGUCAAUCAAAUUCUCGAAGACAUGCUCAGAGCUUGCGUUAUCUCAUUCGGUAUGGAUUGGGAAAAUGUCUUCCUUUCGCCGAGUUUGCUUAUAACAAUAGCUACCAAUCCAGCCUCAAGAAAGCUCCUUUUGAGGUUCUCUAUGGACGAAGAUGUCGAACACCUUUGAACUGGUCAGAAACCGGUGAAAGACAAUUCUUUGGACCGGACAUGAUCCAGGAGGCAGAAGAGCAAGUUCGCAUCAUUCGUGAGAAUUUGAAAACAGCCCAGUCUCGUCAAAAGAGCCAGUAUGAUCUUCAUCAUAAGGAUAUGACUUAUGAAAUUGGCGACCAAGCUUACCUUCGGGUUACUCCUCUGAAGGGUACCCAUCGUUUCGGUAUCAAGGGCAAGUUGGCUCCUCGUUACAUUGGUCCCUUUCGCAUUCUCGCUAAACGAGGAGAGGUUGCCUACCAGUUGGAACUACCCCCACAUCUUUCUCGAGUUCAUGAUGUCUUCCACGUCUCUCAACUCAGGCGUUGCUUCUCGGAUCCCAUCCGCGGAGUGGACCACGAAACGCUUGAUCUCCAAGAUAACCUCACAUACCGAGAGUACCCGGUUCGCAUUCUUGAUCAAGCAGAGCGUGUCACUCGACGUCAGAACAUCAAGUUUCUCAAAGUUCAGUGGUCUCAUCAUUCCGAGAGAGAAGCUACUUGGGAGCGAGAAGAUCGUCUUCGACUGGAGUACCCCGCUUUCUUUCCGUCAACCCUUGAAUCUCGGGACGAGAUNNNNNNNNNNNNNNNNNNNNNNNNNNNNNNNNNNNNNNNNNNNNNNNNNNNNNNNNNNNNNNNNNNNNNNNNNNNNNNNNNNNNNNNNNNNNNNNNNNNNNNNNNNNNNNNNNNNNNNNNNNNNNNNNNNNNNNNNNNNNNNNNNNNNNNNNNNNNNNNNNNNNNNNNNNNNNNNNNNNNNNNNNNNNNNNNNNNNNNNNNNNNNNNNNNNNNNNNNNNNNNNNNNNNNNNNNNNNNNNNNNNNNNNNNNNNNNNNNNNNNNNNNNNNNNNNNNNNNNNNNNNNNNNNNNNNNNNNNNNNNNNNNNNNNNNNNNNNNNNNNNNNNNNNNNNNNNNNNNNNNNNNNNNNNNNNNNNNNNNNNNNNNNNNNNNNNNNNNNNNNNNNNNNNNNNNNNNNNNNNNNNNNNNNNNNNNNNNNNNNNNNNNNNNNNNNNNNNNNNNNNNNNNNNNNNNNNNNNNNNNNNNNNNNNNNNNNNNNNNNNNNNNNNNNNNNNNNNNNNNNNNNNNNNNNNNNNNNNNNNNNNNNNNNNNNNNNNNNNNNNNNNNNNNNNNNNNNNNNNNNNNNNNNNNNNNNNNNNNNNNNNNNNNNNNNNNNNNNNNNNNNNNNNNNNNNNNNNNNNNNNNNNNNNNNNNNNNNNNNNNNNNNNNNNNNNNNNNNNNNNNNNNNNNNNNNNNNNNNNNNNNNNNNNNNNNNNNNNNNNNNNNNNNNNNNNNNNNNNNNNNNNNNNNNNNNNNNNNNNNNNNNNNNNNNNNNNNNNNNNNNNNNNNNNNNNNNNNNNNNNNNNNNNNNNNNNNNNNNNNNNNNNNNNNNNNNNNNNNNNNNNNNNNNNNNNNNNNNNNNNNNNNNNNNNNNNNNNNNNNNNNNNNNNNNNNNNNNNNNNNNNNNNNNNNNNNNNNNNNNNNNNNNNNNNNNNNNNNNNNNNNNNNNNNNNNNNNNNNNNNNNNNNNNNNNNNNNNNNNNNNNNNNNNNNNNNNNNNNNNNNNNNNNNNNNNNNNNNNNNNNNNNNNNNNNNNNNNNNNNNNNNNNNNNNNNNNNNNNNNNNNNNNNNNNNNNNNNNNNNNNNNNNNNNNNNNNNNNNNNNNNNNNNNNNNNNNNNNNNNNNNNNNNNNNNNNNNNNNNNNNNNNNNNNNNNNNNNNNNNNNNNNNNNNNNNNNNNNNNNNNNNNNNNNNNNNNNNNNNNNNNNNNNNNNNNNNNNNNNNNNNNNNNNNNNNNNNNNNNNNNNNNNNNNNNNNNNNNNNNNNNNNNNNNNNNNNNNNNNNNNNNNNNNNNNNNNNNNNNNNNNNNNNNNNNNNNNNNNNNNNNNNNNNNNNNNNNNNNNNNNNNNNNNNNNNNNNNNNNNNNNNNNNNNNNNNNNNNNNNNNNNNNNNNNNNNNNNNNNNNNNNNNNNNNNNNNNNNNNNNNNNNNNNNNNNNNNNNNNNNNNNNNNNNNNNNNNNNNNNNNNNNNNNNNNNNNNNNNNNNNNNNNNNNNNNNNNNNNNNNNNNNNNNNNNNNNNNNNNNNNNNNNNNNNNNNNNNNNNNNNNNNNNNNNNNNNNNNNNNNNNNNNNNNNNNNNNNNNNNNNNNNNNNNNNNNNNNNNNNNNNNNNNNNNNNNNNNNNNNNNNNNNNNNNNNNNNNNNNNNUACCCUCUCACUCUCCCCCGAUUCUUCCUCUCCUCUCCCUCGCUCUCUCUCUCCCGUGUCCGAACGCGUCGGUCGCCGCCGUUCGCCAUAGCCAUCGCCACCGGCCUCCCCUCGCCUCCCCGACACGCUUCCGAGCUCCGCCACAACCCCCUCCACCUCCUCGUCGAGCCACGAACCUCCGGAUGCCCUGUGUAGCCGCCGUCGCCAUCGUCUUCCUCCUCGGACGCCGUCGACCGCCGACUCUGAUACGCCGUCUCCAACGCGUCCCCGGCCACAACGAGCAGCCGUCCGCGGUGAGCUCCGCCGCCGUUCCCCUCUCUUCUCCCCCUCGUUUCCGCGCCGUAGCGCCGUUCCCCACCACGGCCGAAGCCUCUCACCGCCGUCCAUGUCGCCGUCGCCGUCUCGGCCCGCCUCCGCCCAAACAAAGCCUUCCAUCGCGCUCCCAGUGCCACGAGGGUGCCGCCGAGCCCCUCAGGUGGCCUCCCCGUGCCCCGCAGCCCAUUCCCGCUCGAAGCCGAGCUCCGGCCUUCCCCGCUCCUCCCACCUGCCCUACCAGAUGCGCGAGAGCCCGGGCUACGCCCCGGUGCUCUCAGACGCCGUCCCCGUGGCCUGUGGCGCGGACUCCGCCGCGUCCAGAGGUCGCCGGCGGCGAGCCCCGUCGCCUGAGCCCUGCCAUGUGGGCCCGGCCCGUCAGGUGAUUAGCUUAGUGCUAAUCACCGCUUAAUUAACCCCCCCCUGACACUGACAGUGGGCCCCAGCGCCACUAACUUCUAAUUAGGAUUAAAUUAACCCCUGUUUAACCCCCCCUGUCACUGACGUGUGGGCCCCACACGUCAGGUUUGACCCGGACCAGCCCAGUUGACUGCUGACGUCAUGCUUACUCAAUGCUGACGUAAUAUAUGAAUUCUGGAUUUAAAUUUAAUCAGAAAAUUCCAGAAAUUGUUUUAAACUUCAAAAAUUCAUAUCAAUUCAACCGUAGCUCAGAUUAAAAUAAUUUAUAUAUGAAAAAUUAUCAGAAAAAUGCAAUCUUUCCAUCUGUACUAGUUUCAUGCAUGACAAACCAACUUAUACAUGCUGAAUAUGAGAAACACAUUAUGGCAUAUAUAAGAGACUUAAUUUAGUAAUGCAUUUGAACCUUUGGUUCAAAUGGACUUCAAACCAAAUGUUUACUAGUUGCAUUAGCUCAAACAGCAUCACAUCUACAUGCCAUGUUCAUGCAUCAUAUUGUUGCAUAUGAUUGUGUAUUGAUUGCCGGCACCGUUCCUUCUCGAUAGGUCCUGCUCCGGAGACGUUCCAGAGUACCUGUCUGUGAAGCAGUGCCUCCCUUGUUGAUUUACCAGGCAAGCAAACCCCCUUGUUCAUUUCGAUAAAACCCUACUCUCUUGCUCCUGCUCUCAGUUAUUGCAUUAGGACAACAACGAUUCAUCUGCUACUUUGUGCUGCGGUAGUUGAACCCAUUCCUCUGCAUGACCUGUCAUUGCCACAGUAAAUAGUUGAAACCCACUAGCAUGUGUAGGAGUUGAUUGAAGCCAUUGUUGUGUUCCUACCAUGCUAUGCCUGCUAUUGCUUAGAGUUGUGUCAGGUCUGAUUCAUUGGGAAUGAAUUGGAGUGUCACGAUAUGUUCUGAUGCUGAGAGUGAAGUGUGUGAACACGAUUUGGUAAAGGUAGCGGUGAGAGGCCAUGUAGGAGUACAUGGUGGGUUGUCUCAUUGGAACCGUCCUUAAGCACUGAGUUCUAUGUAUGUUGUCCAAUGACUCGAUACUACCACACAUUGGGUUUCGGUAACUCGACCCCUCUCGACUUAUUAACCAACUUGGUCUCUGUCCAGGAGUCGCAACUAGUUUCUGGUGUUUGUAGGUAGUGCUAUUUUUCUACCAAGUGACACCCGGCAGGGUGGGCUUGGGACAGACUAGGCACACGUGGCACGGUGUACCGAGUGGCACCCGGUUGGUGGGCUCGGGAACCCUGCUCACAUCGUUUGGGGCCGUGAGCGACACCCCGGCCGGAUCUCCUUGCGGAUGGAACCCGAAUAGGCGAUAAACCUGGACUAGAGUCUUGUGUGGUUAGUCAGGUCGUGGCCGACACCCUCGCCAGGCUUCCGCUUGAAGGUUGCCGAGAUACAUGACGUGUACAUGGCGGUAAGUGGCGAGAGCGUGUGUGAAGAAGUACACCCCUGCAGGGUUAACAUGAUCUAUUCGAAUAGCCGGGUCCGCGGUUAUGGACUUCUUGGAUGCUUACAUGGUACAUAGACAACUUGAAGUGGAUACUCUAAAAUGCUCAAGACAUGUGUGAGUGCUAUGGAUGGCCUUCUCAUAGGGAGACGGGGAUGAAUCCAUAGUAGUGUAUUGUGUGGUGCUUAGUGGACUCGUGUACGUUGUUUCACCUCCAGAGUUUCUGGUAGUCGUAGAACAGGAUAGCCACAGAGUCAAAGCUGGCUUGCUGCAACUAAACCCCACAUUACCCUCUUGAUACAAAUGCAUGUAUGAUAGGAUCUGAUGUAAGUCUUGCUGAGUACCUUUGUACUCAUGUUGCUUUAAUUAUGUUUUUGCAGCGGAGACUUCGGUCUUACUAGUGUUCUCGUGGACUUCGACUAGUAGCUAGUACCUCAGCUACGAUCUUGAUCGGAUGUUGUAGAUAGUCAGGCUCUUCGGCCUUUUUCAUUUGUAGAUGUCUGUACCCAGACAUGUAAUGCUUCCGCUUGUUGCCUGUAUGCUCUGUAUGAUGGGUUUUGUGACCCCUGUUUGCAAUAAAUGCUAUGAUGGCUCUUCUGAGCCUUUAUCUAUAUGAUUGUUGAGUUAUGCUGUGAUGCCAUGUUGUACAGCACAUACUUGCAUGUUAUGCGUACGUGUAAUGUGUAUUGCUAUGUGUGGGAUCUGACUAUCUAGUUGUUUAUUCUUAGUAGCCUCUCUUACCGGGAAAUGUCUCCUAGUGCUUCCACUGAGCCCUGGUAGCUUGCUACUGCUCCGGAACACUUAGGCAGGCCGGCAUGUGUCCUUCUUCAAUCCUGUGUCUGUCCCUUCGGGGAAAUGUCACGCGAUGAAUACCGGAGUCCUGCUAGCCCGCUACAGCCCGGUUCGCCGGAGUCCUGUUAGCCCAGUGCUACAGCCUGGAUUCACUCGCUGAUGACCGACACGUUCGAUGCUGGGUCAUGGAUGCCUGUCCCUGUAAGUUAGUGCCACUUUGGGUUUACGACUAGCCAUGUCAGCCCGGGCUCUUUAUCAUAUGGAUGCUAGCGACACCAUCAUAUACAUGUGCCAAAAGGCGCAAACGGUCCCGGGCAAAGGUAAGGCGACACCCGUGGGGAUACCGUGCGUGAGGCCGCAAAGUGAUAUGAGGUGUUACAUGCUAGAUCGAUGUGGCAUUGAGUCGGGGUCCUGACAGCUUCCCCUGUAUCCCCAACACCUGAUUGCAUAACCAGAAAGUUUUGGGAGUUUAUAAGUGGGAAUUCAAGUAGCUCCUAGAAUAAUCUUUCCAACAGACACAUGAUAAGAUAUGGGAUCUAUCAUAUGUUUGUUUCCGGCUUAUUUUGCAAGCCAAUCCUUGCUUUGUUUUUGUUGUGAUAUUCAAUAUGCUUCAAUGUCAAGUGUUGAUUCCAUACCUUUCCUAAGCGAUGUUCUCACAUUUCUAUGUGAAUAUUAAUUCUUCAUGAUAAUCGAGAUUGUCAUGUCAAUACUUUUCAACCGGUGUGUUUCUCUUCAAGUGGAUCCGAUCAUUUUCAACAUUUGCAAGAUCAAUGCUCAGUUAUUCACAACGGUGUUUGUUUCAUCCGUCCUAAGUUGUCUUUGUUUUCCCGCCCUCCCACCCUUUUUCUUCAAGGACUCGGAUUUCUUAUUAAAGUAUCCUUUUAUUGUUGUGAAGCCUCUCCAUUCUUUUAAGUCAAUGUUGAAAGGAUCGAUAUGGUUGACUAGAGGGGGGGGGGGUGAAUAGGCAACUAGCAAUUUUUAGCUUUGCUUUAACAAUUUAAACUUUGCAUUAAAGUAGGUUUUCUAGAUAUGCAACUAAGUGAGCAACCUAUAUGAUGCAACAAAGAUAGGAACACAAGCAAGCAAGAGAUAUAUCACAGAUAAGCUUGCACAAGUAAAGGCACGAGAUAACCAAGAGUGGAGCCGGUGGAGACGAGGAUGUGUUACCGAAGUUCCUUCCCUUUGAGGGGAAGUACGUCUCCGUUGGAGCGGUGUGGAGGCACAAUGCUCCCCAAGAAGCCACUAGGGCCACCGUAUUCUCCUCACGCCCUCACACAAUGCGAGAUGCCGUGAUAACACUAUUGGUGCCCUUGGAGGCAGCGACCGAACCUUUACAAACAAGGUUGGGGCAAUCUCCACAACUCAAUUGGAGGCUCCCAACGACACCAUGAAGCUUCACCACAAUGGACUAUGGCUCCGCGGUGACCUAAACCGUCUAGGGUGCUCAAACACCCAAGAGUAACAAGAUCCGUAAGGGAUUAGUGAGGGAAUCAAAUUUCUCUUGGUGGAAGUGUAGAUGGGGGCCUUCUCAACCACACCCGAGCAAAUCAACAAGUUUGAUUGGCUAGGGAGUGAAAUCGGGCGAAAAUGGAGCUUGGAGCAACAAUGGAGAUUAGGGUUGGAAGAGGUGGUCAACUAGAGGAAGAAGACACCCCUUUUAUAGCUUAGGACAAAAAUCCAACCGUUAUCCACCUACCAGCCCGCGACCAGCGGUACUACCGCGCCAGACCAGCAGUACUACCGUAGGGCCACGCGGUACUUCCGCUUGCUGACAAGCGGUACUACCGCAAGGCCACGCGGUACUACUGUGCGGACCCGCGGUACUACCGCAGCAGCAGCUAGGGAAGACCUGUAGCACAAGAGCUGAGGGCGGUACUGCCGCGGGCGCGGUACUACCGCUCCCCCUUGCGGUACUACCGCAAGGCAGGAAACCCCUAGCUUGGGAAGAGCGCGGAUAAAGAAACAUCCAUUCCUACUUCUGGUGGUAAACGGAAGAAGCAAAAAUCCGACACAGUACUAGCGCAGAGGAGCGGUACUACCACCUGGCAGCUAAUCCAGGCCGCGCGCGGUACUACCGCGCAAGGGAUGCGGUACUACUGCAGUGGUGCGGAUGUAAAAAAUUACAUCCGCCCCUACUACAACGAAGGAGCGGUACUUGGCCUGGGGGCCAUGGUACUGCGGCUCCAGAGGAGCGGUACUACCAUGGGCACCUACGGUACUACCGCGCCGAAGUGUGGUACUACCGCUCAACAAGGAGCAGUACUACCGCAAGCACACCAACAGCAGUCAGGACAAGGGAAAAGAGGAUCAAUGGACGAUGCUCCAAAGUGCAGGGGAAAGGAGGGGACAAGGAAGAAAACGUGUACGUGAUGAUUCCAUCCAAACCUUUCUGACCCGGACCCCCUCUUGAUAGUACGGCUUUCCUAUGACUCAAAUCCACCAAAAAGAAACAUAGAAAAGACGCCGUCUUCAACAGUCUUCGAGGGGCACCAAACCGUCUUAUGCCUAGCGAUGAAACGUCUGGGAAACUCAAGGCACACGAUUAGUCCGCAAAAGCAUUGUCAUCAAUCAUCAAAACACCUUAGGGAUAAAUAUGCCCUUACAAAUGUUCUUAUCCGGUGAUUCUUAGGAAGAUACUAAUGGAGCUUCAAGUUCAUCAUUCUUAGUUCUCUUUUCUUCUCCAUUGGAUUCAAUUCAAGCUUUCGGUGUUGAUCAUAUUCCUUUCCGUGUUUCAAAUGUGUUCUCAUGCCGGUGCACCUCUUAAUCAUCCACUCUUGCUAUUCUAUUGUUCCGGAGUGCUGAAGAUGCCUUAGAAGAUUCGUUUCCAUUCUUAAUCCAUUCAAGUUAUUUCGUGGUUGUUACCUCAUUCAAGCCAUUUAAUUCAACCAGUGCAAUCUCUCUUUUCAAGCAAUCACUUCAAUGGUGUAUCUUUUGAGUGGGCCCUAACCCACAGGUCUUUACCCAGGAUCUUACCUGACUCUUCUAAUUUUCCAGAGUUAUUUUCAAAAUCAUUUCAAAGUUUGACGUAAGAAUGAAUUUUCAUCAGUCAAAUGCCUUUCUCGAAGAUCUUUCAAAGUCUUUUCAUCGUUGGUUCAACCUUUCUAAUUUUCAUCCCGGAGUAUCUCAACAAUUCAUGGUGGUAUUUCUCGUCGUCAUUCUCGCGUUUCUGAAGUCCGAAGAAGAGUUCCUCUUAAACUCUUACCCUUUCUUCCAAAGAUGGGAAGUUCAAGCUUGAUGCCAUCCUUUCAUAAUUGUUUUCGAUUGCGAGAAUCCUUUUCACCCUUCUGGAGCAUUUCAGGAGUUGUUUUCGUUUUUCUUGAUCAUCCAAAGGCCAUCAUUUCAGAAGAUUUAUUCAUUCUCAGCUUUCAGCUCUCAUUCUCCAAAUCUUACUGGUGCAUCUUUCAAGUGUUCAUUCGUUUCUAAUUCUUCCCGAUGAAUUCCGCCUUUGCUUCGCUCUUUUCCAAUUCUUACGGUGGUUUGUUCAAAGAUUCUUCUUCCUUCAUUAUCAUAUCAAUUCAUUCAUUGUUUCAAUCCUUCCGGUGGUUCGUUGAAGACCUUCUCAAGUUUGCGCUAUAUCUAUCUUAAUCCUUUCUACGAGAAUAAGUAGUAUGCCAAAUCCGUUGCUUGACAUCAAUUUAAGUUGAUGAAGGAUACACAUAACAUAAUUCUUAUUAUUGUUUCUUCCAAGUGGUCUAGUUUCUUCUUACAGAGUUGUUCACCAUGUCACAUUUCUCGGUUCGAGAUACUUCAUCUUUUUUUAUUCUGGAGUUCCAAGCUCUCUCAAUUAUAUUGUCGCGAAACUCCAUCUAAAUCAUCGCAAGGCUCCACCUUCUGUUUUCAACUUCCUUUUCCUUCAAUCAUCCUUUUAUUACCGGAGUUCUUCAUGGAGGCUCUACAUGGUGCUUCGUCAGGGUUCUUUUCAUUCUUCAAUUGUUCUUCAAGAUUUUUCUCAAAGUUGUAAUCCGCCAAGCUAUACUCUAUAAUAAACAUGGUGUUCAACACAUGUUUAGUUUUGAGGAGUUCAAGUAUUCUUCAUCUUGCAUUCCAAAGUGGAAUUCGUUCUCUCUUGUCUUUUGAGGUGGUGUUAUGUCACUCUUGACAAUUUCCCUUCGUGUUUCAUGAUUCACAAGUUGUCCGGAAUGACAUAUUUUAAACCCAUCCUUUUCAUUUCGUUCAUGAGAUCCUUUGCAACCCAUCAAUUUCUUCAUUGGACUUAUCUUGGGUUAUAUUUCACCUAAAGCUUUCCCUAAGGAUUGUGCUAUUUAUGGUGCUCAUAAAUGACCCAAGUUCUUCAUUUAUCCUUCCGGUGAAAUAAGCUUCUCGUCUCCUUGUUGAUAUCAAUCCAAUCUAUUGUUUUCGUUAGUCGCAGAAUUUCACCUCAGUUUUGAGAUGUUUUCCAUAAGCCCACGACAAGCUUAUCCUUUCGUUGUUGAUAAUUUUGAGUUGUGAAGACCAUGUUCUUUCCUUUGAUUAUCCAUUCAACUGGAGUGUUGUGUCAUCCCUUCAAUUUCUUUUCAUCUUAUCAAGUUGUCUUCUCUUUUUCUACCAGAGUGAUGUCCAAAUUAUAUCAGUCUUAUGCCUUCUCUAUCUUGUUUUAACCUGAGUGUUGUGUCAUCUGCUCAAGUUCUUUUCGUCUUAUCAAGUCUUUCAUCUUGUUUCAAUCAGAGUGCUUGCAUCUACUCCCUAUCCAUUGCAACCAUUUUCUUAUGUCUUUCAACCUACAAGGUUCUAGUAAUGUUCCUUGUUCCUUUUUUCUAACGGAGUGUUUUCAACUUUGUUCAUCUUCGUUGUUUUCUUCUUUAAAUUUGUUCAACCUCGCAAGGUUCUUUGGUUUCACUCGGUUGUCAAAGAAGCAACUUUGGUUUACCUCUUCAUCUUCCAUUUUCCCUCCGGUGCCAUCCUAGAUCUCGGGACGAGAUCCUCUUGUAGUGGUGGAGUGUUGUAACGCCCCGAGACCGAUGCACCAGGUGUCUUCCAGUUAUUCAAGUUGAGUGCCUUGUCAUAUCUUUGCUUCUUGCACCAUGCUCAUCACAUUUGGGUAUAUUGCUUUGUCAUGCCCAUCAUCGUCUUAUUGCAUUGCCUCUUGUCAUUUUGCAUGCUAAUCAUAUACCUUGUGGUAAUCUUCAUAUUGUUGCCAUGUGCAUUUCAUUCAUCCUUAUGUGGUGUGUUGUUGUUAUGAUGUGUGUGAGCAUCAUUCCUUGUCAUCUCUCUCUCAAGCCAUACCCAUGCAUCAUCACCUCUCACUUCCUUCUUCUUUCAUGUUUUUGCAAGUGACUUUAUUCCUCCUCCAUUAAUGUUCGUCCUUUCCCUAUAAAUCUUGCCUCUUUCAUACACCCUCUCUGUCAGAUUUCAUCCCAUUCAAAGUUGUUUUGGUCAGGUUCAAAAAUGAUUGAACUUUGAGAAUAAUCCAAACUCUAAUUAUUUUUCUGAUUUCUAAAAAUGCCAGAGCAAUUUAUUCAAACCCUACAUAAAUCCAGGGUUCCAGAUAUAUAUUUAUAUAUCUCAUAUUCCUAACCAAAACCCGUGGACUUUCCCCUUUGUUGAUUGUUUAUUUAUAUAAACAAAAAAAUAAAAUAAAGGAAAAGGCCCCUUACUUGUUCAGCUACUCACUGGGCCUCCCAACUCCUACGCAGGCCACAAACCUACAGCUGGGCCGGCCUUUAGGCCCAACCGCCCCACCUACACCUAACCCUAGCCUCAACCGACCUAUCCCUCUCGCUCCCCUGCUCGUUCCCACCGCCGCCAGAAGCCAUCUCCCUCGACUCCUCCUCUAGCGCCGCCAGAGACAUGCACGCAGGCGCAGUCCUUUGCUUCGACCCAACAUCAUCCUUUCCCUCGUUCUCUUAUGCCGCCUCCCCCUCAUAUCGAUCUCUCCCUGUCCUCUCGCUCAAGCUAACCACCCCGCGGCCCCGCGAGCUCGCCUGCCCGCACGGCCAUGGCUUCGCCGCCCUCGACCCGGCUCGCCCUCGACGCCCCCUUCGCUGGAGCCCUUCCUCCGCCUCUGCUUUGGCCUCCCACAACAGCCACGCCGCGCCCUCAAGUGCCUCACCUCCCACAGCCGGUCCAGGACCUCCUCGUCGCCUCCUCGUCUACCUGGCGCCACUGACUUGUAAGCUCCAUCGCCAGGGGAGGAGACCCUCGACCUAUCCCCUUCGGCCCCGACUCCGGCGAGCGCCGCCCUGUCGACUCUCCUCCGCGCGACGCCUCCCCUCUGCUGCCUCGUUCCUUUGCCUGCGACUGCCCUUUUCUUUCUCGCCUUGCCUCACGCGACCCACAUGGGCGCUGGCCAUGGAGGCCACCGUGCCGGCCUGCAGCUUCGUGCAUGCUGCCUUGCCUUCCUGCUACUUUGUCCGACUUCGGACGACCUCCAUCGAGCUCGCCCGGCCACCUUCGACCUCGGCGUGGCCCUGCCUCCAGUAGCAGCCUCCUGGAGCCGGCCAUUUCCAUGGGUUCGGGGAGCCCCAAGUCUUGUCCGUGGCCUCGUUGGCUGUUCAUGUUAUGCUGUUGGCUUUCUCCAUCGUCUCCCUGGGCUCAUCAAAUCCUGUACCAGGAGCCCAAGCCGGAAGACUCCGUGGAUGUGCAUCUCACUUGUGCCAUUUUGGAUCGUCAAGAAUGUUUCGAGAUUCGCCAAGUACCAUUACGCCAGGAGACCAUGGAUCCGUGAAGUUCCACUACCGUCGCCAUGGAUCCGACAAGUUCGCGAGUACGACCACUUACCACAACGACCUUGUACCACUACUGUCGACGAAGACAUGUGCACCGCAAGCGUCAAGUUCAACUACCGUCGACGGCGAAGGGUUUGGAGUCAUCAGGCACCUCUCUAAACGAACGGGAAUGACUAUCAUAGCCGAGAUCGCGAGAACCUCUACCGACGACCUCGGAACGUGUACGAUGACCGUUGUCGAAGACCCGUACCUCUACCACUUCCUGAACAUGUACCACGACUUCAAUGACUUCCGUGAACCGCUACUUCCACGAUGGCCGUGAACGACUACUUCCCUCGACGAACUCGAUACGCUUCGAAGGUAUAGCCCCGAGACGACCGUCCGAGAAUGAUUGCUUGUGUUGUAUGAGAUGCACCGGUUGUCUGCACUGUGUCGGUAGUGUCUCUCGCUUCCAUGCUGUCGACACUUGGGACACCCGGUAACCGGGAGGACCCCACCUUCUAUCUCAUGUUACGCUCCUAUCACUUUUCCUUUUGCACCGGUAUCUCCGUGAGCUAUCGGAACCGGAAUGUUGCCGUGGCACCAUUUCCGUUGUCAUUGUCAUGGCACCCCAUUAUUUCCACCACGGUGACAAAUGUUUCAUAAUUCCCUUAUCAACAUUUUCAUAAAAUUGAUUAAACUUGCAUAUGCCAUUCGCAUCAUGAUAAUAACAUUUAAAAUGUUUAAAAUUGUUGUUUGUAUUAAAUUGCUAAUGCAUAUGGGGAUUUACUGGAAUUGUUGUUUGUUAUUUCCGGCCUCAUUUAAACUUGCCUAAAUGUUUAGUUUACUUAUGCUCCACCUCUUACCAUGUUUAAACAACAUUUAAUUUGUUGAGUAGUUUAAACGGGAGAGAACUAAAUAAUUAAAUGUGGUGUUGUCGGUGUCAAAACCAGCGGAUCUCGGGUAGGGGGUCCCGAAUUGUGCGUCUAAGGCGGAUGGUAACAGGAGGCAGGGGACACGAUGUUUUACCCAGGUUCGGGCCCUCUUGAUGGAGGUAAAACCCUACGUCCUGCUUGAUUUAUUCUUGAUAAUAUGUGUAGUACAAGAGUUGAUUUACAACGAGAUCGGAGAGGCUAAACCCUAGAAGCUAGCCUAUGGUAUGAUUAUAUGUUGUCCUACGGACUAAAACCCUCCAGUUUAUAUAGACACCAGAGGGGGCUAGGGUUACACAAGGUCGGUUAUAAAGGAGGAGAUAUCCAUAUCCGUAUUGCCUAGCUUGCCUUCCACGCCAAGUAGAGUCCCAUCCAGACACGAGACGAAGUCUUCAAUCUUGUAUCUUCAUAGUCCAACAGUCCGGACAAAGGAUAUAGUCCGGCUGUCCGGAGACCCCCUAAUCCAGGACUCCCUCAGUAGCCCCUGAAUCAGGCUUCAAUGACGAUGAGUCCGGCGCGCAGUUAUUGUCUUCGGCAUUGCAAGGCGGGUUCCUCCUCCGAAUACACCACAGAAGAAUUUGAAUACAAGGAUAGUAUCCGACCCUGCAAAAUAAGUUCCACAUACCACCGUAGAGAGAAUAAUAUUACCACAAAUCUAAUCUGCUGACGCGUUUUGGCAACAUGACAUCAUUCCAUGGCCCGGUGAUUAUUCGAACCAUUUUUCUUUAACCAGCCCCGCACAUAACCCGAGGCGGUUUCUUGACACGUCUUGUCAAAGCAGAGAUCGUGUCCCCCUCAUUAUGGGAUUCUCAUUAAUACGGGCAUGGGUAACCCAACCGCGCCACCAAUUAUGGCGCUUGGGGGAUAAGCGAGUUUUACCAGGCUAGUGGGGACGCAUAGUUUCGUCCGCCCUUAUAAAGGGAUAAGGUUUAACCUUCUUCUACCCACACCUUCUUCCUCCUUGCUCAUCCAUUCUCGCGCACUCGAGCUCCAACGCCCAAGUCCACAUCCUUCUCCUCAACCUUCUCCAAACAUGUCCGGAGCGGGAGGCAAGUGGAUGGCUUCCUCCAUUACGGAGGGACACAUCAAAAAGCUGCACGGGGCCGGAUACUUAGUUGCGGAUAUCGCGCAUCGGCUGCCCGCUGCAGGGCAGAUCGUCCCUACCCCGGAACCUCACGAGAGGGUAGUUUUCCUCCACCACUUCCUCCACAGACUGGGGUUUCCCCUCCAUCCAUUCGUCCGCGGUCUUAUGUUCUACUACGGGCUGGACUUUCAUGAUCUGGCCCCAAAUUUCGUCCGCAACAUUUUGGCGUUCAUCGUCGUGUGUGAGGCUAUCCUCCGCAUCCGUCCCCACUUUGGCCUGUGGCUGAAAACCUUCAAUAUCAGCCGAAGGUGGUGGGCGGCCAGCAAGCGGAAUGCGGCAGAGCCAUGGUGGGCAAGAUGCCCAACGUUAUAUGGCUCGAGGGCUCCUUCAUGGAGACCAUAAAGCGGUGGCAAUCGGCGUGGUUCUACAUCACCGAGCCGCGCGACACCAACUGGGUGGCGGUCCCCGAGUUUCGAUCCGGAAUCCCCAUGCGGCUCACUUCCUGGAAGGAGAAGGGCAUGUCCUGGGGUUCAUCGGUGGAGCUGGACGGACUCUAGAAAUGUAUCCGGAACAUGGCAAGCAAGAAACUUAAGCUUGUCAACAUAGUCCAAGUCAUGCUCUUCUGCCGGAUCCUCCCGUGUCAACAAUGGGAUUUCAACUUAUGGGAUGUUCAAGGGCGCCGAGGUCCCUCCCUCUCUCAUCGAGGACCGCGGGCUAAGCGCGAAGCGCCCUGCGAAUCCGGUAAGUUCUGUACAUCUGGUAGGGUAUUUACUUCCCAUUGCUUAACCACGUGCAGGGUCUGAGCUCCCAUGCCUUUGACAGGACUGGGUGGAGGCAUCGGAGCAGAUCGACUGUCCGGCCCCUCCGCCCGAAGAUACUGCGGACGCUCUCCUGACGGAGAUGCUGACUCCGGCUCCUUACAAGGUGCCGGAGAAGACUAAGAAGAAGGCCAAGGGAAUCCGAAAGAGUUCCCGGCGUCAGGUGGUAUCGGACUCAUCGUCCGAUGACUCCGCGACGCACUCCUCCCACGAAGACGAGGAGGAAGAUGAAGAUGCUCCCCUUCAGCCGGGGGAGACAAGAAAAGGAAGGCCGCCCCAACCGGGGGGCGGGGGGCGAAGGGUCCAAGAAGGGAAGGACUCUCCUUCCGGACUGCUCCACCACCGCCGCUGAAGGCGAAGACGAGUGGCUGCUCAGGGUCAAGCCCCUGGCGAAGUCGUAAGUAUUCGGAUACUAGAGUAACUCAUAGCAUACCUCUAUUGCACUGCUUCUCCUAAUGUCGAAUAUGAUUAUGCAGACCGCCCCAAGCCCGUAUCGACGUAUCCUCGUCGGACGGCUCCUUGGACUCGUCGGAUAUGGAUAGCGAUCCACUCCCGACCGCCACCUCCCCUUGCCCUACGGACAAUGCCGAGGUAUUGUCUCAAGAGGCACUGGGUCGAGGGGAGACAGUCCCGGAGGCGCCCCAAGGUGACCUUCCGGACUCCGGGAGCUAAGGGAGUAAGGCUCCCGAGGGCUCCGAGUUCGGCCUUCAGCCGAACACUGCACCGGAACCUCCAGUGGUAACGGACUCGGGCAUGCGGCCUCCUUCCAAAAGGGGCAAGACGCCCAUGCCGGUGACCUCUGUCCAUCCAGAGGCACCGGACAACCUGCUGGGAGCGCUUCGCGGUGCUUCCAUCGACGAAGAGCACCGCACUAUUAUGAGUAUGGUGAUCAAGAAGGUUCAGUCCGCUAAGAGCGGACUGACUGAAGCCUGUGCUAGCCUUCUAACAGGCUUUGAGGUAAGUAUUUAAAAUAUAGGAAAAAUAUUACCGCAUAGACAGUAGCCCCUGAUGCUCUGUUUGGUGUUCACAAAGAAAAGCCGAAUAGAGGAUCAAAUAACAUCUGCAGGAGUCUAAUAUAAGUAUGUCUAUAUGCGUAUGCAGGCUUCGCUGCUGACCUCUGCCGCACUGACUGUGGAGGUCGCCGCACUGAAGCAGGACCUCAAGGGGUCCGAGAAAGAGCUCGGCCUUGCUAAGAGGCAGCUAGAGGAGAACAAAGGUAAGUAAUACCUAGUCUAUAUAUAUAUAGAGUGACACUAUUCUAAUCCCAGGGUUAAAAUAACUAUUUGGAUCACGGCUGGCCCUAUAUAGGCCCGACGGGGUGUUUCCGAACUCCCGAAAAAUAAAAGAACCGGCCCACACAGUUGUCUUCCACCUCCCGUUCCCCACAUCUCCCACGGACGCAGAUCCACCUCGCGCACCCCCACACCCGAACCGCUGGCGAACCACCGCCCCCGGCACAUCACGCCUCCCGGCCGCCUCCUCCCGCAACCGCCACAGUGGUUGCCUCCAUCCCCAACCGCCGCUCGUGCACCUCGUUCGGGAUCCCGCUGCCACCCUGUGCGUCGAUGAGCUUCAGGACCCCGCUGCCACAUCGCGCGUCGUCGGCCUCCCGAAACUCGCCGCCACCUCGUGCGCUGCCGGCCUCCUGAAACCCGCCGCCACCCAGUGUGCCGCCCUAUGUCGCCACCACAUCCCCGUGAUGCGCCAUGCAUAGCUCCGUGCACCGCUUCCCUUUCCUCCCCCACAACUUGGCUGCAGCUUCCCCAACCUCGGCGUGCGGAGUCGUCCUCUUGCCUCUAUCAACCAAAUUCCACUGUCACCAUGGUCUGAUACCCUAUGUUGCCAUUAUCGCGUGGUCGCUUCAUCAAACUGACGUCCACCAUGCCGACCUGUUUUGACACGUCGACUGACGUGGGGGCUUCAUUGUCACGCUAUCAAACUACUCUGUUUCCUCAGCUGGACCGGGGGCUUCCCCUCGGCACUUUGGCACCGUCAUGCUAUCACUUUGUCAAGUCGAGCUCUUCGCUCGGGUACGUCAAGACUAGUUUGGGGGUUGGGACCUUGAGCCACUACAAGCUCGGCCCACGUCACACCGAGCACAUUAACCAGCUAAGUCGCUUUCAUGCUCAAAAAAUUUUAAGUUUUAAAUAUUUUUUUCGGUUUGACCAAGCAUUACACUUUUUUGACAAAAAGUCGUUUGCGAAAAACUUUUUUUGUCAAAACCUUGUUUGUUACAAACAAAUUCAAAUAAAAUACCCCGUUUACGAUUGUCACGAUCGGGUCAUCCGAACUCGGACCUCAGACUGGGUGAAGUCGAAAGCUAGUGCUCUUAUUGUUUUCAAUCAUGGUCGGCACACAACGGAACUCAUGAAUACAAAAAAUCUAUUGCACAAGUCUCAUAGUAACAAUGAGCAACCGAAGAAAGGUACCGAUGGAGGUACUAUUUUCUUCGAAGAUGCUUCUUACACUUCAUCAGUAAUAUAGCAUAAGUUCCCUGAGCGCGCUUUGUCUGUUAUAGCCUUAUGGCCUGAUUGCCUGGUUAUCGGAAACACCAUCGAUAUUCUCGACAUGUGUAGUACAUAACACUUUUCGGCCCUUGUCCGAAGAGGGAGAAGCCGACGGUCGGUUAAGACGCGUUUAAAGUUCGGAUGAACACAUAUAUGAUAUAAGUACUUCGGUACAUACAAUCAUUAUACAUAAAAUUAUUUUACCCAAAUCACUUGGGGGAUCUUAAAUUAAUAUGAGUAGUUUUGUAAUAGAUGUUUUCUUUUUAGUCGUUGCAAAAUCUUUUUCUACCACUCCUUUAUCGACUCAAGUGUAUGAUCAAUAGCCGGGUAGCCUGGUUUCUCUCUAAAGCCGCUCGCGUUUAGUUUGCUAAACUGGCCCGAGAAACACUCCGCCUUCGGGAUAGGGAGGUUGAAGCCGAGGGCUGACCCACUUGAACUCUAGAGAUCAGAUGUGUCAUGUCAAAGCAUGACGGAAGUACAAUUUUAAGACCAAUUUCUUAUUGGCACCAAAACAGCUUGAUUCAAUCUAGAGGCAAAGUUUUUUACGCAUGUUUUUGGCCUUUGGGCUUAUAACAUCUUUUCACCUAUUUUAUGUUUUCCUUUCAGGAAGCAGGACAUUCUCUUGGUUGAGGUUUUCGGCAUGAAACUCUUUUCUAAAACUACAGUUCGACAUCUUUUCUGCCGUGCCCCACCUCGGUAUUGUCAAAACAUACAUGACAGUUGAACUAGUUCCCGAGGAGGUACGAUCCUAGGGUCGGCCAUGUUGCCCAACCCAAUUCUCGCGGGGCUACUGCAUUGGCAAUCCAAUGCAGAAAAUUUAAGUGCAAUAUAGUUUUCGAGGAGAUUAUGAUCCUCAGGUUGGUCGGCCGCACCCAACCCGAGUCUCGAGGACUUUGCACACUGCUUUUUGUGUCCUGAAGUAUUCUGCCGAGCUAAGAGUUGAUCCUCAGGUCGAUUUUGCGAAUCAACCUGAGUCUCAGGGGCUACUGUGAUCAGCGGUCUUAUGUCAUCCUUCAGGUGCAUCUUGGGUUUUAGACCGAUACACACGUUGAGGGCUACUGGCUAUAUAUCUCGGCAGAGAAUAAAUUGCACCAAUCAAAAAUAUUGACAAAAAAUCGGCCCGUGGUCGGGGUGGUGCGCCACCUCGGAAGCAGUCCGGCAUAAAGCUCGGGCACCAGUGGCUGGCUCCAUAAAGGGCAUUUCUGGCAUUAAGCUCGGCUAAACUCCUUCAACUUUUUUUGAACCAAGGUUUAUCUAUGGCACCUCGGACACAGUCCGGCGUUGGAGCUUGGACACAGUCCGACAUUGGAGCUUGGACAUAGUCCGACGUUGGAGCUCAGAUAAAGCCCGGCGUUGGAGCUUGGACAUAGUCCAGCGUUGGAGCUCGGGUACAUUCCGACGUUGGUGCUCGGCUGCAAAAGAUACCUCGAAUGUAGUUCGGCGUUGGAGCUCGGACGCUGCCGCCCGGAAACAACUUCAAACCCAAGGUGUGGCAUAAAAAUAAAAAGGCAUUGAUAAAGGCCGCAAACUUAAAGGGGCUCCUUGGAUACCCGACGUGUAAACUCUUCGGAUGCACUUCGGCGAUGCUCAAGAUCGAAGAUGAUAAGAUUUGUUGAACUAGUUUUCAAGACCAACGACCGAAGAUGAAGAACAGUUUGGAAGAAUCGAGGAGCGUCCCCAACUUGAAGACCGGUUCAGGGGGCUACUAACGGUGUCCUGGACUAGGGGGGUACUCACCACGUCGUCUCCCGACCAGUGGGUCGGGCCGAGGACCCCCAUGGCGGUUCACUAUUGGGCCAGUUCGGACAGCCCAUGCCGUAUACAAGGGAGAUCCCACAAAGACUUGGCGCUUAAGACGAGGACUCUCCUAAACCCUAGGCCUACGGUGUGUUAUAUAAACCGAGGCUAGGCUAGUCAAUAGACAUCCCCAUAUGAAUACAAUCAAAAGAAGGAUGUAGGGUUUUACCUCCAUCAAGAGGGCCCGAACCUGGGUAAAACCCCAUGUUCGUGUUACCAUCGCUCCAAGACGCCUAGCUUAGGACCCCUACUACGAGAUAUGUCGGAUAUAGAAUCGACAUAGCCCAUGCUCACUUUUUGCUCAUCAUGACUGGAAAGUACAAAUACACAUGUCCAGAACAGUAUGACCGAAUCAUCUCCGCUGAGCUCCCUAACAAGCACAAGUACCCAAAGUUAUACAAAAUGGUAAUCAAACAUAUGAUGCAUGCUCCUUGCGGUGCAUUGAAUAAAUUUUUUCCAUGCACAAAGAAUCGUCCGUCAUGCAAGAACAAUUAUCCAAGGCCAUUUAAUGAAACUACAAUCCAAGGAAAGGACUCCUGCCCACUGUAUAGGAGACGCAAUGAUGGUCGGACUGAAACGGUACGAAAAUGCCAACUGGAUAAUAGGUGGGUGGUUCCUUACAACCCAUAUCUUUUGUGGAUGUUCAACUGCCACAUAAAUGUUGAGAUAUGCUCGAGCAUUAAAGCCGUUAAGUACUUGUUCAAAUACAUCUAUAAGGGACAUGACCGAGCAUCUGUAUCUGUAACUGACAAAGUGGACGAAGUUGCAAUUGACGAGAUUAAACAGUAUAGAGAUGCGCGGUGGGUGACACCUCCGGAAGCACUAUGGAGAAUAUAUGGCUUCGAAUUAAGCAAAAUACACCCACCAGUCUUGCAACUGCAGCUACAUCUUCCAAAUAUGCACAUGGUUUCAUACCAUGGCAUGGAAUAAAUAAAGAAUAUUAUUGACCGUGAUGGCACAUAAAGAUCAAUGUUGGCUGCGUACUUUGAAGCAAACACCUUACAUGAGAAAGCACGAGGCAUACUAUACAGAGACUUUCCGGAAUAUUAUACUUGGCAAAGACAAGGGAAGUUUUGGCAGGAGAGGAAACGAGACGCUGUGUUCCAGGUUGGCAGGAUGGUCUCGGCACACCCGGCUGAAGGAAAACAAUAUUAUCUUCGAGUACUCCUAAACCACGUUCCAGGCGCCACCAGCUGUGAAGACCUACGAAUAGUCAACAGACAAGUAAUGCCAACCUUCCGUGAAGCUGCAGAAAAACGGGGGCUCAUCGAGGCAGACAACACACUAGAUGACUGAAUGACAGAAGCAGAGUUGUUUCGAAUGCCAUCAUCACUACGAAGGCUAUUCGCGACAAUCUUGGUUUUCUGCGAACCCAGUGACGUACGUGGCCUAUGGAACAAAUACCUUGAUGCAAUGUCAGAAGACUACAGCAGAAACUGUAAAUGCAAGCACACAAUCGAACAGAUGGUGCUGAGAAAUAUCAGGGACAUGUUGCACUCAAUGGGAAAAGACAUAGAAUCAUUUCCUCUUCCAGAGAUCGACAAACGACAUGAGACGACCGACGACAUACCUAGGGAGAUCGUUGAGGAGACCUCCAUCGAGGUUGACCCUGAGGACGUAUCGUUGCAUAAAAACCUAAACAUCGAGCAGAGGAAGGCCUACGACGAAAUCCUAGCCACGGUUGACCGCCAAAGAGGAGGUAUAUUCUUUGUCGAUGGGCCGGGAGGCACAGGAAAAACUUUUCUUUAUAGGGCGCUCUUGGCCACAAUACGCGAACAAGGCAAGAUUGCCGUGGCAACGACCACUUCCGGUGUUGCCGCUUCCAUAAUGCCCGGAGGGAGGACCGCACACUCGAGGUUCAAGAUUCCACUAAAAAUAGAUGAUGGAGCUAUUUGUAGCUUCACAAAACAGAGUGGGACAGCAAAGCUACUCCAAGCAGCAUCACUAAUAAUCUGGGAUGAAGCAUCUAUGACAAAGAGACAGACAGUGGAGGCGCUAGACAAAAGCAUGCGGGACAUAAUGGAUAGACUAGAUCUUCCAUUUGGUGGAAAAACGAUCGUAUUUGGGGAAGAUUUUAGACAAUUGCUACCUAUUGUCUGAAAGGGAACAAGAGCCCAGAUAGUAGAUGCAUCACUACGCAGGUCGGAGCUCUGGAAUUACAUGCGUCAAUUGAAGCUUGUGCACAACAUGAGGGCUCAAAUGACCCAUGCUUCAUAGAAUACCCACUACGCAUUGGAAACGGAACCGAGAAGACAAAUGAUGAUGGUGAAAUACUUCUACCUACAAGUAUAUGUGUUCCAAAUAAGACGGAUGAUACCGGCCUGGAUAGACUUAUUGACAGUAUCUACCAAACGGGAAAUGCUUACCUAAAAGAUCGAAAGUACAUCAUGUCAAGAGCAAUUUUAUCCACAAGGAAUGACUGCAUAGACAAGAUCAACCUAAAUAUGAUUGAUCGCUUCCAGGGGAGGAGAUGGUGUACCACAGCUUUGAUUCUGUAGAAGACGACCCACAUAACUACUAUCCACCAUAAUUCCUAAACACCCUAACCCCAAAUGGACUGCCUCCACAUAUGCUGAAGCUAAAAAAUUGUCCAAUCAUACUACUCAGGAACAUCGACCCUGCUAAUGGGCUCUGCAACGGCACCAGACUGGUCGUACAUGGAUUUCAGAAAAAUGCAAUUGAUGCAGAGAUUGUGGUAGGCAGCACUCUGGAAUGCGAGUUUUCUUGCCUCGGAUACCAUUAUGCCCAUCUGAUGAUGACAUGUUCCCGUUCAGUUUCAAGAGAAAACAGUUUCCAGUCAGACUCAGUUUUGCAAUGACAAUAAACAAAUCACAAGGCCAGACAAUACCAACUGUCGUUGUCUACGUGCCUGAGCUUGUUUUCUCACAUGGUCAAUUAUAUGUCACGCUUUCUAGAGCAACCGCGACAUCGGACAUAAAGGUACUAACAGGUACACAUGAUGUGAACAAGGGGACAAAUAAAAAAAAUAAAGGUGACACAUACACAAAGGAGAAGAAGAAAAGGAAGAAUAUGAUCAGUACAAGCAAGACAUACACAAUGAAUAUUGUCUACACAGAAGUCUUGACCAAAUAGGUAAUGCAAUUUUUCAAUUUUGUGUUUAUAAAUUCAGUUUCAACUUAGUACAUUCAUUCAUGAACAACUUAAUAAUUAGUAUUACACAUUGAAUCUCUAAUUUUCUAACCUUAAAAUUACUUCUUGCAUUCUUCAGGACAAUCAAGCUGUCAACUUCGGAGUUAGAAUUCAGAACUACUUGAUCGUCUUGAAGGAGGAUGUCUUCAUGUUCUAAACCACUAACUUAUUCAUUGAUAUUUAUUUAUAUAAUAUGUCCAAUAAAUUAUUAUUUUUUAUUCAAAUAUUUGAUCACUUCGAUGAUCUCUAUUAUGGUUAUACAAUCUAUAUAUGUAAAUUUACCAACGAUGAGUAGCUAAGGUGAAAUUGAGACUUACCAGUCAAUAUAGAGACAUAUUUCUCGCCUUGGAGCUAAUGUUGUUGCACUGAUUUUUCUAAACAUCGCUUUAUCUAAGUCCAAGAAACCUGAAAAAUAUCUGACACAUUGUAAGAAAAUACAUAUCAAUUUCACAUUGUAAGAAAAUAUCUGAC
rnacentral:lncRNA from 1 species